ACGUUGACUCACUUUCUCGUGGGAAGACAGAGUGAGACUAGCAUUAAAGAAUUGGGAAAGCUACGACAUCUACGGGGAGAACUUCAUAUUGGGAACCUUCAAAAUGUGGUGGAUGCACGGGAUGCAGCUGAGGCAAAUUUGAAAGGUAUAAAGCACCUUGAUAAGCUGAGGUUUACAUGGGAUGGUGACACUCAUGACCCGCAACACGUAACAAGCACACUUGAGAAAUUAGAGCCAGAUGGAAAUGUGAAGUAUCUUGAGAUUGAUGGUUAUGGAGGUCUAAGGUUUCCGGAGUGGGUAGGAAAGUCCUCUUUCUCAAGAAUAGUGUCCUUGGAGCUCAGUAGAUGUACAAACUGCACCUCCUUACCACCGCUCGGGCAAUUAGCUUCUUUAGUGCGUCUCUCCAUUGAAGGAUUCGAUAAAGUUGAGACCGUGGACUCUAAGUUCUAUGGGAAUUGUACUGCUAUGAAGAAGCCAUUUAAAUCCCUCAAAACAUUAUCUUUUAGAAGGAUGCCAGAGUGGCGCGAGUGGAUUUCAGACGAAGGCAGCCAGGAAGCCUUCCCUCUUCUUGAGUUUCUUUCAAUCAAAGAAUGCCCCAACCUUACAAAGGCCCUACCUGGUCACAACCUUCCACGUGUAACAGAACUUAGAAUUGAAGGAUGUAGGCAGCUCGCGACUCCACUUCCUAGGUUUCCUAGGUUGCACUCUCUCAAAGUUUUUGGAUCCACCUCCCUAGAGUCCCUACCCGAGGAAAUUGAUCAAAUGGGUUGUUCACCCUCUGAUUUAGGGAUUGAAAUCAGCUUCUGCGCUUCUCUCAAAUGCGUCGCCCUGGACUUGCUCCCCAAGUUAAAAUCUCUUCGUAUCUCUCACUGUCCAGAUCUCGAAUCACUAUGUGCACAUGAAAGACCUCUCAUUGAUCUCAACUCUCUCCAUUCUUUGAUAAUCUGCGGGUGCCUUAAAUUAGUUUCAUUUCCCAAAGGAGGGUUACCUGCUCCAGUCUUGACACAACUUUACUUAUAUGAUUGCAAAAACUUGAAGCAGUUGCCUGAGAGUAUGCCUUCCCUCCUCCCAUCCCUUAACCGUUUGGUAAUACAUGGUUGUUCAGAAGUUGAGUUGUGUCCAGAAGGGGGUUUUCCCUCCACAUUACAAUCACUUGAUAUCUGGAAUUGCAACAAACUCAUUGCUGGCCGCAUGCAAUGGGGCUUGCAAACGCUCCCUUCUCUUUCACACUUUACAAUUGGUGAAGACGAAAAUGUUGAAUCCUUCCCUGAAGAGAUGCUUCUGCCCUCAAGUCUUACAUCUCUUAAAAUCUAUAACCUAAAACACCUGAAAUCUCUUGACUAUAAGGGGCUUCAACACCUCACCUCUCUUAGAGAAUUGACUAUAAGUAACUGCCCUCUGAUUGAGUCAAUGCCAGAAGAAGGGUUGCCCUCCUCCCUUUCUUCUCUUGUAAUUAACGGUUGUCCUAUGCUGGGUGAAAGUUGUGAAAGGGAGAAAGGUAAAGAUUGGCCCUAGAUUUCUCACAUUCCUCAUAUUGAGGUACUUGCCUAAAUAGUUUAUUCUGUUUUCAGUAAUCAAAGGCAAUUUCAGUAAUACAAAUUUGGAUGAAUGAAAUACAGAUAUUGUCCUAGAAAGUUGUAUGUUUUUAUUUGUUGUAUGUUGAAAUACAGAUAUUUUCUUCCUCUUGUAAAUAAUAAUAAUCAUCAUUCUAUUUCAAUAUAUUUUUUGCUAUAAUUAAUGAUACUAUUGUUCCUCCAUCAAAUGCCGGCAAAUAAACAUCACAUGCUUCAGAUUUUGAACUGCCAGCGCCACCCUUAAAAGACAACGGGCCUAGCAGAGCUGAAAAGGACUAAAAAAUAUUUAAGUAAUCUGCAACAGAUUUUUCAUUGUUGAAAAAUUUAAGUUAAUCAAAAUUCUCUCCUUUUCUCUUUCUCUAAUCUAUUCCCCUUCUCCAAAAAUUCAAAAUUUAAGUAAUCAAAAUCAAAAUUCAAGUAAUCAAAAGGAUUGAAAUAAGUAAUUCAGGCAAAUUCAAAAUUUAAGUAAUCAAAAGGAUUAAAAUCUCCAUUCUCUCCUUUUCUCUUUCUCUAAUCUAUUCCCCUUCUCCAAAAAUUCAAAAUCCAAAAACUUUUGAUUUAUCUAUUUUGGAAUAGAUAUAAAAAGAAGAGAUAAUAUAAAAUUCAUCCAGAGAAAGUGGCCAAUGUCACUCAAGAGAAAGGAUUAAAGCACAGACAGUCAUCAGCUUGAGAACUCACAGCAAAGAGUUCAUUGUUUUGCAGUAGAUACGUAGCUAUAUUAACUACACUACUUCCAGCAUGCACAAAUGCGACUUCUUGAUGGUUACGCUGCUAAAGACAUUUACAAAUCCCCAUCAAUACUGGUGUUUAUUCCUCGUGAUGAUCCAGUGAGCUGACAAUAAAAGAAAACCUUGGCAUUACUAGUAAAUCGUCACUGCAAGCAUAAUGCAAGCAUGGAAGAGAUUCAGGUAGGAAUUACCCUUGUCUUCAUUGAGAGGCUUUAACCUCCCUAGCUCCUUCAUCAGCAGGCCCAUUGUUUGAUGCAUCCUCUGAAGCGUCUAAGCAAGGAUUGCUUUUACACUGCCUGACAGGCUGAGCAUUGGUCAAGAGACUAGAAAGUUGAGACCCCCUUUGCGAAAAGUUUGGUUUACCUUUCGGAGUCUCAGACAGGCUUCCCGUUGACAGCUUUGCUAGGCCCAUUGUCUUGUGCUCACACGGGAGCUUAGUUGAAAAAGGUGAUUCAGGUGUAUCAGGAUGCUUCCCAGGAAUAUCCAUCGGUCUAUGAAACAGCAAAUGAGCCACAGUCCGGUCUACGGGAUUGGUCUGUGUUUCCACCUCAGGCAUCUUAACCACCCUGCAGUAUACUCAUAAAAUCCAUGAGGAAAAUGACAGGAAAGUUUGAGAUUGCCAUACUCUAAACAAAUUGAUAAAGACUUGAUUAAUAAUUUUGUGCAAACAAAUUGAAUAAUUUGAAAUGGGAAGGACGAGAUGUAAAGGAACAAACCCAUUGGAACAAGAAACAAUCACAUUGUCGCUUACAACAAAAAAUCGAGUUUCAGAUCAAAAGAGCUUAUGGUUUUGGCUGGAAGUAUCCCAUUUAGACAUAGAUGAGCCGAUUAGAAGAUGAUUUGAGUUCUUAAAUUUUCUUGCUUAAAAUGUAAUGUAACAUGAAUCUGCAGAUGAUCAUUAAAUUUGAAGGGAAAUUUAAUAUUUUUGCCCUGUUUAUCUAAAGUUGUGCAAGUUCUCUGCAUUGAUGAUUUCAGUGAAUUUGUACAGAUCUUGUUUUCCUUCUAUUCGUCCUUGAAUAAACUUAUUGCACUUGUUUAACAUUCUUUGUCUCUCUCUCUUAGUUAAAUCUAGUAAAAUUUAUCAUGUAUGUUGUGCCACUCAUUUAGACUUGGAUGUGUGUGUUUAGCUCUCCUUUUCGGAUUAAGGUGAUUAUGCACAAAUUCACUGGAAUCAACAUUGCAGAAAACUUGCAUAGAUUUUGUUAAUAUUGGAAAAAUUAAAUUUAUUUCUAGAAUGAGAAUGGAAAACAGAAAAUGGUGAUGGCAUUAAAAGAUCCUAAUUUAACAUUUCCAUUGAGCAAAAAUGUUAAAAAAAAAGAGAGAGGAUAGAUUAAAUUUGAAAACAGAAGCAUGAGAAAUGCAUUGCCUUAACCAACCUUCUUUGACUGCUGGUUUUCUCUUUUGCAGCAACUUGUUCGUCCCUGCUACUAUUGUUUGUACUGCCAGUAUCACUAGCAUAAUGCCUUUGCAUUGCACUUUGAGCCAGCCGGAACAAGCUAUCCCGAAUACAAAGUCUAAUUCUGACAUCCAACUGUUGUAAAACAUUGGUUUGGAAUCGUAACCAAGCACAAAUUAUUUAGCAGGGAAUGCAAUAGUACGUGAAGCAUACCUUUGAAAUAAUAUCUUGAAGCCUGUAGAGUACUGUGUCCUCCAUUGAAUAAUCAUUAACCGCCAGAGAGACUGUAUUGGAAUCGUCUUGCUCAAUAGGCGAGUUUGGGUCAAAUGAAGCAAGUGUACUUAGAUCCUCUACUUCAAGGUCAGCUCCUUCAACAUGCUGAAUUUGAUUUUCUUGGGAACACUUUUGAUGAACAAGCUGCUGCUGCUGUUUCUGAAUGGCAAGCAUCGCCUGAAUUUGUUGCCGCCUCCUUAAUUUUUCAAUCUUUUCCUGAGGUGUCAUUCUCUGGGGUUUCACUGGACAGUCAGCUAACUUGUUUAUAGGAUUUGCAUUGCCUGAAGAAACUUCAUAACCAGAAAUUUUAGGUCGAUGAUUAAAUGACUAGAAAUUUUGUUGGAAAGUCAGAAAACUUUAACAGGAUUCACAUUACCUGAAGAAACUUCAUAACCAGAAGCUAAAGGUUGAUGCUUAAAAUCCCCAGACUGAAUGUGGGACAACCCAGGCAUAGAAUAUGGAUUUGUAAUACUCCCGUAUGCAGAAGGGGCCACAAAUGGAAUGGAAAUCUGCUGGUACUGCAACUGCUCGGAACCCUGUAGCUGCUUCUGUUGGCUGAGAAUUGAAGGGGGAGAAGAUUGCAUAAUUUGGGGUGCUAAAUGAUCCUUAAGUUGACAGGCUGGGAUUCCAGAUGAAGUCCAGUUUCCAUAAAAAUCUUGGUAUGAUUUCAGUUCACCUUUUUCUUCCAGUUUUUCCCGACCUUUCAAGAUCUUCUUUUGCCUGUAAGUCUGAUCACAGAACUAUAAACAUAUAAAUAGACAAAUUACUUAGAAUAGAUCAUCGUUUUAACCAUCUAGACCUGCAGGGGAGUGACUAAGGCACAGUUAGUAUUUUAAUUCAGUACAUGGUUUGUAAGGAUAAAUUCAAUGUUAUUUUUUUUUUUUUAACUGUAACUUAUGAUCCAAAGGGCUUCUAUUGUUCAGAAUAUAUUGAGGUAUUAGCUAAUCUAUGCCAAGCAAACAGAAUUUGCAUGUCCAGGAUAACUUAACUGAUGUCUCCUGAAUUUUCACAUGUUAUUCCUUUCUCCUUCCUACAAUGGAUUUACUUCAGGCAAUCGAUAUCAUGGUUAAGUAAUGGAUUUGACAUCCAGGAUAACUUAAUUGAUGCAUUAUUGAAGUCAUGACUAAAUCAUGUAAAUCCAUAUUCACCCAACAUCCAAGUUUAUUCUCAUUCCAAAAAAUAAAACUAAAAAUAAUAGCAAGAAAUAUGAAGAGACGAAGAGGAAUUUAAAUAAUAUAAUUUCUCUUUUCUGUCGCCAUUUUCCAUUCCAGAGAAGUACUCAGGAAGUUUUCACAAGUUCAAGUGUAAGGUAACUUUUACCCUUCCCAGCUCUAAUUAGGUUUCGCUGUCCCUCCAGUCUAAUUUAAGAUCUAACAUGUGGAAACCACACUGUAUUAGUGAAAGGAUUAUAAUAUCAAGAUUUUCCAAUUUCAAUUCACUGAUAUAACUUUUCUUGAAUCCUGGACAAAAGAACUUAGAACAUCAAAAGAUCAUAGCAGGAUUCUAAGAAACAAAGAUUGUAUUUGGUGCUUAUUGAGUCUAAAAGUUAUCCUGGAUGAAAAGGGUAAAAAUCAGUAACAUGUCUGGUUCAGUAUCAAGAUUUUGAAAAUAUCAAAAGGAAGAAAAAAAAAAGGUAACUUAUUCGCUAAUUCAUUUGGAAAAGCACCAUUUUCCUCUGUCAGUUGAGAGUUAGCCGCCGUGUUCUUUCCCACAACAGCCAAAUCUGUCUGCAAAAGCACAAAAAAAAAUUUAAAAAAAAAUGCUAAGCUUCUCUCAGCUCCAGCACUUGAGCAUGGGGCAUUAAUAAGUGAACUCAUUACUGAAAAUUGAGUCGCUAUACCUGCUCCUUCAGUAUAGGCUUGUUUUUACCUUCAUCAUAUUGCACCGCAUCAACUGACCCACAAAUAAAUUUGCAUUUUUCCAUCAGUUCCAAGCUACUUUGUAAGGAAAAGGGAGGGAAGUGCCUUCAAAGAUACCUUCUUCAUAGCUUCUUUAGAUAUGAAUCCACACGACUUUCGUAAUCACCAAUCACUAUGCGCAGCUUCUCUUAUCAUCACAAGUUCCCAAGAAAAAUUAUAUUCUUCCCUCCUCCAGCCCUUUCCCUACAUAUUUCCACCAGCUUCAUAGCAAUGCGGCCCGUGAAAACGACUCCCAAAUUAAAACACUUGAGAAGCUCUAAUAGUUUUCCACAAAGACCUACUUUUCUUAUUAUUUCUUCCUCGUCACAACCACUCACUUUCCCCUAAAUCCCAUACCACAACCACUCCUUAAUCUUCAACUAAAUCGAUAUCUCUUAUCACUUAUGAAAACUCCAUCUAAUUUCCAAAUGAAUCACACCAUUUGAACACUUUGCCAAUUCCUAAUUCCUUCAAAAUUUUCAUCCAUUAAAAAAAAAACUGCAAGUCAUACUUUUUCACUUUAACACAGUUGUCCUUAUAAUCAAUCUUCCAAUAUAACCAUACUCUUGCCUCUAAAUCUGGCACGCAAAGCUUCUACAUAACCUUCCAACGUUACUUCUUGCCUCCCAAACUCCUCAAAGUUCUGGUGCCAAUAUAAUGCUAUUCCAUCAAGGGAGUUUUUCAGAAUCUCCAAUCUUUUCAAGAUCAAAAUGUUGAUUGCAUCUAUACAACCACUUACGGGCAUCUUCCCCAUCAAAGCUGGGAAAGUCACAUAUGGGUUUGUGCAUCCUAAACUGAGAGUGCUCACCUUCACUAGGUAGUCAAGUUAUUGCAACUAAAGAGUUGUUUGUUUGUCUCGGGUAGUAUUAGCCUCCCCUGUGGAAAGUUGUAGUGUUUGAAGAAGGGAUGUUUGUUGAUAAGCUAUUCCACUAAUGAGACCCUUGAGUUCAUUAAACUUAGCUUCAUGGUUGCUUUUUGCGGUCACCAGUUUGUGAUUGUAACUCCAACAUUUUCAUCAUUUGUUCAUAAUCUUAUGCUUGAUCCUUGCUGACAGCUUCAAGGGAGCUCUCCAGCUUUUUGAUGUCUUGAGAUCUAGUGUCAGGAGCCAUAUUCCAAAGCUACAAUGGAGUCUACUAAUCAGAGGAAUCAAUAAACUCGCAGUUGAUGAAUAACAGAAGAAGAGAGAGAAGGACAUAAAUUGGUUAAGCCGAUAUUUUUCAUUCUUCUAUUUUCACGCUGGCAUUCUGUUACCAAUACUAACUGAAAGAGCGGCUAAUAACAACUUCCAUUUAUACCUUCGCAAUGUUUGUUUACCGGAAAUUCAUUCCAAAUUUUUUUAUGUUUGUUUAUUAUUAAAAAAAGUUAAUCAACAAAAAAAUUCUGGUUGUUUAUCGUUAGAAAAUUUCAACAACUUCCAAUUAUCAAGCAAUAGCCAACACGUGCCAGGAGUCUCAGCUAAAUAAUUGAAACACCAAUCUGGCCUUUUGGUGUUGCACGGUGCUGCUGCUUCUUGGCUCUUGAUUUCAUAGAAAUGCUGCUCCCUCAUCCCUGGUGUUACACAGGCAGCUGCUGGCUCCUCUUGUAUCUUUUGGGUUUUGGCUUAGUUUGGUUCCCGCCGUUGUUUGUUCUCCGGUCGUCGAAGCUUGCUGCAAUCAUCCGACUCUGUUCUCAUAGUCAGAUGCUUCCUCGGUUUUCUCCUGGCAUUAAAAUUACAGCUGACCCUCAAAUCUUAUUGCCUCUGGUCAUUUUCUUGAAUGGUGCUUGGUGUUGUCUUCUAGUGUUUGCAGUAUCGUAAUUUGCUGGAGUUUUUGUAGUAUUUGAAUUGUGGGUGAUUGAGCUGCAGAAUUAGAGGGAAUUGAAUCCGUGCUAUGGGUUAUCAUGUGAUAUCAUCAUUCAUCAACAAUUAAUUGAAUGGGUUUCUACAUUAAAUAUUUUUAGUUUCUUAAUCAAUAAUUUGAAGUUUUUAAUUGGACGUGAAAUUAUUCUUAGAGAAUAAUAUAAUUAAACUAAAUCUUGGUUAAUUGAUUGCUAGCAAAGGUGUAAAUUUACAUGGCUUGAAAAUGAAGCUUAUCUUCUACUUAAUUUUAUCAAAUAAUAUAAUUUUGAAAUAAAUUAUUUAUAGAGUAGUUUUGAGUGAUAUAAAUCAAAUAGGAAUUAAAUCAUGUUAAAACAUUUAAUUUUGUUGUCCCUUCAUAUAUUACUAACAGCAACAUUACGUAUCCUAACGCUUUAUAAAUUCCAAACCACUCAUUUGAAACUAACGCUUUGUAUUAUUUUUAUAAAAUAAAAUAAAUCCUAACACUGAUGUGGACUAAAAUGUUUUUCAUAUAAAAUAUGAGGAUAAAAAAACUUUCAUGAACAUUUAUGAAAACCUAUUUUUAUCUAAGUGGGCUAGGAAUCCGUAUGCAUGUAUGAAAAUGAGUUCGGGCUUAGGGUGAUAGAUAUGGGUCAGUAAAAUGAAUUAUAUUUUAAUAAAUUUUAUCUAUAUAUAUUUUCUAAUCCAAGUAAAAUGAAUUAUAUUAUUUGUUUAAAAUAAAGUUAAUCUCAAAUAAAAAUUUUACUUUCUAAAAUAAAAUAUGAAUUAUAUUAUUUUAAAAAUUUGCUUGAGUUACUUUAGGUUUUAUGGCAGCCCAAUAACGAUACUCUUAACAGAAUACUGAGUUAUUGGGCCUAAAAGGCUAAAAGGUCCUGCGUCAGGAUUUAAUUUUCAUGGGUCCUUUGUUAAGAUUUAGGACUAUUGGAUCUUGGGUUUCUAAAUAUAAUAAUUUCUCUAAAAGUAUUAAUAUUAAAUAUAUUAUAAUUUGUGUUCUAAAUAUUAUUAGUUCAAUUGUAAUAAAAAAGAUAAUAUUUAUACUCCAAAUAAUAAUAUUGUUGAUAUUAGAACUUUGAAUUAUAAUAAAAAUCAUAAUAUUCAAAACAUAAAUAAUACUAUUUUUCAUAUUAAUACUUUCAAUUAUAACAAUAAAAAAAAUAUUUAUACCGCAAAUAAUAAUAAUAUUUAAACCGCAAAUAAUAUUGUUUUUAGUAUUAAUACUUUCAAUGAUAAUAAAAAUAAUAAUCUUUGUACUACAAAUAAUAAUAUUUUUGAUAUUAAUGCUUUGAACUACGGUAAAAAUAAAUAUUAAUAUUUUCAAUUAUAAUUAAAAUAAAAAUAUUUGUACUGCAAAUAAUAAUAUUUAUACCACAAAUAAUAAUAUUUUUCAUAUUAAAGAUUUAAACUAUAAUAGAAAUAUUAAUAUUUAUAACACAAAUAAUACUAUUUUUAAUAUUAAUAUCUUCAAUUAUGAUAAAAAUAAUAAUAUUUAAGGCGAGGCUAUUGCCCUCGCACUGGGUCAGGCCCGAGAACCACGUGGUGUUGGUGUUGGUGAUGGCUUGCCCUUGUCCUGGGUGGGAGCCAGGCCCGCGCCCCCAUGUGGGACACAUGGCGCGUGGACUAGCUGCCCUUGUGCUAGGUCAGGCUAGCGCGCCACGUGGCGCUGCGGCCGGCUUGCCCUUCUCACAGGGCUAAUGGGUCCUACAUUUGGACCUAAUUUUCUUAAUUCUUUGUCAAGACCUGAGGCUAUUGGGUUUUAGGUUUCUAAAUAUAAUUAUUUUCCUUAUAAAUAUUAUUAUUUUUAUUAUAGUUGAAAGUAUUAAUAUCAAACAUAUUAUAAUUUGUGUUCUAAAUAUUAUUUGUUCAAUUCUAAUAAAAAUGAUAAUAUUUAUACCCAAAAUAAUAAUAUUGUUGAUAUUAAUACUAUGAAGUAUAAUAUAAAUCAUAAUAUUCAGAACACAAAUAAUACUAUUUUUAAUAUUAAUACUUUCAAUUAUAACAAUAAAAAAAGAUUUAUACAGCAAAUAAUAAUAAUAUUUAAACCGCAAAUAAUAUUGUUUUUAGUAUUAAUACUUUCAAUGAUAAUAAAAAUAAUAAUAUUUAUAGCACAAAUAAUAAUAUUUUUUAUAUUAAUACUUUGAACUACAAUAAAAAUAAAUAUCAAUACUUUUGAUUAUAAUAAAAAUAAAAAUAUCUAUACUGCACAUAAUAAUAUUUUUACUACAAAAUAAUAAUAUUUUUUAUAUUCAUGCUUUAAAAUAUAGUAGAAAUAUUAAAAUUUAUAACACAAAUAAUAGUAUUUUAAUAUUAACAAAUAAUAAUAUUUAUGGUGCUUGGGUUUACCCUUGCACUGGGUCAGACCCUGAACUGAGAGACUUCAACCACCAAUCAAAUUAGAAUAGUAGAAAUAUUCAUGCUUUGAAAUAUAGUAGAAAUGUUAGAAUUUCUGUGCCGUUGCAUUUCAUGCCAGCUAUGUUGUUGACACUGGACUGAGAGACUUCAACCACCAAUCAAAUUAUUCUUAUUGACUUUUUGUGCGGUUUUGCCGUCAAAGUUCAGAAACCUUGGCUAUUAGAAUAGUCAAAGUGUUUAUUUUUGUAUUUUAAACGUGUCGAGACCUGGCGUGUGAGCUGUUCUACUUGUGCGCCCGUGUCAGCACCCAAUGACAAUGGAUCGGGUGUAAGGAUUGAAUGGCAAUGGGUCUGCUUGUAGAUCCAAUUCGCUUUAAUCCUUGCCGGAUCUAAAUAAUUUAUGUUUUAAAUAUUUUUUAUUUUUUAUUUUUAAUAUAAUAAUAUAUGUUAUAAAUAUUAUUAUUUUUUUAUAAUUUAAAAUAUUAAUAUAAAAAUGUUAUUAUUUAUGUUAUAAAUAAUAUUAUUUUUAUUAUAACUCAAAUUAUUAAUAUAAAAAAUAUUAUUAUUUCUGUUAUAAUCAUCCUCAGAAUUUUUAAUAUAAUUAGAUAUGUUAUACAUAUUAUUAUUUUGAUUAUAAUUAAUAAAAAAUUAAUAAAUUAAAAAAAUAUUAAAAAAUAUUAUUUUUUGUAUUAUAAAUUUUUACAAUAUUUUUUAUAAAAAUAAAAAAUAAACCCACCACCACGUAGCAGGCAUCCACCUAGUUGGGUGCAACUGUGCAAUUGCCUUGUAAAAUUGCCUUAUUCAGUAGUAUUUGUAAUUUGGUGUAGAGCUGGUAUCAUUCUUUGAAAUCAUAGUUAUUACGUCAUUGAGUUAACUCGUGUGUUAAUUAUAGGAUCAAUCAUUUUACUUCAUUUUUUUCUUUAAAAAGAACAAAAUUUUCACAAACAGAUAAUCCUAUUGCAUCUUAAACUUCAAGUUUCCAGCAACUAAACAAUAUCUACAUUCAAUUAGAACUUGUGGUACAAUUACCUGACAGCGAAAUAAAAAAGGAGGAGGAGGAACCCCCCUGGAUCUAUUACCGGACAUAAUAAUAAUCAUCAUUCUAUUUCAAUAUCUUUUUUUGCUAUAAUUAAUUUUUAAAGUUGAUUUGAUUAGUAUUGUACUUUUCUCAUUCUAACAUUCAAAUCCUACUAUUGUUCCUCUAUCCUGUUCUGCUGCAAAUAAACAUCACAAGAUCCUUGUCUUCGAUCUAGGAAUUGCUGGUUCUACUAUCUUGUUCUGCUGGAGGAUCAUCACGUGCUUCAGAUUUUGAAUUUAGUAAUAGAAAAUCCAUUGCUAAAAAGGAUUAAAAAAAUAUUAAAUUAUUUAAGUGAUCUGCAACGGAUUUUUCAUUGUUGACGCGGCAACAUCAAAUCUGCAACUGAUUCAAAAAAUAAAUUAAACCCUUAAUUAUAUAAAAUCUCCAUCCUCUCCUUUUCUCUUUUUCUGCAUCUUCAAAAAUUCAAAUUUUUUUCUCCAUCUCUUUCUCUAGUCUAUUCACCGCCUUCAAAAAUUCAAAAUCCAAAAACUUUUUCAUAUUAAGUAUGAAUUUUUUAUAUCAAAAUCUAACUCAAUCAGGUUUCAAGUAUUCAUGAACGACUCCAAACAAUUUUGAUAUCAAGAACAAACCAACAUCAAAUCAGAACAAAUUGUUCAUAACCGAGAAAAGUAAAGCCCAGAACAAAGAAGAAAAUAUAAAAAACCGUUGGUUCCCUGAUGUGCUCCAGUUUCCGGCUUCCAUCAACGGUUUUCUUGUGUUUCACAAAAGAGGUUACUAUCUUGGGUAACGUCCAAAUUCCAUCUAUGGAAUGAUGCAGCCAAAACUUGGCAAAUUCUCGUAAUCGUUGUUCUCUGUAAUCUGUAAAGAAGCUAUCAAUAGCUAUGGCCAUAAACGGUGUAGGAGUUCUAAAUCCUAGCACCCACCCAGCAUUGUUUUGAAGAAGUAUAUCUUCUUUGCCUGUUCUUUACCCUUUUUUAUGUAUGUAAUACGUAUAUACAAGCAUUCAGAUUGCUUUGAUUUUUUUGUUAGGAAAGUAUUAUGUAAACUAGAUUCAUAAUUUCUAAUUUGUAAGAGAAUAUAUGAUCUUAUUUAAAUACAUUAAAAAAUUAAUUUCUUCAUUUCUCUUAAUUUUUAAGAAAAUCUUUCUUCUCUUAUAAUUAUAGUUAUUGUUUUUUUAAAUCUAAAAUCAAUGUCAUGGUUAAAUAGAAUGGUAUGUUGUCCUUAUUUUUAUUAAAUUAAAUUAAAAAAAAAAACUAAAUUUCUUAAAGAAAUUGCUGUUUACCAUGACCAUGAUAAAGUUGUUCUUUAACCAUUAAACCUUUUAAACCUCUAUGAUUUUUUAAUUUACAAAUUGUUUUCAAAUUAAGGAAAUUCUUAAGAAAAUCUAUCAUAUUAUAUAUUUUUUUAAUUUCACCCCUAUAAUUUUUUUAAUCUUUUAAAUUUAAUUUUUAUUAUUUUUAAUUACUAUUUGUUUUUACAGUUUCAUCUUUCUUGGAUUUUUUUUGCCUAUGAAAUUAUAUCCUUAUUUUUUUAUUGUUAUAUUUUUUGUUUUUGCAAGUCAUCCGAGUUUACUUGAUUUUUUUUCUUUUUUAAGCUGAUGUUUUUUUUUUUUUAGUUUUGUUUUGUUAUUUUUACUUUAUAGAGUUAGCUCUAAGUUACCAGAUUUAAAAUUAUUUUUUUAUAGUUUCACCUUUAAUAUUGAAUUAUUUGAUAAUACAGGGGGUACAGUUCUAGGGUUUUUUUAAUUUUUUUAAUUCUCAUUGUUUUAGUUAAUUUAUUGUAGUUGUAUUUUUUAUAUAUAUUUUGAACCAAUUAGUUGUAUCUCAAAUUUUUUAUUAUGUAAUAUUAUUUUUUUAAGUUAAAAAAAUACUUCCUCUCGCAGUGGAGCACGGACAAAUGUUCCAGGGUACAUUUUAUAAGAUAUGAUCCCAGGAUACGAUGUAGAUCUUGUUAAGUAGGUUGUGGAACUUGCAGGUUCAAAUGGUUUGAAGAUUCUGAAGACAUUAUUUAUCCAGAUUUCAAAGAAGAUAACAUAAUGGUUUUGGUGAAUUGUGCUCGAACUCUUUGCAUUUCAGGAUCCUCUACUGGUCGAUACAGGCCUUGACACGUCCUGGAUGACUGGAUGCUGCCGGAUGUGACCUGAACCAUAGCUUGAUGCCACCGACCUUUCUGUGGCUCCUGGCUCCAUGUUCCUUAUUCAAACCAUUCAUAAAGGUAUCUUAAAUAGUGCAGCCUGAGCUUUACCGGUUACGCUUUUUUUUAGGAAGAUUAUUGUUAAAUUAUUAUUUUUUUAAAUAUAUUAAAAUAAUUUUAUAUUUUUUAUAAUUUUUAAUAUUAACACAUUAAAAUUAUCAAAAAUAUUAAAAAAUCAAUAAUUUAAUAUAUUUUCAAAUAAAAUAUAUUUUAAAAAAACAUACAUUACCACUAUUCUCUCAAACAAAUAAUCCUAUUGCAUCUUAAAUUCCAACAAUGAGUACCCCGAUCAAACAAUAUUUACAUUCAAUUAAAACUUAUGGUAUAAAAUUACCUGACAGCGAAAUAAAGAAAAAGGAGGAACCCUGUAUCUAGGAAAUUUCUAUUAGGCCUACAAUCCGAGGCUGUAACUGGAUCUACACUGAAGAAAUUUCGUGGGAAAUGGGUUGGGAGAAAUUUCUGUGCUGAUGCCAGCUAUGUUGUUGACACUGGACAGAGAGACUUCUUCAACCACCAAUCAAAUUUGCUUGUAAUGUGAGGGAGUGUGGGAUACAAUUGGUUGCAGGCAAACACAAGUAAAUUUGUACAGAUCUUGUUUUCUUUCUAUUUGUCCUUGAAUAAACUUAUUGCACUUGUUAUCCCACUUUUUCGACGAUGGGAUCUCUUGGCAAAUAAAGCGAGGACAAACCGAGUAAAAUGUGGGACCUAACUCCAUUUUCCUGGAACACGCAACUCACGCAUACACUAACUCCCGCCCUUUUCCUCGCUGGAUCCUUGAUAUCUUCAAGGGGUGCAAGCGCCUUGUUCGAGGAUUGAGCAUAAAAGACUAAAAGAGUUAAAGAAAUACUAAAAGACAUAAAGUGAAGUUUUUUAUAAUAUUCAUAGCAAUGUUCAUCAGCUAAUUUAUAAUUUAUAAUUUAUAAUUUAUUUAUCUGCUAAUUAUCAAUGAAUGAAAAGUGAUAAAAGAAAAGGAGAAAAGGAGAGAAGAAAUAAAGUGAAGUUUUCUUCCGCAUUAUUAGCACAUCACGUGAAAAGAAAGAUUGGCAUCUACUAAAAGCAAUCCCAAUCAAACCCAUUUUUUCGACGAUGGGAUCUCUUGGCAAAUAAAGCAAAGGACAAACCGAGUCAAAUGGAGUCCACAGCAUAACAAGGGUCGAGAGAGAAAAGGCUUUUGCGAGUUCUGUGUUCUGUAUACUUCUCAAGGGGAAAAAAUAAUGUUUUGUUAGGGAUUUGUUUUUGAUAGAAUUGUUAGAGAUCUUAGCCGAUGCAUCUGGAUUAUAAUUUUUAGCAUUUAUACUAUUUUAUAGCGCUAAUAUCUUAAAAAACUUAUUUUCUAGCUUUUUUUAUGGUAUGAUGAAAUAUUAAAAAAUAUUUUUCAACUCAUUAUCCUUAAUACAAUUAAAUUUCAUAGAAUAGUCUAUUUUUUAGAAAUAUAGUUUACUAUAAGAUUUAUUUGAUAAAAGAAAUUCACUUUGUAACAAUGCACUAGAAACUAAAAAAAAAGAAGCUAAUGAUCAUUUAAAAAUAUAGUAUAUUGGAAUCAUCUUGCUCAAUAGGUGAGUUCGGGAGUUUGGUUGCUUAACAGGUGAGUGAAGGUUAAAUGUACCCAAUUAAAUAAUAUCUAUAUUCAAUUAAAACUUAUGGUAUAAUUACUUGACAGCGAAAUAAAGAAAAGUAGGAACCCUGUAAUAUCUAGGACAUUUCUAUGCUCUUUAAAUUAGGCGUCCAAACUGAGGCUAUAAUGAGCCCUGAAUCUACACGGAAGAAAUUUCAUGGGAAAUGUAAUUUCAGAAGACCAUGACUCAAAUCAGCGGCUGAAAUCCAAUCACUCAAGGGAUGGUGACACGUUGCCUUAUGUGGGAGACAGCUGGUCUCCAGUACGAAGAGAGACAACAAUAUUUUUUUUAUUAAAAGCGAGUGUACGAACUUCCACGUAUUUUAAUUUAUUUUAUUAAUUUUAAAUUUAAUAAUUAUAUAAAUUUUUAGUAAUUCUAAAAAAAUUUAAAUUCAUAACUAUUAAAAUACAAAUAUAAAACUUAAUCAAUUAGGUGACUCCACAAUAGUAUUUUCAUUAAAUAGAGUGUUUAUUUUUCUCAGUGUCUUUGUUCUCGUGACAGCUCAUGAUGAUGGGGGCUUAAAAAAAAUUAAAGAGAUUAUUUUCACUUGUGAUUUAUUUGAUUUAAAUAAGUAUUUAAUUAAAAUUAUAAUUAAAAAUGUUGUUUAAUAAAAAAAUAUUUUAAAAAUAUUUAAUUAAAAUUAUAAUUAAAGAUAUAUUGUAACUAAAAUUACUAUAAAAAAAAAGAUCCUAGUGAAGGUGGAGAGGAUGAGAAUAAUGAUUGGAUAUCUUAAUAAUUGUAAAAAGAAAGUAUCUUUUUAUGGUGAAGUUAUCGGUAAAUGAGAAAAUACUGAGUUUUGUAGCUCAGAAAAAAAACGUCAUUCAACUAAUAAAAUGAUCCAUCUACAUAAAAAAAAAAAAACAUCAUUCCCAGGUGUGGAAGAUAAAAUUAAUCAACAUAAUCUUAUUGGAUUGCAUUUUAUUAUUCAUAUCAAACAAUCAGUAUCCUUAAUAGUGAUUUUUGGAUAUUUUUAUUUUUGCAACUCAACUAUACUUUUUAAUAUAAUAAUUUUUUUACCUAAUUUUUUAUUAUUAUUAUUUCAGUAUCAUUUUGUUAUUUCUAACCGUUUGCAUUUAUGAGGUUAGUCCUGAAUUCAUGAAUUAUCGAUUUUUAAAAUUAAUGUAAGUUGAUUUUUAUUAUUUUUUAUUUUUUUAUUUUUUUAAAUUAAUUUAUUUAAAUUUUAUCAUUUAAUUUUUUUUUUCAAGAUUUCUUUUUAAGAGACUAACCCUUCAUUGACAAGCACUAAUGUACUCUGAAAAACAUAAUCUCAUUGCAUCUGACGCUUUAAAUUCCAACAAGGAGUACCUUCACAACGAAAUAAAGAAAAGUAGGAACCCUGCAUCUGGGAAAUUUUUAUGAGGCUCCAAUCUGAGGCUCUAACGAGCCCUGAAUCUACACACAAGAAAUUUCGUGAGAAAUGGGUUGAUGUCAGAGGGAGAUCAGGAAGCGUACUUUCAGAAGACCAUGACACAAAUCAACGGCUGAAAUCCAAUCACUCAAGGGAUGGUGACAUGUUGCCAUGAGUGGGAAACAGCUGGUCUCCAUCUGAAUGUUUAAAGAUGAUUGGGUAUCUUAGUAAUUGUAAAAACAAUUGAUUUUUUUUUUUGAUGAAGUUGUCGGUGUGGAUGAGAAAAUACUGAGUUUGUAGCUUAGUAAAAACAUGUUGAUGUUACUUUUUAUUAGCUCAUGGUUGGCCCGUAAAUUGUAAUGGGUCCCACAAUCACAAACCUAUGAUUCACAUGUAAUUUAUGUUUUAUAUAUUUUUUUAAAAUUAUUAUUUUUAUAUUUUUAUACCAUUUUCAUUUUAAAAAUUUUAAAUUUAAAAAAUAUUAUUUUAAUAUAUUUUUAAAUAAAAAAUACUUUAAAAAACAAUAAUAUCAAUCAAUGUUUUAUAAAUUCUUUACAAUCGCUUUUACAUUUUUUUAGAUCACAUCUAAGAAUGAGGGACACCACAAUAAAGUCCGUUGUUGCUACAUGAUUAAAGGUAAUUGUCUUGCAUUUACCUUUAAAACUGCUAUCAAGAAUUAAUUAAUUGCGUCAAUUCAAUUCUUUCUAUUGACAUUGAUACCAAACAUGUUAAUUCAUGAUAUAAUUAAGCAAUUCAAUACAAAUUUACUAAUAUAAUUUAUUUCGGCUUAAACCUUUGAAUAUAGCCAAACUCAGAGGUUAUGCAAGUGAAAUACCUUAAUAAUUAAAUUAAAAAAAGAAAACAAAAUAUAAUGUAUAAAAUAUAAUAAUACAAUGUAUAAUUUAUAAUUUAUUUAUUUGCUUUAUCAAUGAAAAGUGAUGGUAGGAGGGAGAGAGAGAGAGGAAAUAAAGUGAAGUCUUCUGCUGCCUGAUCACAUCACGUGAAGAGCUUGGCAUUUAGUGAAGUUUUUCCGAUCAAACCCACUUUUUUCAAAGAUGGAAUUUCUUGGAAAAUAAAUCAAACACAAACCGAGUAAAAUGGAGUCCAGAGCAUAACAAGAGCCGAGAUUGAAACAGGAAAUGCAGGAAAAAGAAGAUGGGCCCUUGUUUUCUCUUUUUAUGGCCGGCGACCGGAUAUAUAAAAGGGAGGAGAUGAAGCUUUCAAAUUAUUUACAAUUUUGCGGUCACUUAUUGUGUCCAUGUCAUUUUGUGUAAUCGCCCAGCUACCGGUACUAUUUUAACACUGUUAAAAGUCUAAAUAAUCAACAUUUCCCCAAUUUAUCUCUAAAAAAAAUUCACUUCAAUUAAUAGCAACUUUUUUUUAUUUCUUAUGUCAAUGUUUACCUCUUUUUGAUAAACUCGUAUGUUUUUGUACCAGAGGUCUCAAAUUAUUCUGUCCAGUUAUUGCUUAUUUAAAUUCAUUAAAAUGUUUUAAAUAACUUUUUUAAAUUUUAAUCCCAGAGUUUACAUACAUAAUACAUGAGUUAUAUACAUUAUGAUUCAAAAUAUUGUUAUAACUAAAUUUAAAAAAAAUACAAAUGAUCAAACCAUUGAUGCUGGUGAUGCUCUCGUCUCCAGAAUGGUCCGCUUGUACUUGGCUGAUGGAGCUGAGGGAAAGCCAUUGGCUGCAGAGUGCGCACUGUGAUUUUCGCGAAAUGAAUUAGGGCAGGGAGCUUUUUAGAAGCAAAUUUUGUUCUCCGUCAUUUUGUAAAUUCUCGCAGCUGCUUGUUAGACGCCAUAAAUAGUCUAAGCUUGUUGUUGAGAUUUUUUAUUUUCUGUAUAUGAAUUUAGAGUUAAUUUCUUGAAUAUUAAGUUUUCUGAUUUUUCUAUAUAAUUAAUUUUUUAAGUUGAUUUGAUUAGUAUUAUUGUACUCUUCUCAUUCUCAAUAAAAAAAAAAAGAAAAAAAAACCAGAAGAGUAUUUUCUUUCUAUUGAAAACAUUUGUGGUUAGAACAAAGUAAUUUUCACUGGAGUGUCGUUUUGGGAUGCAACAUGAACUUUACCUGUCUAAUUUGUACGGCAUGAGAAGAUGUUGCUUUCCAUGGCUUCCCCCUUAAAAAAAUUCCAUCACAUUUGAGAAUUUUGAUAUAAAAAAGAUAUAUCUCUUUUAAAGAAGAGAAGUGAUACCUAAAAUUUAUAAAUGAUCUAAACUCUUAAUUUUUAAUCGAUGUAAAAUGUUAGAGUAUCAUGUUCCUGAAAAAAUCUUUUUAAGUGUAUAAUAUGUUGCAUUGAUAGGUUUGAAUGUUUUUAUUACUGAAAUGCUUUUGAGAAGCGGCGUGCGUGCGGCUCCUUUGCAGGCCAAAAACCGCCCUCUACCUUGUUGUUUGGAGAGGAGCAUUAAGAGCUGGGGGUGGUGGUGGGGGCACAAGUCAGUUUUUUUUUUGUUAUUGUUGUAUUUUUUAAUUUAUAUUAUUAAAAUUAUAUAAAUUUAUUAAACUCAUUCGAAUAAAUAAAAUAUGUGUCUGAAUUGUUUUUUCUUUGAAAAUGCUUAUGUCUCCUUAACUUACUUUAUUUUACAAUAGAAAAAUGUAGGCCGGCUCGCGGGACCUUAUCUAGUAAUACAUAAGACCAGUAUCAUUUUUAGGCUUAAAUUUUGAUUAAAGAGAACAUUAACAUGUUUAGUAGUAGUGCAUACUGUUUAUUUUUGCGUUUCAAAAAUAUUCUUGAAAAAAAUUAAAAUAUAUUUUUUAUUUUUUUGCUUUAAAUUAAUAUUUUUUGUGUUUUCAAAUCAUUUUGAUGUGAUGAUGUCAAAAAUAAUUUUUAAAAAAUAAAAAAAAUAUUAUUUUAAUAUAUUUCCGAGUAAAAAAUACUUUAAAAAUUAACCACAAUCAUUAAAAAAAAAAAAAAAAAAAGAAGAAGCAAGAGCAGCAAGUUGGAAGCGCUUAUCUUGCUCCCAAAUCUUCUACAUAACCUUUCAAUAUAAUGCUAUUCCACCAAGGGAGUUUUUCAGAAUCUCCAAUCUUUUCAGGAUAAAAACAUCGAUUACAUCUAUACAAUCAUUUAUGGGCAUCUUCCCCAUCAAAGCUGGGAAAGUCACAUAUGGGUUUGUGCAUCCUAAACUGAGAGUGUCACAGGCUUAGACGCAAAGGCACGUNNNNNNNNNNNNNNNNNNNNNNNNNNNNNNNNNNNNNNNNNNNNNNNNNNNNNNNNNNNNNNNNNNNNNNNNNNNNNNNNNNNNNNNNNNNNNNNNNNNNGCAGACCAAGAAAGUUACUUGUGGGCAGUUACGAAGCAGUUACGAGGAAGUUGGUUUUCUUUAAAAUGUGCUGUCUAGAGUUAAUGAAUCUGUCAAAGUGCAUUUUUAUUUGUAACUUCCAUUGUAUGUAGGUGUAUUACAUAGGGCCUAAACAUGUGUAACAUGUAGAUCGGAUUGUGCAUAACACACAUACAUUGUUAUUGUGUAUUCCCUUUGUUGAUGGAUAAAUAUAGGUUGAGUUGUUUCCUGUAAAUUGCUUGUGUUGUGUUGAUCAUUAGCUUGUGUUCUUUGUCGCCAAAAUUGGUAAGAGGUGUGGGGAAAACCUCUAGGUGUGUGAAACACUUAGACUCUAGGCAAACACGAGUGGCUUAGAAAGAUGGUUGAGUCUAGUAACGGGACUAGACGCCCGCGCUGGGAUUAAAAUUGUGAUGAAAAUUUUAUCGUGACAGAGAGUGCUCACCUUCACUAGGUAUUAGCCUCCCCUGUGGAAAGUUGUAGUGUUUGAAGAAGGGAUGUUUGUUGAUAAGCUAUUCCCCUAAUGAGACCCUGAGUUCAUUAAACUGUAAUAUGUUGCAUUUAAUAGUUUGGGGCAAAAUUAUAUUAACCCUGAUUAUUUUUUAAGUGUAUAAUAUGUUGCAUUUGGGGCAAAAUUAAUAGUUUUAAAUGCGUUUAUUACUUAAAUGCUAUUGAGAAGCACUUACAGGGUCCUUUGCUGGCCAGAAACUGCCUUCCAUUGUGGUGUUCACGGCAGAGCAUUAGGGGCUGUCUGAUGGUGGGGCACAAGUCCAUUGACGAUUUUCUUCUUCACCUUUUUUUUUUUUUUUCUUCAUCUUCUUUUCUUUCUCCUCUCCUCAAAUACAAAAGUUUCCUUUUAUUUUUUUAAACAAUUUAAUUUUUUUUUUAUUGUUAUUUUUUUUAUCUUUUAUAAAUUUUUUUCUUUAAUUUUUUCUUUAAUUAUUUGAUUUUAUUUAAUUUUUACAUCAAAAUUUAUCCUUAUUCUUUUAAUUACUAUUUUUUUCUAAUUGAAUUUUUUUUUUAAAUUACAUCCAUCAACAUUUGAUUUCCAUUUAUUUUAAUGUCAAAUUCAAUUAAUUUUUUUUAUUACUAUUUGUUUUAUUUUAUAUCAUUUUUUAGUUGCCAUUUUUUUUAAAUUUUAUCUCUCAUUAUUUUGUGAAGAAGAAUUUAACUUCAUUAUUUUUUAGGGUUUAUCUUCUAUGAAAUUUGUCUUAACUCUUGAGCUCAUGACUAAGAUCACGAGUUUCAAAUAUUAACACAGAAUUACUCUCUAUUGUUACUCUCUAUUGUUCCGACCGGAUCGGGUCCGAUCCAAAGCUAAAUGCAUUGAACUGGGUCUGAUCCAGUUAAAAAAAAUUAAUUUUUAUUUUUAUUUUUAAUUGUGUUUUAUUCAAAAAAUUAGAAGGAGAUCGCUUGAUGACGUAACAUUUGCAGAAUUUGAUCGCAAUCUCAAUUUUGUUCCUGAUGUUGUUGCGCGCUUAAGAAAUCAAGAAAACUGUAGUCCUUGUCGGAUGUAUUUCGUACGUGAUGGAAUUGUAGAUAUUUUAAGGAAACAAUAAAAAAUAUUUUAUAUAAGUAUUACUUAUUUCAUGAUAUAAUAUCAAUAGUUAAACUUACAAUAUUUAAAUUAAAAACCAUCAAUAUAUAUAUAUAUAUAAUUAUUUUAUAACCCUAAUUUAAAAAAUAUUAUUUUAACUAAACAAAUUAAAUUAAUUUUUAUUAACAAAAUAAUUUUUUUUCAAACUAAAAGUUACCGCAAUAACAUAAUCACUCUAAACUAUCACUUUCACCACUCAGAAUAUUUGUCAUCUAAAACACUGAGCUGGAGCUAUUGGAGGAAGGAGAGAAAAGAAAUAAAGUCUCCAGCUGAAUGAUCACAUCAUCACGUGAAAAGCUUGGCAUUUUAAAAAAUGGAAUCUCGAGGUAAAUAAAUCAAAGACAAACCGAGUAAAAUGGAGUCCAGAGCUUAACAUGUUACCAGUUACAGAGCCGAGAGAGAAACUUUUUGCGAGUUCUUUACACUAAACUUUUUUGCAAUAUUGUUUUAACGGGUUAGUAUUAAAAAUAAUAUUUUUUUUUUAAAAAUAUUAUUUUAAUAUAUUUAUAAAAAAAUAUUUUAAAAAUCAACCACUAAUACACUAUUAAACACCCCUAAAUAUUUUAUAAAUUCUUCAUAGUAGCUUUUACAUUUCUUUAGAUCUCAUUUGACAAUGCUUUACACCACAAUAAAAAAAAAAUCAUGUUUUAUGUUUUUAUUGGCAAAAUGUAACUGCAACCGCAUUAAAGUUCGCUGUUGCUGCAUUAUUAAAGGUAAAUGUCUUGCAUGGAUUGACUACCAGUCAUAUUUUUUUUCCUUUGUUUUUUUGUAAGUUACUAAAUUUAUAAUGGUAUCAUUUUAAGAGAUUUUUUUUAAAAUACAACUAUAUUAAAAAAAUUUAUAAUUAUUUUUUAUUUCAGCAUAUCAAAAUAAUAUAAAAACAUCCAAAAAUUAUUAUUUUAAAGCAAAAAUAAAAUUAAAAAAUUUCAAAGUUUUUCAAAAGAGUUUCUGAAACGCAAAAAUCCAUAAAACUCAAUUAACAAAAGAAGGUAAAAACUGAUGCACAAAAACUACAUUUCACACUCAAUUUUUUAAUGGCCCCGUAAUAUAAAACACAUUUGGUUUGUUACCAAACAUUCUGUUACGUUUGUUUCACCGUAAACGUAAAAGCCAGCGAGAAACAGACGCAACUUUAAGUCUUAUUUGUUUGCUGAAAGUAGUUUCCUUUUGAAAAAUGGUUUUCUUGGAAAGUGGAUUUCUAAAAAGUGAAUUAUUUUUUGUUUGGUAGUGUAAUGAAAAAUAAAUUGAAAAACAUCUAGUGUUUGGUUAUGUCAUGGAAAAUGAGGUAGAAAAGAUCUUAUUAAUAUUUUUUUUCAAGUUUAUUAAAAUAAUAAAGAAUAAAUCUUACAAAUUAAAAAGGUGAAUGAGAAUGAAAUUGAAAAAAAAUUCUAAUUUCAUAAAUUAUCUCAAAUAAAAUAAAUAACAAUUAAAAUAAUGGAGAUCAAAUUUAAAAGAUAAAAAAUUGAAAGAUGAUGAAAUUAAAAUAAUAGUACUUACAAUUUCAUAAAUUAUUACAAAUAAAAUAAGUAACAACCAAAAAAAUGAGGAUCAAAUUUGAUAGAUAAAAAAUUUCAAUUAAAAAAAUAAUAGGAGAAAAGCAAAUAACAAUCAUAAAAAUAAACACCAAAGUUAAUAUAAAAAUCAAAUUUAAUCAAAUUCUAAGGAGUGAAAUUGAAGAAAAAAAAUUCAAAACAAAAUAUAUAGCAAUCAAAAGUUUAAGGACCAAAUUUGUUAUAAUUAGCAAAUAAUAUGAUGUUUUUAAUUUUUUCACAACUUUUGAAAAGUGUUUUAUGCCCGAAAAAAAGGAAAAAACUUUCCUGGAAACUAAACCAAAUUUUUCUUUGACCAGAAAAUAUUUGUGGUUGAUUAAUUUUUCUAAUAACAUAUAAAUACAAAAAAGUUCAAAAAAUAAUUUUAAAAAAACCACUUUCCACCAAAUAAACAAACAAAGCAUUAAUAAUACUACUUUUUGUAUAGUCUUAAUAGUAGGAACCUCUUAUUUGAACUCUAGGCGUUUAUUUUUUGAAAAGUGAUUUCCGGAAAAUCACUUUUUCAAAUUUUUUUGUGGUUGGUUGCCAUUAGAAAAGUUGAUCAACAGAAAAAACUUUACAGUCAAAAGAAAAUUUGGCUUGAUUUUCAUAAAAGUGUUUUCCUUUUAUUUUGAGCGGAAAACACUUUCCGGAAGUUGUGAAAAAUUUAGAAAUGUCAUAUUAUUUGCUGAUUAUAUCAAAUCUGGUACUCAAACUUGUGAUUGCUAUAUAUAUCUUGUUUUGAAUAUUUAUUUUUCAGUUUCAUCCCUUCCAAUUUAAUUUUUAUUUUAACUUUGAUCCUUAUUUUUAUAAUUGUUAUUUGCUUUUCCUUUAUCAUUUUUUAAUUGAAAAUUUUUAUCUAUCAAAUUUGAUCUUCAUUCUUUUGAUUGUUACUUAUUUUAUUUGAAAUAAUUUAUGAAAUGGUAAUUAUUAUCAUUUUAAUUUCUUCAUUUUUUUUUAAAGAUUUGAUCUCUAUUAUUUAUUUUAUUUGAGAUAAUUUAUGAAAUUAUAUUUUUUUUCAAUUUCAUUCUCAUUUAACUUUUUAAUUUGUAAGAUUAGUUUCUCGUUAUAUUAAUAAAUUUUUAAAAAUAAAACAUUAAUAAGUUCAUUAUCAUUUUCUUUGACAUAACUAAACACUGAAAAAUAUUUUCCAACUUUUUUUUUAUUAUAUUACCAACAUCAAAAAAUAAUUCACUUUAUCAAAAUUUAUUUUUUACUUUUCAUCAAAUAAACUACAUCUCCCACUUUUAUGCAUCACCUGCUGUCUGUUUUUUAUUCUAAGUUUGCAUGUAAAGUGUUUUUAAAAUUUAUAAAAGAAGUUACUGUUUACAUUGCUGUAGCCCUCGAGUAUACAAAGAGAUAUUCCUGGGAAGUAGCUUUAUGCCACUUCCCUUGAAUAUCCAAGAAGAUGCAUAAUUUUUUUAAAAAAAACAUUAAAAAAAAACAUAAUAAUUUACGAUGGAAGUCCUCAUAAUCAAUGCAUAAAAUGUUUUUUUUUUUGUUAAAAAUAAUUUUUAAUAUCAUAUAUUAAAAUAAUUUUAAAAUAUAAAAAAAUUCAAUUUUUUAUUGAAAAACUAAAAGUGCUUCAUAAGAAAGAGCGAAGGCGAUAUUCAUUAUAACUUUACUUCCCCACCUCUCUCGCCUACGUGCAGCAACCACUACUAGAUGUUCAUGGCGUCUUCUUCUUCUUCGUCUAGACCUGGUUGGGAUUACGAUGUAUUUCUAAGUUUUAGAGGUGAAGAUACUCGCAAAAAUUUUACGGAUCAUCUUUUCACUGCUUUACAGAAAGCAAAAGUCCGUACAUUUCGAGAUGACGACGAACUUCGUAUAGGUGAAGAAAUCUCCUUACAACUCCCCAAAGCAAUACAAGAAUCCAAGAUUUCUAUAGUGGUUUUCUCCAAGGGCUAUGCUUCCUCCACUUGGUGUCUUGAUGAACUUGAAAAGAUUCUUGAUUGCAAACACACAACUGGUCAGAUUGUUAUACCUGUUUUCUAUGAUAUUGAUCCUUCUGAUAUUAGAAAACAGACGGGGAGUUUUGCUGAAGCCUUUGAUAAGCAUGAAGAACGUUUUAAGGAAGAAAUGGAGAAGGUCCAUAAGUGGAGAAAAGCUCUCGUGGAGGCUGCAGAUUUAUCUGGGCUGGAUCCUCACAGUAUCGCAAAUGGGUACUUCUUUUCUUUCCCUGUAUCAAUAGCAAAUGCUUAUAACUUUUACUCUUAUUAUGUUUUGUAUUUUAAAUUUGCAUUAAAUUCAAAAGAUUUAUCUUUCAUCGAUGAGUGAUGACUUUUUUUUUCUAUGCGCAGGCAUGAAUCAAAAUUAAUUCAAAAGAUUGUCGAAGUAGUUUCAAGUAAAUUGAAUCCCAGAUUUUUGUCUGACGAUAGGCCGCUGAAGAGGUUGAAGACAACAAUGAUAUCUGGUGGUGGGCUGCUUGACGAUGCUGAGGAGAAGCAGAUAACAAAUACAUUUGUGCGGGAUUGGCUGGCCGAGUAUAAAGACGCUGUCUAUGAGGCCGAAGACUUCUUGGAUGAGAUUGCUUAUGAAGCUGAAGCUCAAACCUUCAUUAACCCACCUGGAAUAAUGGGGUUGAGAGAGAUAGAAGAAAAAUCAAGAGGCCUCCAGGAGAGUCUAGAUUACUUAGUAAAACAAAAGGAUGCCCUUGGUUUGAUCAACCGCACUGGAAAAGAACCAUCAUCAACUAAAAGACCAACAACUUCUCUGGUGGAUGAACGUCGUGUUUAUGGUAGAGAUUAUGACAGGGAAGCAAUACUGAAGUUGCUUGUAUCAGAUGAUGCAAAUGGAGAAAACCCAGGUGUUGUUCGCAUAGUGGGCAUGGGCGGGGUUGGUAAAACCACGCUUGCUCAGCUUGUGUACAAUCACAGCGAAGUACAGAGGUGCUUCAAUCUCAAAGCUUGGGUUUGUGUUUCAGAAGAUUUCAGUGUUUCAAAGUUAACCAAGGUUAUCCUUGAGGAGGUCGGCUCAAAGUCUGAUUCUGGGAGUCUGAAUCAGCUCCAGAUUCAGUUGAAGGAGAGGUUUCGGGAAAAUAAAUUUUUGCUUGUUUUAGAUGAUGUAUGGGAAGAAAAUUAUGCUGAAUGGGACACGUUGCUUACACCCUUGAAAUCUGGAGCACAAGGGAGUAAGAUUCUUGUGACAACACGCAAUGAAAGGGUAGCAUCAGUCAUGUCAACUGUUCAAACUCGUCACCUAAAAGAAUUGACGGAAGACAGCUGCUGGUUCUUGUUUGCCAAACAUGCAUUCGGUGAUGAAAAUCCCAUUGCGCAAGAAGAGUUAAAAAAAAUUGGUAGAGCAAUAACGAAAAAGUGUAAAGGCCUGCCUCUAGCUGCAAAAUCACUCGGAGGUCUGCUAUGCAACGAAAGAGAAGUCGAGGAGUGGCGGGAUAUUUUGGAAAGCAAUCUAUGGGAUUUACCCAAAGACAAUAUCCUCCCAGCUUUGAGAUUAAGUUAUCUUUAUCUCGUGCCACAUCUGAAGCAAUGUUUUGCUUAUUGUGCCAUAUUUCCAAAAGACUAUUCAUUUCGAAAGGAUGAAUUAGUGCUCCUGUGGAUGGCAGAGGGCUUCUUGGUCCGCUCUGCAGUAGAUGAUGAGAUGGAAAAAGCAGGUGCUAAGUGCUUUGAUGAUCUCUUGUCAAGGUCGUUUUUCCAGCAAUCAAGUGCCUCUCGCUCAUCAUUUGUGAUGCACGAUCUCAUGCAUGACUUGGCUACACAUGUGUCCGGUCAAUUUUGCUUCAGCUCCAGUUUGAGGGGAAAUAAUUCUUCCAAGGCCACCAGAAGGACUCGACAUUUAUCACUCGCAGUAGAUACGGAAGACACGGAUGGUGAAGAUACCGAAGAUGGAGAUACGGAAGGUGUUUUUUCAAGCACAAUAUUAGAAAACAUCCGUGAAGCCCAACAUCUACGCACAUUCCGAACUUCUCUAGACAAUCAGAUGUGUCCUCCCGAAUUUGAUAAGAUCUUUCAGUCAACACAUUGUCGCCUACGAGUGAUAUCGUUGUCUAAUUGUGCCGGUGUAGCUAAGAUGCUUUGUUCAAUUAGCAAGUUGAAGCAUUUGCGGUAUUUGGAUCUUUCCUGGUCAGAUUUAGUAACGUUGCCUGAAGAAGUGAGUGCUCUUCUCAAUUUGCAAACGUUGAUCUUGAAAAGGUGCCAACAACUUGCUAGUCUACCUGAUCUUGGAAAUUUGAAGUAUUUACGACAUCUGAAUCUUGAAGCAACAAGAAUAGAAAGGUUGCCUGAAUCUCUGGAAAGGUUAAUCAACUUGCGGUAUCUUAACAUCAAAUACACGCCUUUGAAAGAGAUGCCACAAUAUAUAGGUCAACUGGCAAAGCUCCAAACGUUGACUGACUUUCUCGUGGGAAGACAGAGUGAGACUAGCAUUAAAGAAUUGGGAAAGCUACGACAUCUACGGGGAGAACUUCAUAUUGGGAACCUUCAAAAUGUGGUGGAUGCUCGGGAUGCUGUUGAGGCAAAUUUGAAAGGUAGAGAGCACCUUGAUGAGCUGAGGUUUACAUGGGAUGGUGACACUCAUGACCCGCAACACGUGACAAGCACACUUGAGAAAUUAGAGCCAAAUAGAAAUGUGAAGGAUCUUGAGAUUGAUGGCUAUGGAGGUGUAAGGUUUCCGGAGUGGGUAGGAAAGUCCUCUUUCUCGAAUAUAGUGUCUUUGAGGCUCAGUAGAUGUACAAACUGCACCUUCUUACCACCGCUCGGGCAAUUAGCUUCUUUAGAGCGUCUCUCAAUUGAAGCAUUCGAUAAAGUUGAGAUUGUGGGGUCUGAGUUCUAUGGGAAUUGUACUGCUAUGAAGAAGCCAUUUGAAUCCCUCAAAACAUUACGGUUUGAAGGAAUGCCAGAGUGGCGCGAGUGGAUUUCAGACGAAGGCAGCCGGGAAGGCUUCCCUCUUCUAGAGGAGCUUUUAAUCCAAGAAUGCCCGAACCUUGCAAAGGCCCUACCAUGUCACCACCUUCCACGUGUAACAAGUCUUACAAUUCGUGGAUGUAAGCAGCUCGCGACUCCACUUCCUAGGUUUCCGGAGUGGGUAGGAGAGUCCUAUUUGUCAAAUAUAGUGUCCUUGAAGCUCAUUAGAUGUACAAACAGCACCUCCUUACCACCGCUCGGGCAAUUAGCUUCUUUAGAGCGUCUCUCAAUUGAAGCAUUCGAUAAAGUUGAGAUUGUGGGCUCUGAGUUAUAUGGGAAUUGUACUGCUUUGAAGAAGCCAUUUGAAUCCCUCAAAACAUUAUCUUUUAGAAGGAUGUCAGAGUGGCGCGAGUGGAUUUCAGACGAAGGCAGCCGGGAAGCCUUCCCUCUUCUAGAGGAGCUUUUAAUCGAAGAAUGCCCGAACCUUGCAAAGGCCCUACCUUGUCACCACCUUCCACGUGUAACAAGUCUUACAAUCGGUGGAUGUGAGCAGCUCGCGACUCCACUUCCUAGGUUUCCUGGGUUGCUCUCUCUCAUUGUUUUUGAUUUGCACUCCCUAGAGUCCCUACCCGAGGAAAUUGAUCAAAUGGGUUGUUCACCCUCUGAUUUAGGGAAAAUUAUAAUCCACCGCUGCGCUUCUCUCAAAGGCGUCGCACUGGACUUGCUCCCCAAGUUAAAUUUUCUUCGUAUUCUUGACUGUCCAGAUCUGGAAUCACUAUGUGCAAAUGAAAGACCUCUCAAUGAUCUCACCUCUCUCCAUUCUUUGGAAAUCGAGGGGUGCCCUAAAUUAGUUUCAUUUCCCAAAGGAGGGUUACCUGCUCCAGUCUUGACACAACUUGAUUUAUAUGAUUGCAAAAACUUGAAGCAGUUGCCUGAGAGUAUGCCUUCCCUCCUCCCAUCCCUUAACCGUUUGGGAAUAUAUGGUUGUUCAGAAGUUGAGUUGUGUCCAGAAGGGGUUUUCCCUCCACAUUACAAUUACUUUGGAUUCGUAAUUGCAACAAACUCAUUGCAGGCCGCAUGCAAUGGGGCUUGCUAACGCUCCCUUCUCUUUCACACUUCGAAAUUGGAAUGGACGAAAAUGUUGAAUCCUUCCCUGAAGAGAUGGUGCUGCCCUCAAAUCUUACAUCUCUUAGCAUCUAUGACCUCCAACACCUGAAAUCUCUUGACUACAAGGGGCUUCAACACCUCACCUCCCUUACACGUUUGAGAAUAAGUCGCUGCCCUCGGAUUGAGUCAAUGCCAGAAGAAGGGUUGCCCUCCUCCCUUUCUACUCUUGCAAUUUACAGGUGUCCUAUGCUGGGUGAAAGUUGUGAAAGGGAGAAAGGUAAAGAUUGGCCCAAGAUUUCUCACAUUCCUUACAUAAAUAUUUCCCAAGAUUAAAAGAAGGUUUUCUUUCAAUCGUCCAACAUAUUGAGGUAUUGCUACUAAAUAGUUUAUUUUCCUUUCAGUAAUCAAAGGCAAUUUCAGUUAAAAUUUGGAUGAAUGAAAUACAGAUAUUGUCCAUUUUGUCUGUUUUUAUUUGUUAAAUGUUGAAAUACAGAUAUUUUCUUCCUAUUGUCUCUCAUUCAUCUUCAUAUAUAAUAAUCAUUCUAUUGCAAUAUCUUUUUUGCUAUAAUUAAUGCUACUAUCAAAUGCGGCAAAUGCGGCAAAUAAACAUCACAUGCUUCAGAUUUUGAACUGCCAGCGCCACCCUUAAAAGACAACAGAUUUUUCACAAAAACUGACAAUGGCAAGGGCAGUAAUGGACUCGUUAAUCCAUCGAUGCUUCUCGAGAAGAUGACCAAUCAGAAUGCAAGCACAAAGGAGUGCCACAAACAAGGUAAUUGAAUGGAUUGGGGCUUGAUCAGGUUCCAUACCAUCCUCAAACCGAAAUUCAUCGUAUCAGAAUUGGACCCAACCCUAUAACUAUACAAGGAAAACGAAAACAAAAACAAAAACUGUCAAACAAACUGAAAUCAAUCAAAUUCAAGGUGAUCGAUCACGCAAUUAAUACACAGAGUAACUAGGGUUCCAAAUUACUUCUACAAAAGAAAUUAAUAAAAAAAAUGAAGUGAGAACCUAGAAAGACUCCUUCUCUGAUCUUUUUAGUUUUUACCUUGCAGUUGCAGCCUUGAGAUUCUCUUCAGAUAAAAAGGAAAAGGAAAGCGUUUGGAAUAAUAUAUAUAUAUUUGGUUCGAAGAAAGAGGGAGAGAAAACUUAAAAGCCAAGCAAGAGAAUAUGUUGUCCUUUCUGAGAGAAAGCCAAGUGUGAGGAGUGGAAUGGAGACGACGUCAACGUGUGUGGGCGUGUGUUCGCCUGGAGAGAACGAUUUUAAGUAUAUAUUCCCCCACUUCUGCUGCUGCUGCAUCUGACUAAACGAGAGAUAACCCGGAUUUAUUUGAUUUUGACUUGGAGAGACAGUUUGGCCGUUUGGGGGAUGGAGGGAAUCUUAAUGCAAGCAAAAACCGCGAAACUGCUUCCCUUCCUUUAUUUAUUUAUUCCUUUAUUCAUAUCACGUGAUUUCGAGGGUUCCACACAGGAUAUCACGUGAUUUCAAGGGUGCCGGAAUGUCUUUAAAAAGAUUGUUUUUUAAAAGUAUUUUUAAAAAACAAUAUAUUAAAAAUAAUUAUUUUCAACAUUGAUAAAUUAAAAUGAUAAAAAAAAACAUCAAAAAAUAAUUUUAAAUAAAAAAAUAAACUUUUGUGAAACGUUUUUUUGUACCUUGUCCCUAAACCUCAAUUUUCAUUGCCUAGCAGAGCUGAAAAGGAUUAAAAAAUAUUUAAGUAAUCUGCAACAGAUUUUUCAUUGUUGACGCGGCAAAAUCAAAAUUCAAAAUUUAAGUAAUCAAAAGGAUUAAAAUCUCCAUUCUCUCCUUUUCUCCUUUUCCGCAUCUCCAAAAAUUCAAAAAAUUUUCCCCACCUCUUUCUCUACAAAAAUUCAAAAUCCAAAAACUUUUGAUUUAUCUAUUUUAUUAUUACUUAACUUUGAUUAAAAAACUUUUCUUGAAGUUUACUUUCACCAAAGAUCUUUUAUAGAUAUAAAAAGAAGAGAUAAUAUAAAACAAGUAGAUACGUAGCUAUAUUAACAACAAUACUUCAAGCAUGCACAAAUGCGACUUCUUGAUGGUUACGCUGCUAAAGACAUUUACAAAUCCCCAUCAAUACUGGUGUUUAUUCCUCAUGAUGAUCCAGUGAGCUGACAAUAAAAGAAAACCUCGGCAUUACAAGUAAAUCGAUCGUCACUGCAAGCAUAAUGCAAGCAUGGAAGAGAUUCGGGUAGGAAUUACCCUUGUCUUCAUUGAGAGGCUUUAACCUCCCUAGCUCCUUCAUCAGCAGGCCCAUUGUUUGAUGCAUCCUCUGAAGCGUCUAAGCAAGGAUUGCUUUUACACUAACUUACAGUGUCACGACCCGAAUCCCGGAUCCAUGACCGGCACAUAGACAAGGUUCUCAUCCAAGGUUCCAUACCUAUACGAACCCAAACUUACACACAAACUUAUCCUAACUCAAUCAGAGUUCAACGCAGCAUUAAUAACAAAAUCAACUUCAUAAUAUAAUUGAAUUGUCUUAAUACAAGAGUUCAUAUAAUUCAUAGUUUUGGAGCACUAACUUGACAAAAAAAAAAGGUACAAAUUACAACCAAAAAGCAGGUUUGGAAGGUUCAACAAAAGUAACCUGCUAUCAAGCAAUAAGCCUGAAAAGAAUAAUAAUGAGAGGGUGAGUUCAACAACUCAGUGAGUAGAUAGCGUUCAAAAUACACACACGAGGUAAUACAGUAAUGAGAAAUAUAUAUACAAGUAUGACUCUAGGUUCUUAUAGAAAUGUUUCUCAAAUAGGCCAUAACAAGAAUAUCAUAUGGUAAAACUCGUCAGAAAAUCAAAAUGCAAUGAGCAUGAGGCUCCGUACUGUGGGAUGAUCAGUCCACACAGGUUGGUGACUCCCCCGACCAACUAAGGUUCAGAUACGAUGUGCACAAAGACUAACACUACCCUGUUAGCAUGGGUAUUCUGACUGACAUACCAUAGGUUCAUAAUCAUAAUCAAACAGACAUAUUCAUAUCUCAAAGCUCAACUCAUGACAUCAAUCAAAUGAGGAGCUAUCAAUUCAGAAGUCAAUUCAGAAUAUAUAUACUGGUUCAUAUCAAUAAUUCGGAUUCAACAAUUGAUCAUGCUUAUCAUAACAAGGAUAAUAAUCAACAUAUAUAUUAUCAAGAAGCAUGAUCCAAUUCAUAUUAACAAAUCAAAUAUUUAUAAUAUUUCUCAUGCAUAUGGAAAAUUAUCCACUCACCUGACUAGAAAGCAAACAGAAGUAAAAAUAAGACACCGAAGAAAAUCCUACUGACGUCCCGCCGAUAGAAUAUCAGGAUUAUCUGAAUACAAAGGAGGCAUAUUCAAGAACGACUCGAAAGAAUAUUUAACUUAUUUAAUACACUUAACUAGGUGUAUUCCGUAAUCCUAUAUGUUUUUGAACUAACUAGUCAAUUUUCUCAAAAACCCAAAACUCUAACGGUUUUUCCGAAAUCUAAUCCAUAACAAAACAAAUAAUAAAAUUGGUAAUAAUUUACUAAAUAACCCUCAAUUAUUCAUCAAACCAAUCUGAAAAAGGUAAUAUUACAGCUAGGGACUAAUCUGUAAUUUAUCAUAUUUUUAAGGCCAAAUUGUAAUUUUCGUCUAAUUAGAGGACCAAACUAAACAUAUCAUAAAUUCAUGAAUAUAGUGGAAUUAUGUCCAUAAUUCAUCCUCAUUUCUGUCCAGAUCAUCUCAUUAUACUCCAGGGACCAUUCUGGAAUUUUACCAAAUUUUUAGGGUCAAAUUGUAAUUUUUGUCAAAUUGGAGGACCAAAUUGAAAGUGUUAAAUUCUCUUAUCUAUACAGUAAUUCUGUCCAUAAUUCAUAUGUUAUUCUGUUCAGAAUACCGGAAUAUGCUCCAGGGACCAAUUUGUAAUUUUCCAAAGUUCAGGACUAAACUGUAAUUUUCGCAAAUUGAGGGACCAAAUUGAAUUUUCGUCAUCUUCAACCUCCAAUCCAGAAUUUUAACAGAAACCUACUGUUCUCCCCUGAUUUUUAACUCAAAAUUCACCAUUCAAACAAAAUUAUAACUCAAAAUCAUCACAAUCUUCCAUAAUCAACUAAAUCAUCAAUUAACCACAACAAUCAACCCCUAACAUUCAAUUUAAUUCAUCAGUUAAACUCAAAACACAAAUUUCAUAACCCUAACAUUUAUCAAAACCGAAAUUAAAGCUAAAGAAAACAUAUUAUACACAUUAAAGCAUAAUCUUACCCCUUUUUACUUAUUUCCUCCAACUCCUUUUCUUUUUCCCUUAUUUUCCUCUCUUUUCUCUUCUUCUUCUUUCUCACUUCACUCCUGUGGUUCUCUCUAAAUUUCAGAUUUCUCUCUUUCUUUUUUUUCGUUUUUUUACUUUGAAUUUACACUUUUUCAAGUUUUUAUUGAAAUUACCACUAUACCUCUCAUUUAUUUAUUCUAACUUUUAAACCUUCAAAGGUUUUAUUGUAUUUUUCAUCUCAUUAAUUCAAGACAUUACAUACAGGCUGAGCAUUGGUCAAGAGACUAGAAAGUUGAGACCCCUUUUGCGAAAAGUUUGGUUUACCUUUCGGAGUCUCAGACAGGCUUCCCGUUGACAGCUUUGCUAGGCCCAUUGUCUUGUGCUCACACGGGAGCUUGGUUGAAAAAGGUGAUUCAGGUGUAUUAGGAUGCUUCCCAGGAAUAUCCAUCGGUCUAUGAAACAGCAAAUGAGCCACAGUCCGGUCUACAGGAUUGGUCUCUGUUUCCACCUCAGGCAUCUUAACUACCCUGCAGAAUACUCAUAAAAUCCAUGAGGAAAAUGACAGGAAAGUUUGAGAUUGCCAUACUCUAAACAAAUUGAUAAAGACUUGAUUAAUAAUUUUGUGCAAACAAAUUGAAUAAUUUGAAAUGGGAAGGACGAGAUGUAAAUGAACAAACCCAUUGGAACAAGAAACAAUCACAUUGUCGCUUACAACAAAAAAUCGAGUUUCAGCUCAAAAGAGCUUAUGGUUUUGGCUGGAAGUAUCCCAUUUAGAUAUAGAUGAGCCCCAGUGGCGGAGCCACAGUGGGUCAAAAGAGAGCAAUUGUCCCCUUAUUUUUUUUAAAUAUUAAUAUAUUAGUGAGAGUGAAUUAUUGCUACAGCCUACAGGUAAGGAAAGUUUUUAACUUUUAUUAUUGUUGACUAACUUGACUUAUAUAUACAUAUAUAUAUAUAUAUAUAUAUAUAUAUAUAUAUAUAUAUAUAUAUAAUUACAGCUCCCCAACUUUUCCCCUUUUCCUUUUUGUUUCUCCUGUCUAACAAAACAAGGGUUUUUUUUCAGCUGCCGUUCUUGCCUCUCCUCGUCUCCUGAAUGCAAAUUUCUCAUGGAUUAAUUUUUUUUUGCGUUUUACUUUAUACUUUAUUUUUUCUAUUUAUUUUAUUGUUUAAUUUUAGUUUUAUUCUUUUAUAAUUAGUUAUUAAAAAUAUUAGGGUUUAUGAUAAUUUAGGGGUUUUGUUAUAAAUAUGUUCAAAAUAAAUAUUUAAAUCUGCUAAUUUAAUUAAUUAAAUAUUUAUUUUCUUAUUAUAAAUAAAUAAAUUAAUAUUCAUGCAAAACCACUAUUCUUGACAUCUCUUGCAUUGAUAGAGUAGUUUAUUGAAAUUUAAUAUUUUUACAUGAUUUGUUUGUAAGUAAAAUAUCAAGUAGAAAACAUGUUUUUCAAGCAUUGUCCCUCUUAUACAUACACUAGGCAUUGUUCCUUAAUUAAAUGUCUAGAAAUGAUUAAGUAUAAUUUAAUCAACAUACUUAUUAUAUGCAUAUAAAUAUGAAUUGAAAUAGGUUUUGAUUUUGAUGAAUUGACGUGUAUUUUGCUAUUAAUUUUAUAUGAAAGAUGUAUAAUUAUUGUGUAACUCAACUGACUUUUGUUUAAUAGUGAAUUAUUAUGUAGUUGUGUUAAUUAUUAUGUAGACACUAAUGAUAAAAAAAUCCAGCAGGUUCAUAUUAAAUUAACAUGUUACUAGACAAAUAUUUCAAGCGUAAAUCUAUUGAGGAUGAAGAGUCAAUCAAAGCUUCAAGUCAUGUAACUCAAUCAAGUUCAAAGAAAAGUCAUAUUGAAAUCAACCCCGACACUCUCCUUGUUGACCCUGGCUUAAGAAGACCAAUUUAUAAGUACCAUAUAAAUGAUAGGGAUGCAAUCCGAAGAGCUUAUCUACAAAAAGAUCCUUGUCAACCUUCACACUAUGAUUUUCCAUAUAUGUUUGAAUUGAUUUCUAAUGCAUGUCUAUAUAAUAUAGUAUUUGUUAAUAAUUUGCCUCCUCAUUUAAAAAACUCUGGCUCCGCCACUGAAUUGAGCCGAUUAGAAGAUGAUUUGAGUUCUUAAAUUUUCUUGCUUAAAAUGUAAUGUAACAUGAAUCUGCAGAUGAUCAUUAAAUUAGAAGGGAAAUUUAAUUUUGCCCUGUUUAUCUAAAGUUGUGCAAGUUCUCUGCAUUGAUGAUUUCAGUGAAUCUGUACAGAUCUUGUUUUCCUUCUAUUUGUCCUUGAAUAAACUUAUUGCACUUGUUUAACAUUCUUUGUCUCUCUCUCUUAGUUAAAUCUAGCAAAAUUUAUGAGGUAUGUUGUGCCACUCAUUUAGACUUGGAUGUGCGUGUUUAGCUCUCCUUUUUGGAUUAAGGUGAUUAUGCACAAAUUCAAUGGAAUCAACAUUGCAGAAAACUUGCAUAGAUUUUGUUAAUAUUGGAAAAAUUAAAUUUCCUUUUCUAAUUAAAUGAAAAUCUCUACUAAAUAAUAUGCUAUUUGAAUUGUCACUGCACUCAUGAAUGCUGCACCAGGGUAAAGCUACAAAUGUCAGUUUAAUAUCUGCCUCUACCUAGCUCGGCCUACAAUACCAAAGCUUCUCUCCUACAAAUGCCAGUUUAAUAUCUGCCUCUACCUAGGUUGGCCUACAUACAAUACCAAAGCUUCUCUCAACUAAACAUGAUGACCAGCACUCACAACCAUAACAGAACCAGUGGAAGCCAACUACUACAUAUUUGAUCAACAAGGUCAAAUUCAGUCAAGUUUUUAAGGAAAUCCAGUGAAAGAGGAACCUAAAAUUUUCUGUUUAGAUUUUCUUCUACUGCUAAGAACAAGCGCGGCCUUAAAUUGAAUUGUUUCAGUCACUACUCCUCCAUUGUAAAUAGAGGAUACCGCUUUCAAUAUUUAUUUCUAGAAGGAGAAUGGAAAACAGAAAAUGGCAUUAAAAGAUCCUAAUUUAACAUUUCCAUAGAGCAAAAAUGUUAAAAAAAGAGAGAGGAUAGAUUAAAUUUGAAAACAGAGGCAUGAGAAAUGCAUUGCCUUAACCAACCUUCUUUGACUGCUGGUUUCCUCUUUUGCAGCAACUUGUUCGUCCCUGCUACUAUUGUUUGUACUGCCAGUAUCACUAGCAUAAUGCCUUUGCAUUGCACUUUGAGCCAGCCGGAACAAGCUAUCCCGAAUACAAAGUCUAAUUCUGACAUCCAACUGUUGUAAAACAUUGGUUUGGAAUCGUAACCAAGCACAAAUUAUUUAGCAGGGAAAGAAUGCAAUAGUACGUGAAGCAUACCUUUGAAAUAAUAUCUUGAAGCCUGUAGAGUACUGUGUCCUCCAUUGAAUAAUCAUUAACCGCCAGAGAGACUGUAUUGGAAUCGUCUUGCUCAAUAGGUGAGUUUGGGUCAAAUGAAGCAAGUGUACUUAGAUCCUCUACUUCAAGGUCAGCUCCUUCAACAUGCUGAAUUUGAUUUUCUUGGGAACACUUUUGAUGAACAAGCUGCUGCUGCUGUUUCUGAAUGGCAAGCAUUGCCUGAAUUUGUUGCCGCCUCAAUUUUUCAAUCUUUUCCUGAGGUGUCAUUCUCUGGGGUUUCACUGGACAGUCAGCUAACUUGUUUAUAGGAUUUGCAUUGCCUGAAACUUCAUAACCAGAAAUUUUAGGUCGAUGAUUAAAUGACUAGAAAUUUUGUUGGGAAGUCAGAAAACUUUAACAGGAUUCGCAUUACCUGAAGAAACUUCAUAACCAGAAGCUAAAGGUUGAUGCUUAAAAUCCCCAGACUGAAUGUGGGACAACCCAGGCAUAGAAUAUGGAUUUGUAGUACUCCCGUAUGCAGAAGGGGCCACAAAUGGAUUGGAUAUCUGCUGGUACUGCAACUGCUGGUACAUCUAUAAUCAAAGUAAAAGGCCAAGAUUCAAAAUAUCCAAAAGAAAUAUUACCUACUUAUAUGCCAAAAAUGGCCAAAACUCUGAAUCCUGAAUAUGUGAAUCAAAGGUAUCUCUAACUGAUGCACCAUCAGCAGUCUCCUAUUUUGACUUGUGAUUAAUGACCUAGCAGUUCACUUCAACAACAUCAUUGAAAGGUCCCUAGUGAACAUAAGUUUGAAUUUCAGACCCAGCAAGAAGAAGUUCAUUUUCCAGUAGGCAUGCAUAUCACCUUUUUAUCAAUAUCCAUGGAAGACAAAAACCAAGCAAUAUCAAGUUUUUUUCUGCUGGAUAUCCAAUAAAAAAUACCUCAAAGUGUGAACAUCUUUAAGAAGGAGGAUAUCGCAUUGCACCCCAUCAACUGAUCCACAAAUAAAUUGGCAUUUUUCCAUCAGUUCCAAGCUACUUUGUAAGGAAAAGGGAGGGAAGUGCCUUCAAAGAUACCUUCUUCAUAGCUUCUUUAGAUAUGAAUCCACACGACUUUCGUAAUCACCAAUCACUAUGCGCACCUUCUCUUAUCAUCACAAGUUCCCAAGAAAAAUUAUAUUCUUCCCUCCUCCAGCCCUUUCCCUACAUAUUUCCACCAGCUUCAUAGCAAUGCGGCCCGUGAAAACGACUCCCAAAUUAAAACACUUGAGAAGCUCUAAUAGUUUUCCACAAAGACCUACUUUUCUUAUUAUUUCUUCACUCUAUAUAUGUCAGUGUGCCAUAUUCAAAUACUACUGAUCGAUUCUUCCUCCUCACAACCACUCACUUUCCCCUAAAUCCCAUACCACAACCACUCCUUAAUCUUCAACUAAAUCAAUAUCUCUCAUCACUUAUGAAAACUCCAUCUAAUUUCCAAAUGAAUCACACCAUUUGAACACUUUGCCAAUUCCUAAUUCCUUCAAAAUUUUCAUCCAUUAAAAAAAAAACUGCAAGUCAUACUUUUUCACUUUAACACAGUUCUCCUUAUAAUCAAUCUUCCAAAAUAACCAUACUAUUGCCUCUAAAUCUGGCACGCAAAGCUUCUACAUAACCUUCCAACGUUACUUCUUGCCGCCCAACAAGGGCGGCGGCAUGCAUGGGCUAGGGUAGGCUCUAGUACAGGUCAAGAUUUUAUCAAUAUUUUUGUAUUAGUUUUAUGUAAAGAAAAUAUGAUGCUUUAGUUUGGGUUAAAAUUUCAGAAUUUUUAAAGAAAUUCAGAAAUUUGAUAAAAAAAAUCAUAAUUUGACCAGUUUUACGUUAUUGAGUGUAAUUUUUAAUCUGAUUAUCAGAUUGAGCUAAAAUUUUACGAGGGAUCUUAAAAUAUAUUGAAUAAAAUCUGGUUUAAAUUUUAGAAUGAACAGAGUUUGGUAGUGCUAACAAAAAAAAAACAUCAAAUAAAAGCAAAACGACUCAUUAAAGGUAAAAUUGUUAUUUGCCAUUAAAAAAUAAAACAAAUCAGUUCUUCCUUCCUUUAUAUGUUGCCGACUGGGCAGAAGCAUAAUAGAAAAUGAAAGAAAAGAAAAGGCGAGAGAGAAAGAGAGAAAAAUAAGGGAAAAACAUAAAAAAAAUCCUAGAAAAAAAGAUAAGAAAAGUGAGAAAAUAACCGUGUAAACUUACAAAGUCCAACUUAUAAAAUAUUAAUCUAAGUAAGAAUCAAGUGAAGAAAAGAGGAAUUGAGAGAGAAACAAAAUUUAAUUACUCUAUUUUUAAUUAAUAUAAAAUUAUUAUUUUAUCCCGAUUAAGAGAUUGCUACAAACUCCUCAAAGUACUCAAAGAGGGACAUAAAUUGGUUAAGCCAACAUUUUUCAUUCUUCUAUUUUCACGCUGGCAUUCUGUUACAAAUACUAACUGAAAGAGCGGAUAAAAGAACAACUUCCAAUUAUCAAGCAAUAGCCAACACGUGGCAAGAUUCUCAGCUAAAUAAAAGAAACACCAACAUUUAAACGAUGUGUCUGGGUGGUAAUUGAAACGGUGUGUUUUGUGACACAAUACCCCUACAAUCGUCUAACAGCCAUGCGGUGCAUUUAGUAGGAUUCAAACAUCUUGCAACGGUCACUAGAUUCAAAUGCUCUCCAUCCUCGCCUCCUCCCCUUGAUGAUUCUUUUGACCCUGCAAGUUCUGUGACAAUCUCUCUCUCUCAAUUAAAUCUAGCAAAAUUUAUUCUUUCCAACUUUAUUUGUUUUGACUGAAAAAUAAUCUUUUAUUUUUGUACUUCACAGGCAUGUGGUGGCAAAAGUCGAGCACUAUAUAUAUAUAUAUAUAUUCCUGAAGAUACAUAUGGCUGGUGAUUAGCGGAUGAUGGUGCCAUUAAGACUCUUGGUGUGUACCCUCAUCCUUUCUGCUUAUAGUUGAGUCCAUUUGCAGCUUCAAUGGCUACUAUCAGUUGCUUUGGAACCUGAUAUCACUAGUCUCAUUAUGGUACAGACAAGCUCAGGAUGAUCAAUCCUUGAGAAUCCACAUCCAACCAGAAAUAAACCGAAUUUCGAGCAUAAAUGACUCGAACUCGCUGGAAUGCUUUGGCACCUCCUUCAAUCCUAGUUUGGGAAACAGAAACACUAUCACCAUUAGUUUUCACCGAGGAAGACAGCACCCCCAUUCUCUCCUGCUGUGCUGAUGAUGGGGCAUGAGAGAUAGUCCAAAGGAUUUGCCUCCCUCCUGCCGCAAGCAAUUAGAAUGGUUAUCACCAGACCUAUAAGGAUCAGUUUUUCUUUUCGGACUGAAAAAAACAUGAAGAGAGAAGUCACCAUAUGUGUACCUAGCCGCAGAGACAGCUGUUUCAGUGCUGGGGAAAACUCCAGGCUCUGAUAAAUCUUUGGCAGAUCGUUCUGUGGCGAACGAGGGCGGUGGUAUACUGCAAACUCAAAAGCAAUUUGUGACACAGAUUACUCAAAAUUAUGCCACAAGUGUCAAGGGUGUAAAUCUAUCAUGAAAUCAUCACGUCGUUGUUUUCCACUCGGUAUAAAAAAGAAGUCACACGCCUUAGAGGUUAAAUAAAUUUAUGAAGUUCACCAGCAUAAUUCACACUAAUUCCCCUCUCCAACUUGCACCUCAUCAAUUUUUAUACCUUUACUCUCGAACGAAAAUAAUAAUAUCUAAGUUAUUAAACCCAACUUGAAUUAUAAUUCAAGCAGUGGGUUAACAUAAAUCAAUACAAAGUGAUGUGACUUUUAAGAGUUUUUUGAAAAAACAAAUUAAAAUGAUGUGAAUCUUUUUUAAAUUAAACUGAGUUUUAAUUGAUUAAAUAAGUUGGAUUACACCAGUCAAAUCCUAUCCGAUUUAAUUUAAAAUCCAAUCCAAUCUCUUAACUUACCUUGAGUUGGGUUAACACUAUUAUUGACAGACCAAAUUCUCAAUCUUUAUUUAUUAUAAUCACGAUCCAACUCAUUAAUUUUAAAUGGGCCUACAAAACCUUCAACUUGCCAUAAAAAAUAAAACUUCAUACUCAUACUCAUUAGCGGUUCUGCAUCCUAUUUUAUAAAAGACACUCCAACAUAAUUAAAGUAGUAUUUAAUAUUUUGGUAGUAAUUAUUCUUUAAAGUAUUUUUUAUUUAGAAAUAUAUAUAAAUAAUUUUUAUUUUUUAUUUUUAAAAAUUAAUAUUUAACAUUAUAUAUUAAAACAAUCUAAAAACAUAAUUUUUUUAAAAAACUAUUAUUAUUUUAAAAAAACUGUAUCACCAUACAAACAAAUCCAAAAACACAAUUAUUUUAAAAAAAUUAUAUCACCGUAAAAACAAAUAAUUUUUAAGAGUGACAGUGAGCAACAGAAAUAAACCAUGGCAGAAACUAAAAACACCUUUAAUGAAAAUUGCGCUUCGAUUCACAACGUUUUCAUCCUUGACCAAUGCUCGACAAAGUAGACGAUGGGUCAAAAUAGGGCUAAUAUGCUGUGUAUGUUUGAUAAUGCAGUGAAUAUAAUUUUCUAAAAAUAUUUUUCGAUUAAUAAAAUAUUUCUUAAAGAAAUUUUCAAUAAUUUUGUUAAGAAAUUUGCGUGGACAGACAUUUUAAAGAAUGAUGCUAAAUUUGGUGUUACAUAGGCAGCUGCUGGCUCCUCUUGUAUCUUUUGGGGUUUGGCAUCGUUUGUUUCCUGCCGUUGUCUAUUCUCCGGUCGUCGAAGCUGACUGCAAUCCUCUGACUCUGUUCUCAUAGUCAGAUGCUUCCUCUGUUUUCUCCUGGCAUUAAAAUUACAGCUGACCUUCAAAUCUUAUUGAUGAUAUGCCUUUGGUCAUUUUCAUGAAUGGUGCUUGGUGUUGUCUUCUAGUGUUUGCAGUACUGAAUAUGAAAUGAGCUACGCCUGGUUACUCAAUUCAUUAACCUCCCUACUUUUAAUUAUAUAUAUAUAUAUAUAUAUAUAUAUAUAUAUAUAUAUAUAUUUUCUAAUCCAAGUAAAAUGAAUUAUAUUAUUUUUUAAAAUAAAUUUAAUCUCAAAUAAAAAUUUUACUUUCUAAAAUAAAAUAUGAAUUAUAUUAUUUUAAAAAUUUGCUUGAGUUACAUGAGGUUUUAUGGCAGCCCAGUAACGGACUCUUAGCAGAAUACCAGGCUGUUAGGCCUCCCUUUUCAUCAUUUUGAGCUUUACCGGUUACGCUUUUUUUGAGGAUGAAUAUUCUUAUUUAUUUUAUUUUUUCAACUUAAGGAUGAACAGUAUGUUUAUUAAAGACUGCAUUAACAGCCGGCUGCUAUUUUGAGUUCUGCGGGGCUUUUUGGAAGUGCCUUCCGUUUAGGGAAAAUUUGGAUUUUUUAUUUAAUUUUUUUUUACAUAAUGUUUAAAAUAAUUUUAAAAAAUAAAAAAAUUAUGGUAAUGUAUUUUUACUUACUUUAAAAAUCAUCCACUUGAUUAAUGGGCAUUAGCUGUUUAACACCACAUGGUAAAAACUUCGGGUUCCUUCCCUACGUACCCUUUUCCUCACUGGUUCUACAAUGUCUCUGGGUGGGUCCAUCUGUGCAAGUGCCUUGUAAAAUUGCCUUAUUCAGUAGUAUUUGUAAUUUUGUGUAGAGCUGGUAUCAUUCUUUGAAAUCAUAGUUAUUACGUCAUUGAGUUAACUCGUGUGUUAAUUAUAGGAUCAAUCAUUUUACUUUGUUUUUUUUCUUUAAAAAGAACAAAAUUUCUUGUAUUGACCUCAGUGUAUUUAGAUAAGAUUUUAUCAGUACAGUUGGGUAAUUAAGAAUCUAGUUGAGUCAAAUGGUUUUUGAUCAUAUUAAUGUUUUUUCUAGUUGAAUUUUAAACAUGAUCUAGAUUAGACUCUAGAUUAUGAAUUCCAUGUAUUAACUCACCAUCAAAUUUAACAGCUUUGCUAUAUUUUGGAAUAACAUAUAUAUAAAUAAAAAAAUUAAUAUAUUUUGAAGUAAAAUAUAUUUUUAAAACAUAUUUAAAAAAACAAACAAUAUUUUACUCACAAACAGAUAAUCCUAUUGCAUCUUAAACUCCAAGUUUCCAACAAUGAGUACCCCCAACUAAACAAUAUCUACAUUCAAUUAGAACUUGUGGUAUAGUUACCUGACAGCGAAAUAAAAAAGAAGAAGUAGGAACCCCCCUGGAUCUAGGAAAUUUCUAUUAGACCUGCAAACUGAGGCCGUAACGAGCUUUGGAUCUACACACAGGGAAGAGUAAUUUCAAUAGACCAUGAUCCAAAUCAACGGCUGAAAUCUAAUAACUCAAGGGAUAGUGACACGUUGCCAGGAGUGGAAGACAGCUGGUCUCCAGUACGAAGAGAAACAGCAACGUUUUUGUUGUUUAAAAUGGAGUGUUUGUCUUCAUUGUUUCAUGGGAAAUGGGCUGAUGUCAGAUGGAGAAAUUUCUGUGCCGAUCCACUGGAGAGAGAGACUUCUUCAACCACCAAUCAAAUUAUUCUUAUUGACUUUCUGUGCAGUUUGGCACUUUCCUUCGCUCAUUCUCUCUUUGCACCACAAACACUUGGUAUUUUAAAAAGAGAAACUAAGCACGGUUUUGCUGUCAAAGUUGUUGUUUUCGUAUUUUAAAAGAGUUUUUUUAAAAAAUUAAUUUGUUUUUUAUUUUUUAUCAAUUUUUUAAUUGUCUCCAUAAUAGAAAGAUACCAUCCCCACAAUACAAAACUCUUAAAAAAAAAGAUACCUGUCGUUGUGCUGUUUUAUCGAUAUCACAAGCCACGCGAGUAGCGUGAUUAGAGUGAUUUUGUAUGGGACCCAGUUGUGACAUCAGCUGCUUUUGUGUUUUUUCUUUCAAUCACAGCUUGAUAGUAGGCAUGGCAUGAUUGAUGAUUGAUGGGGGGAGGGGAAAUGGGAGCCACACGAUCCAUUUCAUGGUUGGUUGGUUUUUUUAUUAACGUGGUUUUACUGUCGGUUUGCUUCUAUUUUAACUAAUUUUACAAAUCUAAAAUAUAACUAGUUAACCUGCUGUUGUAUUAUUUUAUUUCACGGUUGUUUCUUGCUUGUGGAAGAUCAUGUCAUAACGGAUCUUACGGGAUCGAUACCUUGCUCGGUGUUGAUUUACUACAAUGGCUGCACGUGAACCCGUCCACCAGAACAAAUCCCAACCAGUGUCCGUCUAUCACACUCAAAUUAAUUUGAGAUUUCUGUUCCAGUGCCUCCAGAGAAGAGUAUAGUUGUUAAUCAUCUUUUAUUUUUGUGUUUUAUAAUUUUUUUAGGGUAAAUUCUCAUAUAACUUAUCAUAAUAUCUAAUCUCUACAAACCGACUGCAUCAUUAAAUUUAAUUUUCUUGAAAUAUUUUUUAUGAACAAGCUCCCAUUGCUGUUUCUGAUGACAAGCAUUGCUUAAUUUGUUAUUGCCUCCUUGAUUUUAAAUAUAUAUUUAAAAAUUAUAAAUCAUUUACAUAUAUAAAUUUGGAUACCGAGGUUAAUCAUGUUGGAUAAUAUCACUUCCACCUCCAUAUCCAAACAAGUAAGGUUUUUUUUAUCCAUCAUUAUGGAACAAAAAUCCCUCCAUAUUCACUUUUAUUCAGGUAAAUGGAUGUGAACGGGUUCAAUUGUCAUUUCUAAAAUUAAUUAAGCCCAAGUUAUCGAUAAAUGUAUUAGGAAAUCAAGUUUUUAUUAUUUAUUAUGAUUUUUAAUAUAUUUAUAUAGUAAAAUCCCUCGUAUAUAUAUUGAAUGCUCUUUCUCCAUCAAAGCUAAUGGAAAUGUGUAUAAAUUAUCAUUUUCUCCCCCAUUUAAGUUUUUGACAAUCAAUCGAUGGUUUGAUAGCAUUUAAUAUAUAGAUCACUGACCUGCUGGUGAGCAUUACCAAGCAUGUUCUGCAGCCGAAGCUAGAAAGACUACCUGCUGAGCAGAAGCAACAACUGGUGGAUAAGUAUAAGAUGGAAGACAAACAGGUAUUAUAUAGCUCUGAGGUGUGAUGGCAAAGAUUGAAUAACAUUAUAAAGGGGACAUACUCUUGCUUUCAGCAUCCUCGUGUGGAUUUAACUAGCACUCAUCUCAUUUCACAUUCACAGGCCUCCCUGUUCCCAGAAAUUAGCUCAAUGCUCCUUUUAGUUCCUCAAGAUUUAAUUUUGGUGGAAUCUAAUUAAUAACAGAUAAAAGCAACAUUCAUAAGCAGAUUGUUUCAGAGCUCUUAACUGCAAGUUCAGGGGAAAUGCAUUUAAGCCUGGAACGGUGCGGGGCCUGUAUCUACGUUUAUGCCUAAGAAUAGUUUCUCUUAAGUUAUGAUUAGAAGUAUAAAUUUGAAGUCACAAGCUAGCAGUGAUGGUGAAUUGUGUUUGAACUCUUUGCAUUUCAUCAUCCUCUACUGCCAUGACACGUCCUAGAUGACUGGAUGCUGUGGAUGUGACCUGGACCAUAGCCAUGACAGUCUCCUUUCCUACCCUUUUCCUCGCUGGUUCCUUGACAUCUUCGGGUGGGUGCAGGUGCCUUGUUAAAUUGUCUGAGUCAUUAUCGGUAAUUUUGUGCAGAACUGUUAUUAUUCUUUGAAAUCAGACCGGGUUCGAGGAUCGAGUAUAAAAGAAUUUGGAAUCAUUUUAUUAAAAUGAUUUUUUUAAAAACAAAUUCCUUAGUAUUUAUUUAAUCAAGUUUAAAUCAGAUUUUUAUCUGGUCAAAUAAAUCAUUAAAAAUUCAAUUGAGAUAAUAAGAUUUUAUCAUAUCACCAUUUUUUCUAAUUCAAUUUUAAACUUGGUUUAUAUCAAUAUUUGGAGGAUGUGCUCUCCAUAUGAAAUCAGUAUGCAGGAAAGAGUUUAAAAACUAUACUAUAUAUAGAAAAAAUAUUUUGAAAUAAAAUGAUAUAUAUAUAAAACCCUCAAGGUCUAGGGUCCACCGGUGAAAGCAUGAAGUGAAGGGUUCUUCUGCAUUAUUAGCACAAGUGAAAAGAAAGAUUAUAUUGGGCAUAUAAUAAAGUUAUUCCAACCAAACCCUCUUUUUCGACCGAUGGGGUCUCUUGGCAAAUAAAUCAAGGACAGACCGAUGGGGUCUCUUGGCAAAUAAAUUAUAAUUAAUUUUUUUUUGGAGUGAUUUUUUAUCUUUUGAUUAUGUAAAAUUUAGUAUUUUGUUUUUCCUUUAGCUUCUGCAAUUUGAUAUUUACGUUCAAUUUCUAUAAUUUGUGUUGUGUUUUGGAGUAAUCAUAUAAUUUCGAGAAUAUAUUUAUUUAGUUUCUGCGAUAUCUAUUCACUUUCUGUAAUUUGAUACUUUAUUUUUCGUUGCUUUUGCUUUCUGUUUUUUUAUUUGUUAAUUAUGGCUACCGAAAUAGAUGAUUCGUUUCAGUCUGUGAGAGGUUGGAUGAAAAUAAUUAUUCGUACUAGUAAUGAGAAAUUUCUUUAAGGGUAAGAAGAUGUGGGUGUAUGUUAGUGGAACUUAUAUGAUACCCAAGAAUACCGAGAAAAGUGAUGUUAUUUUGAUAGAUAUAUGGGAAGCAAAUAAUACAAAGAUUAUUAUUUGAAUCAACAAUUCUGCCGAGCAUUCUAUAGGUAUAUAGUUGGCGAAGUAUGAGACAACAAAGAAGAUUUAAAAUCAUCUGCAAAGAUUAUUCAUGCAAUCAAAUUUUAUAAAGCAAUAUAAUACCCCCAAAAGUCAUGGUAGUAAUGAAUAUUUGAUUUUUUUUUAAUGAAAACUAGAGAACUAUAUUAGAAGAAAAAAACCUGCUAUUUAGGAUUAAUUAAUUGCUUUAAUUCAAUUCUUUCUAUUGACAUUGAUACCAAACAUGUUAAUUCAUAAUAUAAUCAAGUAAUUCAAUUCAAAUUUACUAAUACAAUUCAACUCCACUUAAGCCUUUGAAUAUAGCCAAAUGCAAAGGUUAUUAAAGUGAAGGAUCUUAAUAAUUUUUAUGCUUUGCAACCCUAGGAGCCACACAAAAUAUAAUGUGUUUAGACCAUAUUUAUUUGCUGAAAAGUAAUUUCUUUUUAUAAAGAGAUUUUAUCAUAAGUGAAUUAUUUUUUUAUAUUUGAUAAUACCAUGAAAAAUAAGUUGGAAAAUAUCUUUUAAUAUUUAAUUAUGUCAUGAAAGAUGAGGUGAAAAAUAAUUUUUUUAUUUUUUAUUUUUUUUCAAGUUUAUUAAAAGAAUGAGAAACAAGUCUUACAUAUAAAAAUAUUAAAGGAGGAUGAAAUUGGAAAAAAAAUUUAUUUUCAUAAACUAUUUCAAAUAAAAUAAAUAACAAUAAAAAGAAUUAGGACCAAAUCUGAUAAAUAAAAAAAUUUAAUUAAAAAAAGAUAAGAUAAAAGAAAAUAAAAAUAAAAAUAAAAAGAAUGAGAAUCAAAGUUGAUAUAAAAAUAAGAUUAAAUCAAAUUAUACGGGAUAGAAUUGAAAAAAAAACAUUCAAAACAAAAUGUAUAGCAAUCAAAAGAUUAAGGACUAAAUUGGAUACAAUCAAUAAAUAACAAGAUAUUUUUAAAUUUUUUACAAUUUCUAGAAAAAUUUUUCAGUCCAAAAUAAAUAUAAAAUAAUUUUCUAGAAAUCAAAUCAAAUUUAAUAUUUUUUAUUUUUAAAAAAUGAUUUUUAAUAUAAAAUAUCAAAAUAAUUAUAUGUAAAGUAAUAUAAAUAAUGUUUUUUUCAUUUUAAAAUAUUAAUAUAUUAAAAUAAUAUGAUAACAUAAAAAAAAUAUUAAAUUAAAAUAAAAAAAAUAAUUUUAAUAUUUUUAAAAUACGUUCAAAAAGAAAUUCCAAACACUAGCAAUAUGGGUGCUUCAUAAGAAAGAUCGAAGGUGACAUUCAUUAUAACUCUACUGCCCCACAUCUCUCUCCUACCUGCAGCAACCACUAAUAGAAUGUUCAUGGCGUCUUCUUCUUCUUCUUUGCCUAGACCUGGUUGGGUUUACGAUGUAUUUCUAAGUUUUAGAGGUGAAGAUACUCGCAAAAAUUUUACGGAUCAUCUUUACACUGCUUUACUCCAAGCAGGAAUCCAUACAUUUCGAGACGACGAAAAACUUCGUAGAGGUGAAGAAAUCUCCUUCCAACUCUCCAAAGCAAUACAAGAAUCCAAGAUUUCUAUAGUGGUUUUCUCUGAGGGCUAUGCUUCCUCCACUUGGUGUCUUGGUGAACUUCAAAAGAUUCUUGAUUGCAGACACACAACUGGGCAGAUUGUUCUACCUGUUUUCUAUGAUAUCGAUCCUUCUGAUAUUAGAAAGCAGACGGGGAGUCUUGCUGAAGCCUUUGGUAAACAUGAAGAAAGUUUUAAGGAAGAAAUGGAGAAGGUCCAAAAGUGGAGAAAAGCUCUUUUGGAGGCUGCAAAUUUAUCUGGGUUGGAUCGUCGCAGUAUCGCAAAUGGGUGCUUCUUUUCUUUCCCUAUAUCGAUAGCAAAUGCUUAUAACUUUUACUCUUAUUACAUUUUGCAUUUUAAAUUUGCAUUAAAUUCAAAAUAUUAUCUUUCAUCGAUGAGUGAUGACUUUCUUUUUCUAUGCACAGGCAUGAGUCAAAAUUAAUUCAAAAGAUUGUCGAAGACGUUUCAAGUAUUUUGAAUCCCAGAAACAUAAACGAUAGGUUGCUGAAGAGGUUGAAGACAACAAUGAUAUCUGGCAAUGGGCUGCUUGACGAUGCUGAGGAGAAGCAGAUAACAAAUAAAGCUGUGCGGGAUUGGCUGGCCGAGUAUAAAGACGCUGUCUAUGAAGCCGACGACUUCUUGGAUGAGAUUGCUUAUGAAGCUCUACGGCAGGAGUUGGAAGCUGAAGCACAAACCUUCAGAGAUCAGACGCAGAAGCUUCUUUCUUUCAUUAACCCACUUGAAAUAAUGGGGUUGAGGGAGAUAGAAGAAAAAUCAAGAGGCCUCCAGGAGAGUCUAGAUGACUUAGUAAAACAAAAGGAUGCCCUUGGUUUGAUCAACCGCACUGGUAAAGAACCAUCAUCGCAUAGAACACCAACAACUUCUCACGUGGAUGAAUCUGGUGUUUAUGGUAGAGAUGAUGACAGGGAAGCAAUACUGAAGUUGCUUCUAUCAGAGGAUGCAAAUAGAGAAAGCCCGGGUGUCGUCUCCAUAAGGGGAAUGGGCGGGGUUGGUAAAACCACGCUUGCUCAGCAUGUAUACAAUCGCAGCGAAUUACAAGAGUGGUUCGGUCUCAAAGCCUGGGUUUAUGUUUCAGAAGAUUUUAGUGUUUUGAAGUUAACCAAGAUGAUCCUUGAGGAGGUCGGUUCAAAGCCUGAUUCUGAUAGUCUGAAUAUUCUCCAGCUUCAGUUGAAGAAGAGAUUGCAGGGAAAGAGAUUUUUGCUUGUUCUAGAUGACGUUUGGAAUGAAGAUUAUGCUGAGUGGGACAAGUUGCUUACCCCCCUGAAGUACGGAGCACAAGGGAGUAAGAUUCUUGUCACAACACGCAAUGAAAGUGUAGCAUCAGUCAUGCAAACUGUCCCAACUCAUCAUCUAAAAGAAUUGACGGAAGACAGCUGCUGGUCCUUGUUUGCCAAACAUGCAUUUCGUGGUGAAAAUCCCACUGCUCAUGAAGAGUUGCUAGAAAUUGGUAGAGCAAUAGCGAGAAAGUGUAAAGGCCUUCCUCUAGCUGCAGUAACACUCGGAGGUCUGCUACGCACCAAAAGAGAUGUAGAGGAGUGGGAGAAGAUAUUGGAAAGCAAUCUAUGGGAUUUACCCAAAGACAAUAUCCUCCCAGCUUUGAGAUUAAGUUAUCUUUAUCUCCUGCCACAUCUGAAGCAAUGUUUUGCUUAUUGUGCUAUAUUUUCAAAAGACUAUUCAUUUCGAAAGGAUGAAUUAGUGCUCCUGUGGAUGGCAGAGGGCUUCUUAGUCCACUCUGUAGACGAUGAGAUGGAAAGAGCAGGUGCUGAGUGCUUUGAUGAUCUCUUGUCAAGGUCGUUUUUCCAGCAAUCAAGCUCAUCAUUUGUGAUGCACGAUCUCAUGCAUGACUUGGCUACCCAUGUGUCCGGUCAAUUUUGCUUCAGCUCCAGGUUGGGGGAAAAUAAUUCUUCCAAGGCCACCAGAAGGACUCGACAUUUAUCACUCGUAGAUACGAGAGGCGGUUUUUCAAGUACAAAAUUAGAAAACAUCCGUCAAGCCCAACUUCUACGCACAUUCCAAACUUUUGUACGCUAUUGGGGUCGUUCUCCUGAUUUUUAUAAUGAGAUCUUUCAUAUAUUGUCAACACUUGGGCGCCUACGUGUGCUAUCCUUGUCUAACUGUGCCGGUGCAGCUAAGAUGCUUUGUUCAACUAGCAAGUUGAAGCAUUUGCGGUAUUUGGAUCUCUCUCAGUCAGAUUUAGUAAUGUUGCCUGAAGAAGUGAGUGCUCUUCUCAAUUUGCAAACGUUGAUCUUGGAAGAUUGCCUCCAACUUGCUAGUCUACCUGAUCUUGGAAAUUUGAAGCACUUACGACAUCUGAAUCUUGAAGGAACAGGAAUCGAAAGGUUGCCUGAAUCUCUGGAAAGGUUAAUCAACUUGCGGUAUCUUAACAUCUCAGGCACGCCUUUGAAAGAGAUGCUACCACAUGUGGGUCAACUGACAAAGCUCCAAACGUUGACUUUCUUUCUCGUGGGAGGACAGAGUGAGACUAGCAUUAAAGAAUUGGGAAAGCUACAACAUCUACGGGGACAACUUCAUAUUAGGAACCUUCAAAACGUGGUGGAUGCUCGGGAUGCUGCUGAGGCAAAUUUGAAAGGUAAAAAGCACCUUGAUAAGCUGAGGUUUACAUGGGAUGGUGACACUCAUGACCCGCAACACGUAACAAGCACACUUGAGAAAUUAGAGCCAAAUAGAAAUGUGAAGGAUCUUCAGAUUGAUGGUUAUGGAGGUGUAAGAUUUCCGGAGUGGGUAGGAGAGUCCUCUUUCUCAAAUAUAGUGUCCUUGGUGCUCAUUAGCUGUAGAAACUGCACCUCCUUACCACCGCUCGGGCAAUUAGCUUCUUUAGAGAAACUCUUAAUUGAAGCAUUCGAUAAAGUUGUAACUGUGGGCUCUGAGUUUUAUGGGAAUUGUACUGCUAUGAAGAAGCCAUUUGAAUCCCUCAAAAGAUUAUUUUUUUUAGAUAUGCGAGAGUGGUGCGAGUGGAUUUCAGACGAAGGCAGCCGGGAAGCCUUCCCUCUUCUUGAUGAGCUUUACAUAGGAAAUUGCCCCAACCUUACAAAAGCCCUACCCAGUCACCACCUUCCACGUGUAACAAGACUUACAAUUAGUGGAUGUGAGCAGCUUCCUAGGUUUCCUAGGUUGCAGUCUCUCUCUGUUUCUGGAUUCCACUCCCUAGAGUCGCUCCCCGAGGAAAUUGAGCAAAUGGGUUGGUCACCCUCUGAUUUAGGGGAAAUUACAAUCAAGGGCUGGGCUGCUCUCAAAUGCGUCGCACUGGACUUGUUCCCCAAGUUAAAUUCUCUUUCUAUCUAUAACUGUCCAGAUCUCGAAUUACUAUGUGCACAUGAAAGACCUCUCAAUGAUCUCACCUCUCUACAUUCUUUGAUAAUCCGGGAGUGCCCUAAAUUAGUUUCAUUUCCCAAAGGAGGAUUACCUGCUCCAGUCUUGACACGACUUAAGUUACGGUAUUGCAGAAAGUUAAAGCAGUUGCCUGAGUGCAUGCAUUCCCUCCUCCCAUCCCUUUCGCAUUUGGAAAUAAGAGAUUGUUUAGAACUUGAGUUGUGUCCAGAAGGGGGUUUUCCUUCCAAAUUACAAUCACUUGAGAUUUGGAAAUGUAACAAACUCAUUGCAGGCCUCAUGCAAUGGGGCUUGCAAACGCUCCCUUCUCUCUCACGUUUUACAAUUGGUGGCCACGAAAAUGUUGAAUCCUUCCCUGAAGAGAUGCUUCUGCCCUCAAGUCUUACAUCUCUUCACAUCUAUGACCUAGAACACGUGAAAUCUCUUGACUACAAGGGGCUUCAACACCUCACCUCUCUUACAGAAUUGGUGAUUUCUAGCUGCCCUCUGAUUGAGUCAAUGCCAGAAGAAGGGUUGCCCUCCUCCCUUUUUUCUCUUGAAAUUAAAUAUUGUCCCAUGCUGAGUGAAAGUUGUGAAAGGGAGAAAGGUAAAGAUUGGCCCAAGAUUUCUCACAUUCCUCGCAUAGUUAUUUUCCCAACAUCAGCGGAGCAAAAAAGUAGCAGUUAAAAGGAGCUUUUCUUUCAAUCGUCCAACAUAUUGAGGUAUUGCUACUAAAGAGUUUAUUUUCUUUUCAGUAAUCAAAGGCAAUUUCAGUUAAAAUUUGUCAUGUUCCACUAUUAAUUCUAUGCUUAUUUUUGGCAGGAUCCAAAUCCAUCUUUCUACUUACAGUUCAUGAAGGCUCUGUCACCCUUCCUUCUUGCCAGAACGAUAUGCACAGGAUAAAAUUGAUCUGCUUGCUCCCUCAGCUAUGACUCAUUGUGAGCUUUUCCAUUUGAUGUUCUUUCUCAGUUACUCUGUAUUUCUCCACCAUUAUUAAUUCUUUGCAUUUUCAUGUCAGUAUUACCAAUUGCCCAUUUUCACUAAACAAGAUUGUUUUUCAAAUAUCAUUACGUAGCUAUUUGUGUAUUUUACAUAUCCUUUUCAUGCUCUUGGUCUAAAUCCUCUAUUGUUUCUUUGCAGCAUUCUGAUCCAAAUUUUCCUCUACAAGCAUGGGCGGCUCAUAAGUUUGGAUGAAUGAAAUACAGAUACUGUCCAUGUUGUAUGUUUUUAUUUGUUGGAUGUUGAUAUACAAAUUUUCUUCCCAUUGUCUCUCAUACAUCUUCUUUCUCAUUUUAAAAUGUUUAAUGAGUUCUUUAAAAUAACUAAUUUAUAAUUUUAUUAUUGACCAUGCUUUAUUGUAGGUCAAGUUAAGUUUUUCUUAAAAAUAAAAAAUUAUUUAAAUUGUGAAUGUUUUAAUUUUUUCUGGUAAAAAAAAUUUAAAUCGUGUGGUGAUAUAUUUGGUGUGAGUUGAUUCAAUUUGCAGUUUAAAAAACAACCUAGAUAACCAAUAAAAAUAUAAUUUAACUUAUAAAAAAUUUCAAGAUUACAUAUAUUUUUUUAAUAUUAAGAUAACAACAAAUUAAAUUGAUUUGGGUCAACUCAAGUUAACUUGUUAAAUUCAUAACUUGAAUUAUGAGACUAUGAUAACUAUGUAGAAAAUAAAUUAUUAAGUCUAAUUUUCAACCAACCAAAUAUUAAAAGAUAAAAUUAAAAUAAAUAAAUAAGCCAUUUGGAGAUUGACCUGAUGCGACUUAAUUGAUUUAGCUUGUUUGAAAGCAACCCUGACAACCAGUAAAAAUAUAGUCUGACUUAGAAAAAAUUUCAAAAUGACACUUUUUUUUAAUAUGAAGAUAACAAAGUAAUAGAUUGAAUUGGGUUAACCAAAGUUAACUUGUUAAAAUUUUUAUCCAGGUAUGAGACUAUGAAGUCUAAUUCCUAAUCAACCAAAUAUUGAAUGAUAUAAUUGAAAAAAUAAUCAAUUAAAAAAAUAAUCUAAAAAUAUGAAUUGAGUUAACUUGUCAAGUCCAUAGCCUUGGUUAUAAUAGAGAUAUAAUCUUAUAGAAAAAAAAUAAAAAUAAAUUAUGAAGUUCAAUCUUAAUUAGCCAAAUGUUGAAGGAUAAAAUUAAAAAAAAAGAAAUCAAUUUUAAAAAGAACAUAAAAAUAACUCAAGUCAAUCCACCAAACCCAUAACUAGCUCGUCAUGAGAUCGAAAUAAUCUUAUAAAAAAAUUACAUGAUUUAACUCAUUAAAUAUGUGACUUUGGUUACAAGACCGAGACAACCUCUUAAAGAGUGAAUAAAAAUAAAUUAAAAAGUGCAAUCCCUAAUUGACCAUGUCAAACCCGAUGUGAAUGAUGCAAUUUCUAGAAAUUUGAAUUAAAAAAUAACAUAAAAAUGAUUUAGGUCAAUUAGGGUUAAUCGGUUAAGCAUCAUUUUUAGACAAUGAGGCUAGGAUAACAUAAUAAAAACAAAAUCAAAACAAACCAUGAAGCUUAAUUCCUAAUAAAACAUAAUAUUAAAUAAUAAAAUUGAAGAAAAAAGAUCAAUAAAAAAAUUGAGUCAAUCGGGUUAACUUGCUAAGCUUGCGAGUUAGGUUAUGAAACAUAAAUAAUCCAAUAAAAAGCAAAUUCACUAUUGAAGGACUCGUGACCCAGAUCAUGAAAUCAAGAUAACCUCUUAUAAACAAAAUUAAAAAACAACUCAAUUUAAUUUGGAUUAAAAUGCCAAAACCCCCGUCUCUAAUCAUGAGACUAGGAUAACCCUGUAGAAAAUAAUUUGAAAUAGAUUAUGAAGCUUUAUUCCCAACUGACUUGAUAUCGAAUGAUAAAAUUGAAAAAAAAAUUCAAUUAAAAAACAUAAAAUACAACUCGAGUCAACUUAGGUUAACUUUUUAAGUAUUAUUUCUGGGUUACGAGGUUAAAAUAAUCUAAUAUAAAACAAACAAAACAAAACAUGAAACUUAAUUUUUAAUUAAUCUAAUAUUAAAAGAUAAAAUUAUAAAAAUUAAAAAGUUAGCUAAAAAAAUCAAGUUAACCGAAUUAAUCCAUCAAAUCCACAAUUUUUAUUAUAAAAGUGAGACACCUUAAUAAAAAAACAUUCAUUAAAAAAAGCACUCAUUCAAAUAAUUGUAUAAAAUAUAAUAAUAUAAAGUAUAAUUUAUGAUUUAUUUAUUUAAUUUAUCAAUGAAAAGUGAUAGAAGGAAGAAGAGAAAAGAAAUAAAGUGAAGUCUUCUGCUGCAUUAUCAUAUCAUGUGAAAAGCUUCGCAUUUUGUGAAGUUUUUCCAAUCAAACCCCUUUUUUUAAAAGAUGUAAUUUCUAGGAAAAUAAAUCAAAGACAAACCGAGUAAAAUUCCAAAAGAAGAGAAAGAUGGAAUAGCGUUUCAGUUGCGGCUUGUAUACGUGUUUCAAAAAUAAUUUUUUUAUUUUAAAUUAAUAUUUUUUUUAAUGUUUUUAGAUUUUUUAAUUUGUUAAUAUUAAAAAUAAUUUAUAAAAAAUAAAAUAAUUUAUUUUAAUAUAUUUUUAAAUAAAAAACAAUAGAAACCCGUGACCCCUUAAAUGUACUCCUAAGCAUAACAAUUUAAGAGUUAAAGAGCCGAGAGAGAAAAAGCUUUUGCCAGUUCUUUACACAAAUUCUUUCCCCUUCUGUCAGCUGAACAAAAUCCCCUCUUCUUCUUCUUCUUGUUUGUUUACUCUUCCUUCGUUACUUUGCAAAGAGGAGAAACCAUGGCCGGGGCUUUAGUAGGAGGAGCUUUUCUUUCUUCUUUCCUUAAUGUUUUGUUCGACAGGAUGGCCUCUCCCCAGGUGGUUGCCUUCUUCAGAGGCCAAAAAGUCAACAAUUGGCUGCUAACGAGGUUGGAGACAGCAAUGACAUCUCUCAGGGUGGUGCUUGACGAUGCCGAGGAGAAGCAGAUAACAAACCAAUCUUUCCUGGGAACUUGCUUAGUUAAAGGAUUAUCCAUACGAUACUAUUUUUAUAUAUAUAGCAGUUUGUAAUGAAACGGUUGAAGACUAGCAAGACGACGACACAAGAGAACAGUUGGGUUCCGUAUGAUCAAGGAUCUGAUGGAGUGGUGAUUUCUUCAAAGAAGUUAGAUUCGGUGACUGUAAUUUCUCGAGGGAGAAUUGAUGAAGACCCUGAUAAUGGAAGAGAAAUACAGCAAGGGGAUAAAGAUUGACACCCUAUUUUGACUUGGAUAGGUGUUGUGACAUGAUGAGUUGCUGUCAAACAUAAGCAAGGAAUGGGGAGAAAUUUGGAGAACAGAAAUUGCACGAGGGCACAUGGAGAUUGUGUAGGAGUACCCGUGAUCCAACGAGGUACUGUAAUGAGACAACAGAUGCAAGGAGAAGAAGUGUUCCCGGAUGAAGCUCAAAGUAAAGAUUGUGAAAAGGAUGUACAACAGGAAGUCUCUUGUGCUCUUGAUGAAGACAACAGGCGAGGACCUUUCCAAUACAUGCAAGGAUAGAAAGAGAGCUAUUGCAGAGGCACCUAAUUGAGGGGGUGCGAACGCCUAUGAUAAAAGACGACCGCCUAUGAUGAAAGGCGAAGACACCAAAAAGAGUUGGUGUAGGUGGAGCUGUCAAGCAGAAAGGCGCAAAAGCUCCAAACAUAGAAAAUGAGAUGGAAGAUUGCGAGGAGUGUACCACAACUCUCUCUUUCUAUGUGUUCAAUGGAAGUGAUCUCUCCCAUAGUCCACAUGGUGGUAGAGAAUCUUAGAGCCACAUUGAAGCAUCUCCGAUGAAGGAGGAUGAGAACGCAUCAUGACGAGCGGAGACACCUCAGACAGAAAGUGUGCGGGCCACGAUAUGAGCCUAGUUCAGACCGCCUUAUGAUAACAGGCGAAGACACCUUAAAAAAGGUGUGAGAGCCACGAUAGGAGCCCCAGUUCAGAAUGCUCCAAAGCCAAUGUAAUGGUUGGAUAUGAGUGGACAAGUGUAUGGAUAGCCAAUGAAGUGGCUAUGAUGAGUAUGGAGACAAAUGCCAGAUUGACUUUCAUUGCCUCUAGGUUAAAGAUCAAUGAGCUAGAUAACAUAUGCCUUGGACAAUAAGUGGAUGACUUAUGGAGCAUUAAGACGCGACUGAUAAGAAUGAGCAGAGUACAUGCGCAAGUUCCGGGAAUAAGUUGACUCUUGUCAAGGUGGUGAGCUCGGUAAUGGCAUUGUAAUACUCAGAGUAUGAAGAAAGAUAUGGAUCAACCUUUAAUGGGCUGCCCCCAUGGUUAAAGGUGGAGAACUACCUGGACUCUUAGAACUAAAAGCGAGAGACUCAUGGAAAAGUAAGGUGUGGUUCCUAGAGUGGAACAGAGGGCAGACACAACUUCGGGAUGAGUAGAAUCUUGGAAGAGUGGUGAGCUCGUGAUCACAUUGAAAUACUCAGAUAAUGAAUGUCGCACUCGGAAAUAGAUAAUUCCAUUUGAGGGGGUGUUGUAAGCCUUGAUGUGAGGCUUGAUAAAUCAUUUCGGAUUGAGCAUGGUUAAUACGCUCGAAGGGGAAUUUUAUCCCAGAGACAAGCGUUAACACUCUUCAGAUGUAAUGUGACAGACCAUCUGGUUGUAGUGAUCCUUUUGUGUAAGAAAAGGUGUGCUUUGGUGACUCUGGUGAUUGAAAGGUUUGGCGAGUACCUGUAAACUUGGCCAAAGAUGCUCUCAGAAUGGUAAGCUUGGAAGAGUUGCAAGAUGCAAGCAUGUGCUGAAGAAGCAAGAGGACAAUUACCCACAUAAAUGGCAAAGGGGGUGAUUGUUAGAAUAUUACCAAUUAUGUGGCUGCCAUUGUCAAAGAAGAUGGCUGCCAUUGUCAAAGAAAAAAGGCCAACUUGUGAGAGUCAAAGAGAGUUGUUGAUGCAGCAUUUGCAGCCUUUUAACAUUGUCAAAGAAGGAGGCUAUAAUGGUGGGUUGUUGGUGGCAGCUGCUAAUGUCAAAAGAAGCUGCAACAACCAUUAACAAAGAGUAGCCACCAUUGUUGACAAAGGAGCAAGAGGAGUUGUUAUUGAAGCCUAUAAAUAGACACCAAGAGUGCAACACAAAGUGAGAGAGAGAGUCUUGUAGUAGAGCUACAAAAGAGAGAAGAAGAGAGAAAAAAAGAGAAGGGCUGCAACCAGCAGCCCUGCUGCCUUAUGCAGCUACUGCCCUAUGUAGCAAUGUGAGAUGGGAGUUGAGUGGAUGUGAUCCUCCUCCGUGUGUUGUAUUCUUUCUCUAUCUCUAAUAAUAUCGAUCUCUCCAGUGGAUGUAGGCGAUUUGCCGAACCACGUUAAAUAUUGUGUUAGUGUGCUUAGUCUCCUUUAAGCAAUGAUCAUGAACACCACCGUUCCGCAAGGGGGAGCAGAAAUCCCCAACAAUACAGAAGUUGCUUCUACCAGACGAUGCCAAUGGAGAAAACCCAGGUGUGGUUCCUGUUACAGGGUUAAAUUCGUCAGGCUGUAGGUUGACGAAAGUAUUGCUGGACAGUAGCUAUGAGGUGGCAGCCCGCAUGACGGUAGUGAAAAUCGGCAGCAUGCAACAGCAACGCAGCAGUGUGCUGACAAGAGCUGGAGACUUGGACUAUGGAUUGUCCAAGGCUCGAUGAAACAGUGCUGGAAUGACGUGAUGGGACAGUGUCGAAUUCGGCAGCAUUGAUGAGAUCAACAGCGUCGACAAAAUUGGCAGCAGGGGCUGACGAUAGGUCUAGGCGAUGGACAGUCCAUGACUGGACAUAAUACACUACUGGCAUGAAUGGCAGCACGCAUAGGUAGUGGCAACGUGCAUGGGCAGAUUCAGCAACAGUGUGCGUCAACGAUUCGACAGGACAUGGGUUGAUGUUCGACAGGAAUCCUAACUUAGACCAUGGACAGUCCAAGGCAUACAAACACCUACUCUGGCAGCGUGGAAGUUGGCAAAAGGGACAACUGGCUUGUUGGGUGGCAGGCUAUGGAAGAAGCAGCAAUUGCAGGCAAUUUUCGACAGUUAUCAGCAGUUUUCCAGGAGGCCAAACUGACCAGAACGUGGCCCAUGUCUUGGGAGGCAGUUAUGUUGUAUUAUUCCAUGUAAUAGGUUGUACAUAGGGUGUAGCAUGCAAUGUUCUGGUAGGCAGCAGAACACUUGUGCAUGGCACACACGCUAAUAAACUUGUGUAUCCUUUGUUGACGAGACUAAUGAAGGUUGGGAAUGUUUUCCUGUAAUAUCUUGUGUGCUUGGUUCUGUACAGCUUUGCUUGUGUAUUCCGCUUGUCUAUGUAAUGGGAGUGAGUGUGGGAAACCUCUUGGUGAGGGAAACACGAGUGAGGUGAGGGAAAGGCUGAGUCUAGCUAGUCAUCAACCUCCUGUCACGACCCGAUCCCCGGAUCCAUGACUGGCACAUAGGCAAGGUUCCCCUCCAAGGUUCCAUACCUAUGCGAACCCAAACUUACACACAAACUUAUCCUAACUCAAUUAGAGUUCAACGCAGCAUUAAUAACAAAAUCAACUUCAUAAUAUAAUUGAAUUGUCUUAAUACAAGAGUUUAUAUAAGUUCAGAGUUUUGGAGCACUAACUAGACAUAAAGGAAAGGUACCAAGUACAACCAAAAAGCAGGUUCUGAAGGUCCAACAAAAUGACCUGUUAUUAAGCUAUAAGCCUGAAAAGGAUAAAUAAUGAGAUGGUGAGUUCAACAACUCAGUGAGUAGAUAACGUUCAAUACACACACACAAGGUAAUACAGCAAUGAGAAAUAUAUAUACAAUUGGCUUUAGGUUCUUAUGGAAGUUUUCUCAAAUUGGCCAUAACAAGAAGAUCAUAUGGUAAAACUCGUCAGAAAAUCAAAAUGCAAUGAGCAUGAGGCUCCGUACUGUGGGAUGAUCAGUCCACACAGGUUGGUGACUCCCCCGACCAACUAGGGUUCAGAUACGAUGUGCACAAAGACUAACACUACCCUGUUAGCAUGGGUAUUCUGACUGACAUACCAUAGGUUUAUAAUCAUAAUCAAACAGACAUAUUCAUAUCUCAAGGCUCAACUCAUGACAUCAAUCAAAUGAGGAGCUAUCAAUUCAGAAGUCAAUUCAUAAUAUAUAUACUGGUUCAUAUCAAUAAUUCGGAUUCAACAAUUGAUCAUGCUUAUCAUAACAAGGAUAAUAAUCAACAUAUAUAUUAUCAAGAAGCAUGAUCCAAUUCAUAUUAACAAAUCAAAUAUUUAUAAUAUUUCUCAUGCAUAUGGAAAAUUAUCCACUCACCUGACUCAAAAGCAAACAGAAGCCAAAAGCAGACACCGAAGAAAAUCCUACUGACGUCCCGCCGGUAGAAUAUCAGGAUUAUCUGAAUAUAAAGGAGACAUAUUUAAGAACGACUCGAAAGAACAUUUAACCUAUUUAAUAAACUUAACUAAUAAUGUAUUCCGUAACCCUAUAUGUUUUUGAACUAACUAGUCAAUUUUCUCAAAAACCCAAAAUUUAACGGUUUUUUCCGAAAUCUAAUCCAUAAUAAAACAACUAAUAAAAUUGGCAAUAAUUCACUAAAUAACCCUUAAUUAUUCAUCAAACUAAUCUGCAAAAGCUAAUAUUACAGAUAGGGAAUAAUCUGUAAUUUAUCCUAUUUUUAAGGGUCAAAUUGCAACUUUUGUCUAAUUGAAGGACCAAACUGAAAUUUAUCAUAAAUCCAUGAAUAUACUGAAAUUCUGACCAUAAUUAGUCCUCAUUUCUGUCCAGAUCAUCUCAUUAUACUCCAAGGACCAUUCUGGAAUUUUACCAAAUUUUUAGGGUCAAAUUGUAUUUUUUGCCAAAUUGGAGGACUAAAUUGAAAGUGUUAAAUUCUCUUAUCUAUACAGUAAUUCUGUCCAUAAUUCAUAUGUUAUUCUGUUCAGAAUCUCGGAAUAGGCUCCAGGGACCAAUCUGCAAAUUUUCCAAAGUUUGGGGACUAAACUGUAAUUUUCCAAAAUUGAGAGACCAAACCGAAAUUUUGUCAUCUUCAACCUCCAACCCAGAAUUCCAACAGAAAACCCACUGUUCUUUCCUUAUUUCUAACACAAAUUCACCAUUCAAACAAAAUCAUAACUCAAAAUCAUCAUCUUUCAAUUCAAUCUCUCAAAUUCAACCAAAUAAUCAAAUACCCACAACAAUUAACCCUACAACAUCCAAAUUAACUCAUAAAUCAAACUCAAAACACAAAUUUCAUAACCCUAACAUUUAUCAAAAUCAAAAUUAAAGCUUAAUUAACACAUAUUUAUACAUAAUCUUACCUUUUUACUUAUUUCCUUCAAUUCCUUUCUAUUUCCCUUCUAAUUUCCCUCUUUUCUCUUCUUCUUCUUUCUCCCUUUCUCUCCUGCCGGUUCUCUCUCAAAAUUCAGAUCCCUCUUUCCUCUUUUUUUUUUACUUCCUAUUUAUAUAUAUUAUCUCUUUAUACAAUUAUUAUUAUACCCCUCAUUUAAUUUAUUCCUACAUCUAAGCAUUCAAGGGCCUUGUUGCCAUUUCCUAUCUUUUAAUACAAAACAUUACACCUCCGAGGACAGAUUUCUCUCUAAGGUCUGUUUUUGGGAUAAAAAAUUGACCCUGUGACAGUUCCCAUAGUGGGAAUGGGCGGGGUUGGUAAAACCACGCUUGCUCAGCUUGUAUACAAUCACAGCAGAGUACAAGAGUGGUUCGGUCUCAAAGCUUGGGUUUGUGUUUCAGAAGAUUUCAGUGUUUCGAAGUUAACUAAGGUUAUCCUUGAGGGGUUCGGUUCAAAGCCUGCUUUUGAUAAUCUGGAUCAGCUCCAGCUUCAGUUGAAGGAGAGAUUGCAGGGAAAGAAAUUCUUGCUUGUUUUAGAUGACGUUUGGAAUGAAGAUUAUGAUGAAUGGGAUAGGUUUCUUACCCCCCCUGAAGUACGGAGCACAAGGGAGUAAGAUUCUUGUCACAACACGCAAUGCAAGAGUAGCAUCAGCCAUGAGCACUGGUCCAACUCAUCAUCUAAAAGAAUUGACGGAAGACAGCUGCUGGUUUGUGUUCGCCAAACAUGCAUUUCGUGGUAAAAAUCCCAAUGUUUAUGAAGAGUUGCUAGAGAUUGGAAGAGAAAUAGGGAGAAAAUGUAAAGGCCUUCCUCUAGCUGCAAAAACACUCGGAGGUCUGCUAUGCACCAAGAGAGAUGUCGAGGAGUGGGAGAAGAUAUUGGAAAGCAAUCUAUGGGAUUUACCCAAAGGCAAUAUCCUCCCAGCCUUGAGAUUAAGUUAUCAUUAUCUCCUGCCACAUCUGAAGCAGUGUUUUGCUUAUUGUGCCAUAUUUCCAAAAGACUAUUCAUUUCGAAAGGAUGAAUUAGUGCUCCUGUGGAUGGCAGAGGGCUUCUUAGUCCACUUUGUAGAUGAUGAGAUGGAAAGAGCAGGUGCUGAGUGCUUUGAUGAUCUCUUGUCAAGGUCGUUUUUCCAGCAAUCAAGCUUAUCAUUUGUGAUGCACGAUCUCAUGCAUGACUUGGCUACCCAUGUGUCCGGUCAAUUUUGCUUCAGCUCCAGGUUGGGGGUAAAUAAUUCUUCCAAGGCCACAAGAAGGGCUCGACAUUUUUCACUCGUAGUAGAUACGGAAGACACGGAUGGUGAAGAUACCGAAGAUGGAGAUACGGAAGGUGUUUUUUCAAGCACAAAAUUAGAAAACAUUAGUGCAGCCCAGUUUCUACGCACAUUCCAAACUUAUCCACACUAUUUGAGGUGUCCUCCCGAAUUUUAUAAUGAGAUCUUUCAGUCAACACUUGGGCGCCUACGAGUGCUAUUCAUGACUGGUUGUAGAGAUGCAACUUUGAAGUUUUGUUCAACUAACAAGUUGAAGCAUUUGCGGUAUUUGGAUCUUUCCUUUUCACAGUUCUUAGUAACGUUGCCUGAAGAAGUGAGUGCUCUUCUCAAUUUGCAAACGUUGAUCUUGCAAGAUUGCUCCAAACUUGCUAGUCUACCUUAUUUUGGAAAUUUGAAGAAUCUUGAAGGAACAAGAAUCGAAAGGUUGCCUGAAUCUCUAGAAAGGUUUAUCAACUUGCGGUAUCUUAACAUCCAAUAUACGCCUUUGAAAGAGAUGCCACCACAUAUAGGUCAACUGACAAAGCUCCAAACGUUGACUGACUUUAUUGUGGGAAGACAGAGUGAGUCUAUCAUUAAUGAAUUGGAAAAGCUACGACAUCUACGGGGAAAACUGUAUAUUCGGGUCCUUCAAAAUUUGGUGGAUGCUCGGGAUGAUGUUGGAGCAAAUUUGAAAGGUUUAAAGCACCUUGAUCAGCUGUUUCUCAUUUGGGAUGGUGACACUCAUAACGUGGAACACGUAACAAGCACGCUUGAGAAAUUAGAGCCAGAUGGAAAUGUGAAGUAUCUUGAGAUUGAUGGUUAUGGAGGUAUAAGGUUUCCGGAGUGGGUAGGAAACUCCUCUUUCUCAAAAAUAGUGUCCUUGAAGCUCAGUAGAUGUAAAAACUGCACCACCUUACCACCGCUCGGGCAAUUAACUUCUUUAGAGGAUCUCUCAAUUGAAGAAUUCGAUAAAGUUGUGACUGUGGGCUCUGAGUUCUAUGGGAAUUGUACACAAGAAGCCAUUUGAAUCCCUCAAAUGUCUAUUUUUUAAAAGGAUGCCAGAGUGGCGCGAGUGGAUUUCAGACGAAGGCAGCCGGGAAGCCUUCCCUCUUCUUGAGAAGCUUUACAUCCAACAAUGCCCCAACCUUGCAAAGGCCCUUCCUAGUCACCACCUUCCACGUGUAACAAGACUUGUAAUUAAAGAAUGUAAGCAGCUCGCGACUCCACUUCCUAGGUUUCCGAGGUUGCAGUCUCUCUCUGUUUCUGGAUCCCACUCCCUAGAGUCCCUACCCGAGGAACUUGAGCAAAUGGGUUGUUCACCCUCUGAUUUAGGGCGAAUUACAAUCCAGGGCGAAUUACAAUCCAGGGCUGCGCUUCUCUCAAAUGCGUCGCACUGGACUUGCUCCCCAAGUUAAAUUAUCUUUCUAUCUGUGACUGUUCAGAUCUUGAAUCACUAUGUGCACAUGAAAGACCUCUCAAUGAUCUCAAUUCUCUCCAUUAUUUGUUUAUCGAGAAGUGCCCUAAAUUAGUUUCAUUUCCCAAAGGAGGAUUACCUGCUCCAGUCUUAACACGACUUGAGUUAGAAGAUUGCAGGAACUUGAAGCUGUUGCCUGAGAGUAUGCAUUCCCUCCUCCCAUCCCUUUCGCAUUUGGAAAUAAAAGAUUGUUUAGAAGUUGAGUUGUGUCCAGAAGGGGGUUUUCCCUCCAUAUUACAAUCACUUGUCAUUUGUAGAUGCGACAAACUCAUUGCUGGCCGCAUGCAAUGGGGCUUGCAAACGCUCCCUUCUCUUUCACACUUUACAAUCGGUGGCCUUGAAAAUAUUGAAUCCUUCCCUGAAGAGAUGCUUCUGCCCUCAAGUCUUACAUCUCUUAAAAUCCAUUCCCUAAAACACCUGAAAUCUCUUGACUACAAGGGGCUUCAACACCUCACCUCUCUUAGAAAAUUGCAUAUAAAUUACUGCCCUAGGCUUGAGUCCAUGCCAGAAGAAGGGUUGCCCUCCUCCCUUUCUACUCCUCUUUAUAUUUACUUUUGUCCUAUGGUUGAGUCAAUGCCAAAAGUAGGGUUGCCCUCCUCCCUUUCUACUCUUAGAAUUAACGAUUGUCCUAUGCUGGGUGAACGUUGUGAAAGGGAGAAAGGUAAAGAUUGGCCCAAGAUUUCUCACAUUCCUCACAUAAAAAUUAUGUAUUGAUGGCUAUUGAUUUUUCCAACAUCAGCGGAGCCAAAAAGGAGGUAUUGCCACUAAAUAGUUUAUUUUCUUUUCAGUAAUCAAAGGCAAUUUCAGUAAAAAUUUGUCCUUUUCCACUAUUAAUUCUAUGCUUAUUUUUGGCAGGAUCCAAAUCCAACUUUGCACUUACAGUUCAUGAAGGGUUUGUCACCCCUUCCUUCUUGCCAGAACAAUAUGCACAGGAUAAAAUUGAUCUGUUUGCUCCCUCAGGUAUGACUCAUUGUGAACUUUUCCAUUCGAUGUUCUUUCUCAGUUACUCUGUAUUUCUCCACCAUUAUUAAUUCUUUGCAAUUUCAUGUCAGAUUACCACUUGCCCAUUGCAGAGUGGAGCACCAUGGUUUCACAAAACAAGAUUGCUUUGCAUUGUUUAGCUAUUUGUGUAUUAUACGUAUCAUUUUCAUGCUCUUGGUCUAAAUCCUCCAUUGUUUCUUUGCAGGAUUCUGAUCCAAAUUUUCUUCUACAAGCAUGGGCGGCCCAUAAGUUUGGAUGAAUGAAAUACAGAUAUUUUCUUCAUAUUGUCUGUCAUUCAUCAUUCUAUUUCAAUAUAUUUUUUGCUAUAAUUAAUUUUUAAAGUUGAUUUGAUUAGUAUUGUACUUUUCUCAUUCUAACAUUUGUGGUUAGAACAAGGUAAUUUUCACUGGAGUGUCAUUUUGGGAUGAGAUGAUUUUGGUUCAAAUUCCAUAAAUUGUUUCUUAAAAAAAAAUAACAAUUUAAACAAGACAAGGAGAAUGAUCUAUAGGAGCGGUGAACCUUUGGCUUCUUUCCUUUGAAUCCAAAUUCAAAUCCUGUUCUGCUGCAAAUAAACAUCACAUGCUUCAGAUUUUGAAUUUAGUAAUAGAAAAUCCAUUGCUAGAAAGGAUUAAAAAAAUAUUGAAUUAUUUAAGUGAUCUGCAACUGAUUUUUCAUUGUUGACGCGGCAAGAUCAAAUCUGCAACUGAUUCAAAAAAUAAAUUAAACCCUUAAUUAUAUAAAAUCUCCCUUCUCUCCUUCUCUCCUUUUCUGCAUCUUCAAAAAUUCAAAUUUUUUUCUCCAUCUCUUUCUCUAGUCCAUUCGCCUUCUUCAAAAAUUCAAAAUCCAAAAAAUUUUGAUUUAUCUUUUUUUAUUAUUAUUUAACUUUGAUUAAAAAAAAUUUAUUCCAUAUAAAGCUGAAGUUAAAAAAUAAUUUUGGAGCGUAGGAAAGGCCCUUUCUAAUAAAAUUUAUUUCAUGGUGUUCAGGAAUAAUUAAUAAUAUUUUAUUAGUUAUUUUUAAAAUUUAUUUUCAUAAAACAAAUAAAUACAAAAAGAAAAAAUAAUAUAAAAUUCACCCGCGUUUUGGAAUCACAAUUCAGAAGCAAGUGAAAGUGGCCAAUGUCACUCAAGAGAGCAGGCACUUGCAAAUCUACUAAUGAUUUGUUUGGCAUGGUGUUGGUAAAUUGUUUUUGAAAAAAUUUAAAUUUAUUUUUAUUUUAAAUUAAUAUAUUUUUUUAUGUUUCUAUAUUAAAAUAUUAUUUUAAUAUAUUUUAAAAUAAAUAAUACUUUGAAAAAUAAUCAAAUAAAUAUGGGAGCAUCACCCUUUCGCACAAUCAACAGAAAGGAUUAAAGCACAGAAAGUCAUCAUCUCGAGAACUCACAGCAAAGAGUUCAAUGUUGUAGUAGAUAUGUAGCUAUAUUAAAAACAUUAAUACUUCCAGCAUGCACAAAUGCGACUUCUUAAUAGUUAAUAUUGGAAAAAUUAAAUUUCCUUUUCUAAUUAAAUGAAAAUCUCUACUAAAUAUUAUGCUAUUUGAAUUUUCACCUCAUGACUACAAGCUGCACUGCACUCAUGGAUGCUUCACCAGGAUAAAGCUACAAAUGUCAGUUUAAUAUCUGCCUCUACCUAGGUCGGCCGACAAUAUUACCAAAGCUUCUCUCCUACAAAUGUCAGUUUUUAAAAUCUGCCUCCACCUAGGUCGGCCUGCAAUAGAAUACCAAAGCUUCUCUCAACUAAAUCAAGACAUGAUGACUAGCACUCGCAACCAUAACAGAACCAAUGGAAGCGAACUACUACAUAUUUGAUCAACAAGGUCAAAUUCAGUCGAGUUUUUAAGGAAAUCCAGUGAAAGAGGAACCUAAAAUACUACAUGAUUGUGGAAUAGAAAGUUUAACGGCCUUAAUUGAAUUGUUUCAGUCACUAUUUUUUCAGUCACAAAGUAACAAUUUCUGUAUCAACUCUUCUCUUCUUCUUCUUCUUCUAUCACAUCUCAAUGGAUUGCAACAGAUUGUAACAGCCCCUGUAGUUUCUCUGUUUUGAAUUAUUCAAAUAAGUUGCACAGAUUGCAACAGCCCUUAAAGAUAGGAAGCAGUUUUGAACUGCUCUAUAGUUUAGGAUUUCAAAACAAAUGUUCGUUAUCAUGUAUGUGUAUUUAACUGCUGCAAAAUGUAAAUGAAAAAUAUGAUUGAUUUCAUCAUUCCUUUAUGGUAUCAGAGCACUAAACCGAUCCACUUUAUUUUUAUCUUUUCUUUUCUUUUUCCUUCCCUUGUUCAUUACCACUCAUGGCUACAGAGUCUAAUCCUGCAACCAUUCUCAACACCAAUGAAUCACACCAAACUCUCAUCAGCAUCAAUGUUGCUGCUCAAGCCCCUCUCAAACUCAACUCUACCAAUUACCUCUCUUGGAAACUUCAAUUCCAAACCUUAUUCAUUGGAUAUGAUCUUCUUGGCUAUAUUGAUGGCUCCAAACCAUGCCCGCCAGCUACCUUGACUCAAGCCAAUACCACCAUUUCCAAUCCCAAUUACACUCUAUGGAUCCGCCAGGAUUAAUUGAUUCUCAACGCUGUUAUUGGCUCCAUUUCACCUACUAUUAUACCUUUCAUUGCUCAAGCCACCACCUCUAGCCAAGCCUGGACAAUUCUAGCAAAUACCUAUGCUAAACCCUCUCGUGGUCGUAUUAAACAAAUCAAAAACCAACUCAAAAACACCACCAAAGGCUCCCUUGGCAUCACUGAAUUUAUGCAAACUAUCAAAACGCGAGCAGAUGAUCUUGCUCUUCUUGGUGCCUCCCUUGAUGCAGAAGAAAUCACGGACAAAAUACUUGAUGGUCUCGGUGAUGAUUACAAGGAAUUAGUUCGUGCUGUCCAGGCCAGAGAUACCUCCAUCACAUUUGUAGAACUUCACGAAAAACUUCUCAAUUUUGAGGCCUCCCUUCAACAUCUCCCAUCUGAGCCACACCAUUUUCCAGCUACAGCCAAUCCCACAUAUCGAACCAACACCAAAAAUUGGCGUCCUUCUCCACCUCGUAACAAUACCACAAACUAUUGGCGCCCAUCCUACAACUUUUCCAACCGCUCACCUAUUGUACCCAUUACAAGACCCAUUUCAGCACCGGCCUCUCGUCCUCACCACAAACCAUACCUUGGUCACUGUCAAAUUUGCAGGAUUCAGGGUCACACUGCCAAUCGGUGCCCUUCCUAUCGCCUUGUACCCAUUCAUCCUUUACCCACUUCCAGCACUCCCCAACAAGGAACACCCUGGCAACCACAAGCUCACCUUGCCACCCAUCCCUCCACCACGCCAUCCUGGCUUUUAGACAGUGGUGCUUCACACCAUGUCACCUCAGAUCUAAACAACCUCUCCCUGCAUGCUCCAUAUAGCGGUACUGAUGACAUCAUGAUCGGAGAUGGAUCCACUCUUCCCAUCACUCAUACUGGUUCCACCUCUCUCACCACUCCUCUCCAUACAUUUCAAUUACACAAUGUUCUUUGUGUUCCCUCUAUGGAAAAGAACCUCAUCUCUAUUUCACAAUUCUGCACUUCUAACAAUGUUUCCAUAGAAUUCUUACCAUCAACUUUUCUUGUUAAGGAACUUCAUACCGGGACAACACUGCUACAGGGACAGACUAAAGAUGGUGUCUAUGAGUGGCCCUCUUCCUCUCCUUUCAUUGCUUUCUCAACAAUAAAGCCCACGUCCUUCGACUGGCAUCAUCGCCUAGGCCAUCCAGCUUUUUCAAUUCUCAGACAUAUUGUCUCUAGCAAUCAUUUAGGCUUGUCUUCCUCCUUAUCUUCCAAUUACUCAUGUAAUGCGUGUCUUUGCAAUAAAAGCCACAGGCUGCCCUUCUCCAACUCUACAAUUGUCUCCACCAAACCGCUUGAAAUUAUAUUCUCUGAUGUGUGGACCUCGCCAAUUUUCUCUCAUAAUGGCUUUAAAUAUUAUGUAAUAUUUAUUGAUCAUUUCACUAAAUAUAUCUGGUUUUACCCACUCAAAAACAGAUCUGAUGUCAAAGAAGUUUUCAUUCGAUUCAGAGCCAUUGUCGAAAAACACUUUAAUUCCACCAUUAAAACACUCUACUCUGACAAUGGUGGUGAGUAUAUCUCUCUAGCUAAUUUUCUUUCCACCAAUGGUAUCUCUCAUCUCACAACUCCCCCUCACACGCCUGAACAUAAUGGUUACUCUGAAAGACGACAUCUUCACAUCGUUGAAACUGGUCUAGCCCUACUCACGCAUGCUUCUUUACCCCAUUCCUACUGGACUUAUGCAUUUUCCACAGCUGUCUAUCUCAUUAAUAGAUUGCCGACUCCCACUUUAAACUUGUCCUCACCCUACCACAAAAUAUUUCAAACAGCCCCAAACUACUCCAAGUUACGCAUCUUCGGCUGCCUAUGCUACCCUUGGCUCCGCCCUUACACCUCCCAUAAACUUGAAUCAUGGUCCAAGCCAUGUGUUUUCCUUGGGUAUUCUCUUACUCAAAGUGCAUACUAUUGCCUUGAUCCUUCCACCUCCAGAAUCUACGUCUCAAGACAUGUCAAAUUUAUUGAGUCACAGUUUACCUUCUCUUCACUAUCUGGUUCAUCCUCUACUUCCCUUUCCAAUCCCAUCACUACUUGGAUUCCUGCACCAAUUACAGUUCUUUCACCCGCUUCAGAACCACCACUCCCUAUGCCAUCUGCAGUUUUCAAUACUCAGCAACCCCAAAGUGCAGCUCCCCCAUCCAACCCCAUUCAGCUUCCAACCACCAUCGCCACCCAUACAACCUCCCCUUCCAUAACAUCUUCAACAGGUACAACCUCAACCCUCCAUUCCCCACCUAAAACUCCUACCCUUCCCACUCAUUCUAUGACCACUCGCGCUAAAAACAACAUUCACAAACCCAUCACUAAGCUGAAUCUUCAUACCCGACUAUCCACUUCCAGUGAUCUAGAACCAACCACCGUGACUAAAGCCCUUCUUGAUCCCAGGUGGCGUCAAGCUAUGUCUGCUGAAUGUGAUGCCUUAGUCAGAAAUGGAACAUGGGAACUUGUUCCACCAGAUUCUUCACAGAAUAUAGUUGGAUGUAAGUGGAUAUUUCGGAUUAAACGUAACACUGAUGGUUCUAUUGAUAGGUUCAAAGCACGUUUAGUCGCAAAGGGGUUUCACCAAAGACCUGGUGUUGACUAUCUUGACACAUUCAGCCCUGUAGUAAAACCAACAACAGUGCGUGUGGUCCUCAGCCUUGCAGUUUCUCGGGGAUGGACUUUACGCCAACUUGAUAUCAACAACGCUUUCCUUCAAGGCCAUCUCUCUGAGACUGUACACAUGCAACAACCACAAGGUUUUGUUGAUCAAGAUCAUCCAUCCUAUGUCUGCAAACUUCGAAAGGCAAUCUAUGGCCUCAAACAAGCACCUAGAGCAUGGUAUCAUGAACUUCGCACUUUUCUACUUCACUCAGGUUUCAAAAAUUCUCAUACGGAUACAUCAUUAUUUGUUCUCAAUACUGCUGGAAAGAAAAUGUAUAUCCUGGUUUAUGUGGAUGGCUUAAUAAUUACUGGUGACCACACUACCAUGAUCGACUCCUUUGUGGUUGUUCUUGCUCAUCGGUUUUCCAUUAAAGAUCUUGGACAGUUAUCGUGUUUUUUAGGCGUGGAGGUAGUUCACAAUCAGCAUGGAAUUUUGUUAUCUCAAAGGCGUUAUAUUUUGGAUAUUCUAGCUCGAACUCAUAUGGCAGAUGCAAAACCUGUGUUCACUCCUAUUCCAACUAGUCCACCUUUGUUAAAAUCAGGCACUGCGUUGCCUGAUCCCUCUGAGUACAGAACGAUUGUUGGCAGCCUUCAAUAUCUCUUGAUUACCAGACCAGAUCUUGCAUUUGCAGUUAACAAGCUCUCUCAGUACAUGCACACUCCAACAACUGAUCAUUGGAGCUUUGUUAAACGCCUCUUACGCUAUCUAUGUGGCACUAUUAAUGAUGGCCUCCAAAUACAUCGCAGGUCUCCAUUAAAUCUACAUGCCUAUUCAAACGCAGAUUGGGCGGGUAACAAAGAUGAUUUCUCAUCUACCAGUGCCUAUGUCAUAUAUCUUGGUCGCAAUCCCAUUUCAUGGAGUUCUAAGAAACAGAAAACUAUUGCAAGAUCUUCAACUGAAGCGGAAUACAGGUCAGUAGCAAAUGCAGCAGCUGAGCUCAACUGGCUUUGCUAUCUUCUGUCUGAUCUAGAUGUUCAACUUCCGUGUUGUCCGGUCUUAUACUGUGACAAUGUUGGAGCUACCCAACUCUGCUCCAAUCCUGUUUUUCACUCCAAAACGAAACAUGUUGCCAUCGAUUAUCACUUCAUCAGGGACCAAGUACAAAAUGGUGUCCUUCGUGUUGCCCAUGUAUCCUCAGCAAAUCAACUUGCUGAUGCACUGACCAAGCCUCUUCAUCGUAUCCGUUUUCUAGAUCUCAAAUCCAAGAUUGGACUUCUAUCUCGAGCUCCAUCUUGAGGGGGCAUAUCACAUCUCAAUGGAUUGCAACAGAUUGUAACAGCCCCUGUAGUUUCUCUGUUUUGAAUUAUUCAAAUAAGUUGCACAGAUUGCAACAACCCUUAAAGAUAGGAAGCAGUUUUGAACUGCUCUAUAGUUUAGGAUUUCAAAACAAAUGUUCGUUAUCAUGUAUGUGUAUUUAACUGCUGCAAAAUGUAAAUGAAAGAUAUGAUUGAUUUCAUCAUUCCUUUAUCUUCUACUUCUUCUCUCUUAUUCCUUUCUAAAGACAGAAAGACAGAAGAUAAGGCUGGAUUAGGGUUAAACACAAAAAAUUCUAAAACCGUAUUUUAUUUUUUAAUUACUAUUAUGUUCAAGUCGGCCUCUUGAAAAGGUUUACGCUAAAAAAAUUGACCUACACUAGAGAACAAAAUUAGAAUCCCUAAACAUAAAGAAAAUUAGCAUAAAAUCCGAAAUAAACAAUAAAUCUAAAAAUAUCAGAUGAUGCUGGUCCGUGUUUGCCAAACAUGCAUUUGGUUAUGAAAAUCCCAUUGCUCAUGAAGAGUUACGGGAAAUUGGUAGAGCAAUAGUGAGGAUUGUCUGAUGUUCACCUAUAAUUGUAGCUGAAGAAAAGCUAGAAAUGAAACUGCCUGUAUUGGAAGUGAAACUGCUUGCCUACAAUAUAUGUGAACAUUCUAUGGCUUUGUUGCCGCCUUCUAGCCUUUCGGUGUUGCACGGUGCUGCUGCUUUUUGGCUUUUGAUUUCAUACACUAUCAGAAAAUUGAUAAAUACAAACGGAAAUAUCAAGGAAAUAUUUCUGUCGGUAAAUUUUUGAGGGAUUUUACCGACAGAAAUAUUCCCCGGUAUAUACCGAGGGAAUUACCGUGGGAAAAAAAUUAAAACAAAGCAAAAAAAAUGAUGACGUGUCAUUUUUACCAACAGAAUUACCGACGGAUUUUUCAAUUCCGUCAGUAUUUUCCAAAGAGCUCCAAAAUUAUUCACUUUCCAAUUGCACUGUUAAUUGUUAUUCUUUACGGACAAAAUCACCGACGGAUUGAAAAGUCGUCGAUAUUAUUUGGCGGUUUUCUGAAAAAAUUCAAUUAAUUUAAAAUUUUCAUUUAAAUAUUACAGACGGAAUCACCGACGAAUUGAAAAAUUAUCGGUAAUUGUUGGCGAUUUCUGAAAAAAUUUUACAAAAUUGAAAAUUUAAAUUAAAUAUUACCGAUAAAAUUGCCGAUGAAAUAAUUAAAAAAUAUUAAUAUUCAAUUAUUUGUCGCUAACGCGCCUCAAUAAAAAGCCUGAAUCCCUUUAUUUCAGACUUAUUUCUUAUUAUUCUUCUACUUCUACUUCACUAUAUGUAAAAAACAUCAAUAUCUAUUUCUUUCUCUUCUUUUCUCUCCUCACCUCCUUAUCUUUUUCUCCAUACUUGGGUAUGUCUUCUUCUUCUUUCUUCUUUUAUCCUCUUAGUUUUUUUUUUUUAAUUAAUAUGCUUUACGAAAUUUUUUCUCUCUCCUUAGCUUCACUUGCAACUACAUUAAGGUAAGAUUUUUCUUUUUUCUUCUUUUUUCAUGAUUUUUUUCACUAUAUUUGUUUUUUAUUUUAUUUUUAAUUGUUUUUGUUCUUAAUAAUUAUAUAAAUGUUGUUGUGAGAUUUUUUUUUCAUAUGAGAUCAAGUUUUAGUUGAUUUAUUUAUAGGAUUUUUAAAUUUUUAGCAAUUGCAACUUCAUUUUUUUCAUAUGAAUUUUUUUAGUUGAAUUUAUUUUUUCAUUUUAUUUAUUUUUUGCAAAUUUGUUUGAGUUGAUUUUCUUAUUCUUUUUUUCCAAGCAUUUUGAGUAUAUAUUAUAGAGUGUUGAUUUAUGUUAAUUUAAUUAUUUUAUAAUUUUUUAAAAUGAAUAUUUUAAAAAUAUUUUUAAAUUAUUACCGACGGAUUUAUUGACGGAAUAGACGUGUCGGUAAUAAUAUUUUUUUAUUACCAACGGAUUUACCGACGGACAAAAAAUUACCGAUGAAAGAUGCACAGACAGAGCAUUUCUGUCGGUGAUUUUGUUGGUAAAUUAAUUACCAACGGAAUAUGUAUCUUACGCCGAUAGAAAAAUUCCAUCGAUAAAAUUGUUAAAUGUUGUAGUGAUAGAAAUGUUGUUCCCUCUCAUCCCUGGUGUUACAUAGGCAGCUGCUGGCUCCUCUUGUAUCUUUUGGGUUCUGGCUUCGUUUGGUUCAUGCCAUUGUCUGCUCUCCGGUUGUCGAAGCUGACAGCAAUCCUCCAACUCUGUUCUCAUAGUCAGAUGCUUCCUCUGUUUUCUCCUGGCAUUGAAAUUACAGCUCUCCCUCAAAUUUUAUUGAUGAUGUGCCUUUGGUCAUCUUAAUAGCUCUUUUUUUCUUGGGAUAUUUCAUUUGAUUCCUUUUUUCUCUUUUAUUUUAAUUAUUAUCUUCAUAGUUUUAACAUUAAGUCUCUUUGAAAAUAGAAGCAGCCUAUCUUUUAUAUUUGUAAAUCUUGUUCCAAGAGAGAGAGUAGAAGUUUAUUAAAGAAAAAUGUACAUUCUCAUUCGUCACAUUCCUUGUUCGUUUAUAUAUGAAAUGUUUUUUGUUUUUCAAUAAGCGAAUCUUCAAUCGGAAGGGAAAUUAUUUUAGUGAAUAGUGUAAUGGAACUAAAUUUUGGUUAAUUUAUAAUAAAUUUAAAUAGCUUGAAAGUGAAGCUCAUCUUCUAUUUAGUUUUCUCAAAUAUAUAAUUUUAAAAUAAAUUACUUUUAAAAUAAUUUUGAGUAAAUUUGACAUUAACUUUGUUGGAUGAAUUCCAAACCUAUAAUUUGAAACCAAAUGUUUGUAUAUUUUUUUUGUAAAAGACUAAUUUGAAAAAAAAAAUUCUAAAAAAAAUGACAAAGAGUUUUUAAAAAUUCAAGAACUAAUGAAAAAUUACUUUUUUGUCGACAAGGGUGCCUCCUUUUAAGUUGCCACCCACCUUGAUGUGGCUCCAUGUUCCACUCCAAACCAUUCAUAUAGGUAUCUUAAAUAGUGUAGCCUGAGCUUCACCGGUUAUGUUUUUAAUAUAUUUUUAAAUAAAAUAUAUUUUUAAAAAAUAUUAAAAAAAAAACUAACAUUAUUAUACUGUCAAACAGAUAAUCUCAUUGCAUCUAACGCUUUAAAUUCCAACAAUGAGUACCCGAUUAAACAAUAUCUACAUUCAAUUAAAACUUAUGGUAUCAUUCCUUGACAGCGAAAUAAAGAAAAGGAGACAGAGAACCGUACUUUCAGAAGACCAUGACACAAAUCGACGGUUGAAAUCCAAUCACUCAAGGGAUGGUGACACGUUGUCAUGAGUGGGAGACAGCUGGUCUCUAGUACGAAGAGAAACAACAGCGUUUUUAUUGUUUAAAUUUAGAGUGUUUGUUUUUCGGAGUGUCUUUGUUCUCGUGAUAGCUCCUGUGAUGAUGGGUAUCUUAGUAAUUGUAAAAACAAUUGAUUUUUUUUUUGAUGAAGUUGUCCGUGUGGAUGAGAAAAUACUGAGUUUGUAGCUUAGUAAAAACAUGUUGAUGUUACUUUUUAUUAGCCCAUGGUUGGCCCGUAAAUUGUAAUGGGUCCCACAAUCACAAACCUAUGAUUCACAUGUAACUAAAUAUCUUGUUUUUGUUAUCUGCAUUAAAAAUGCAAGAGCUGCUAAAAAAACAAACAUAUUUGAUCGUUGAACAUGUUUUUAAAUUGUUUUCUUAAUUAUUUUUUAUUUAAAAAAACAUUAAUAGAUGAAGUUUAAUAAUUAUUUUAUAAAGAAGUUUUGGAAUAAAAUGAUCUAUCUGCAUGAAAAACAAGGUCAUUUUUACAGGUGGAAGAUAAAACCAAUAAGACCUAAUCCUAUUGAACUGCAUCUUGUUAUUCAAAGCAAACAAUCAGUAUCUUUAAUACUGAUUAAGGAUAUUUUUAUUUUUGCAAUUCAACUGUAAUUUCUAAUAUAAUGAUUUUUUUAUUAUAACUUGCUCCACAAUUAAUCUUUUAGAGUUAAACAAAUACUACGCAACAUUCUAGAAUGUGUAAUGAAGUUUUUAUAAUAUUCAUAGCAAUGGUCAUCAGCUAAUUUAUAAUUUAUUUAUCUACUUUAUCAAUUAAUAAAAGUGAUAAAAGAAAAGGAGAGAAGAAAUAAAGUGAAGUCUUCUUCUGCAUUAUUAGCACAUCACGUGAAAAGAAAGAUUGGCAUUUAAUAAAAGUUAUUCCAAUCAAAUAAAGCAAGGACAAACCAAGUUACUCCAUUUUCCUCUCACUUUUUCAACCGAUGGGGUGUCUUGGCAAAUAAAGCAAGGACAGACCGAGUUGACGCGCUCCCUAACUCCAUUUUCCUGGCCCGCGCAAUUCACGCAUACACAAACACAUCCGGAACAAUAUUCAUAAAAUUAAUUAACAUCCCGUAAAAAUAUACUUUAAUACAGUAUAAGGCUUCCCGUCUACCUCUGUCUUUUCAUAAUUUCGAUCCUCUAAUCAUGUAUUUUCAGUCUAAAAUAUAGUAUAAAACUUUUCUAUACCCAAGAUCCUCUAAUACUAAUAAGACUGAAAAUUUGAGAUUUGGAUAACGAGAAAAGGAGAGACUGGGGAGUGGGAACUAUGUAGUGGAAUGUCAGGGGACUCGGAUAAGGAGACAGUAAAUUUUUUAACUUUUGCAAGUUAAAACUCAAAAUCAAUUAACGAGAACAAAAACGUACAAAAUAACAUCAAUUUAAUCUCAUGUCACCUCACCUUCCACCUUUUUUUAUGUUAGUAACAAGUUCUAGAAAUAAUAUCCUAAUAUCCCACCAAGCAAGACAUGCAUUUCAAGUUCUCUUUGAGUCUUUGUCGUCUCUCUUUGUAGUUAACAAAUAGUUAGUCUAAAACACAAUAUUUCUCUCUCUAUAUAAGUAUUCCUAUCUUUUAUUUUGCUCAUUUGAUUCCUCGCCAUCUACCUCUGUCUUUCCAUGGUUUUGAUUUUCCGAUCAUGCCUUCUCGCCCUAAAAUACAGUAUAAGAAUUUCUCAUACCCAAGAUCCUCUAAUGCUGGUGUUAGUCUACUAAGAUUGAAAAUUUGAGAUUUGGGCAACCGGGAAAGGGGAGACUGGGGAGUGGGGACUAUGUAGUGGAGUGUCAGGGGACUCGGACAGGGAGACAGUAAAUUUUUAACUUUUGCGGGUUAAAACUCGAAAUCGGUCAAACUCGGUCAAACUCGUAAAAUCAGUUCGAUUUUACCGAUUUUAACCGAUUUUGAUCGAUUUCGAGUUUUAACCCGAUUUGACACGUUAUAUACAUGUUGACUCGUAAAAUCAUAAGAUUUUAAGAGUCAACUCGUGAUUUUAAUAACCUUAGAAACAACAACGUUUCCAUUGUUUAAUUUGUUUUUCUGAGUAUCUUUGUUUUUGUGAUAGCUCUUGUGGUGAUAAAGAUUAAAAAAGAUAGUUUAGAUAAAUUAUUUUUACUCGUGAUUUGUUUGAUUUAAAUAAGUAUUUAAUUAAAAUUAUAAUUAAAAAUGUUUAGGUAAAAUUAUGAUUAAAAUGGAUGUUUUAACUUAAAUUACCACAAAAAUACUGCUGAAGGUGGAGAGGAUGUGAGAUGCGAUUGGGUAUCUUAUUUAAUUGUCAAAACAUCAACUGUUGUGGUCAAUAAAGCAAGGACAACCCGAGUAAAAUGUGGGACCUAACUCAAUUUUCCUGGCACACGCAACUCACGCAUACACCCAAACACGCUAUAACACUAAUGUGAGAUGUUUUUUGAACUUCGGAGUUUACAGGCAAAUAAAGUGAUGGAAGAAGGUCUUCUUCUGCAUCAUCACAUCACGUGAAAAGCUUGGCAUUUAAUGAAGUUUUUCCAAUCAAACCCAUUCCUUUCAAAGAUGGAAUUUCUAGUAAAAUGGAGUCCAGAGCAUAACAAGGGCCGAGAGAGAAAAGGCUUUUGCGAGUUCUGUGUUCUGUAUAUUUCUCAAGGGGAAAAAAGGAAGACGAAGAAAGGAAUAUCAUAUUUCUUGUAGGAGUAUGGUUAGCACGAACUAUAAGAGAUGUACAUGAGAGAAAAGAAAAGGGAAGGCCUAUCGACUCUCUUUUUUUCUAUAUUCACAGGUAGUACGGAUCGCUUACCAUGACUAAUCCAACAUCAAGCCUUAUCGUUCAUGAACUGUGCCUAGACUUCUUUAAUCAUUUACAUAUAUAAAUUUGGUUAAUCAAGUUGGAGAAGAUCGUGUCAAGAACCAUGCUGUGUAUGUUUGAUAAUGCAGUGAAUAUAAUUUUACAAGAAUAUUUUUCAAUUAAUAAAAUAUUUCUUAAAGAAAUUUUCAAUAAUCUUGUUAAGAAAUUUGGGUGGCCAGACAUUUUAAAGAAUGAUGCUAGUUUCUGGCCACAAGAGGUCAUGCUAGUCACUUUUUGAUCAUGUCUGUGAUCUUUUUGAAUGCUCUGUUCUCCAUCAAAGCUAAUGGAAAUGUGUAUAAAUUAUCAUUUUAUCUUUAUGAAGCAUAUUGUCAGAUCACUGACCUGCUGGUGAACAUUACCAUGCAUGUUCUGCAGCCGAAGAUUUCAAAGAAGAAAACAUAAUGAUUUUGGUGAAUUGUGUUCGAACUCUUUGCAUUUCACCAUCCUCUACCUUUUAUCAUUUUGAGCGUAGUUGCCACCCACCUUUCUGUGGCUCCAUCAUGUUCCCGCUCCAAACCAUUCAUAUAGGUUAUCUUAAAUAGUUUAGCCUGAGCUUUACCGGUUAUGCUUUUUAAUAUAUUUUAAUUUAAGUAAAAUAUAUUUUUUAAAAAUAUUAAAAAAAAACAUACCAUUAAUGUACUCUCAAAAACAUAAUCCAAUUGCAUCUCACGCUUUAAAUUCCAACGAUGAGUACCCAAUUAAACAAUAUCUACAUUGAAUUAAAACUUAUAGUAUAAUUACCUGACAGCGAAAUAAAGAAAAGUAGGAACCCUGCAUUUGGGAAAUUUCUAUAAGGCCUCCAAUCUGAGGCUGUAACGAGCCCUGGAUCCACACAGAAGAAAUUUCGAGGGAAAUGGGUUGAUGUCAGAGGGAGACAAGGAAGCGUACUUUCAGGAGACCAUGACACAAAUCAACGGCUGAAAUCCAAUCACUCAAGGGAUGGUGACACGUUGCCAUAAGUGGGAGGCAGCUGGUCUCCAGCACGAAGAGAAACAGCAGCGUUUUCAUCGUUUAAAAUGAAGUGUUUGUUUUUCUGAGUGUCUUUGUUCUCGUGAUAGCUCGUGGUGGUAGUGGAUAUUUAAAGAUGAUUGAGUAUCUUAAUAAUUGCAAAAACAAUUGAUUUUUUUUUUUUAUGAUUGACACACAAAACCCUAUUUUCAUAGUUAUGUUAAUUGAAGGAUAAUAAAUGGAAGAAUGACAAAUUGCCAGGUGGAAAGUUAUAGCUCAUCACAACAAAUACUUUCCAGCAAAUUGAUUAAUGGCUGUUACAACUAAUUACAACGAAUACUCUUCAUUUCUUCUCUAUAGUUAUGUUAAUGGUAAAAAAAAGUUGGAAAUUAUAAUUUUGAAAAAUAAAUUAAAAGAUAAGUGAUGAUCAAAUUAGAACUUGAUAUUUGAUAUAAAAUAUAAUUUUUUUUAAUUAAAUCCUAACAACAAAUCACAAAUCAGUUUCAAAUUAGUGAAUGUUGCCGAAGAGAAUGGCAAAAAAGAAGAAAAUUAUAUUUUAAGAAAGUCAUGGAGCCGUAUAUUUUUAUUAGAAAAGAAAAAACAUUAGAAUUGAUUGUUAUAUUUCUUGAAACAAAUAAAAAGAAACAAAAAACAAAAUAUAAAUCAUGGAUGAAUUAAAUCCUCUUGAAGACCUGCUUCAAAUAAGAAAGAGGUAAAUACUAUUGGAAUUUAAUUGAUAUACGUUUCUUGCAUGUUGUUUCAAGUUGCAUAAAUACAAGCAAAAUACAUUUAUACAUAUUAUAUUACAAUUGAUAUAUUUUUGGUGCAGAACUGAUAUUAUCUUUUGAAAUUAAAUCCGGUUCAAGGAUGGAGCAUAAAAAAAUUUGAAUUAUUGAGUCAUUUAAUUAAUCAGCAAGGAUUAGGGGAUGAUAAAAAAAUCAAAACACCGAUUAAACUGAGAAAACUGGAAAAAAAAUAAUUCAAAAAACUAAACCUUAAAAAAACCCGAUUAGAAUAUUUAAAAAACUGGCCAAUUCGGUUUGGUUUUGGUUUUAUAAGCCUGAAACUGAAAAACAAAACCGAACCAAAAUUAAUAACCGAGCCAAACCCGAAAAAACCAAGCUAAACAGAAAAAAACGAGCCAAACAGCAAAAAAACGAGCCAAUCGGUUAGGUUUUGGUUUUUACUCUAAAAUAACCAAACCGAACCGAAACCGGUCGGUUUGAACCGAUUUUGAUUUUUUUGUUUGUUUUGAUUUUUAAAUUUGGUUUGGUUAUUAUUUUAAGGAAAAACCAAACUGAAUAAAAAAUAAUCAUCUCUAGUAGGGAUCAUCGAUGAAUCAUUUUAUUAAAAUAAUAUUUUUUUAAAAAAAUAUUUGAUAUUAUUUUAACUAAAUUUGUAUCAAGUUUUAUUAAAUAAAAUAAAUUAUUAAAAAACCAAUCGAGAUAAUAAAAUUCAUAUCAACAUUUUUUCUAAUUCAAUUUUAAAAUUGUCUAUGUCAAGAUCUGGAGGAUGUGCUUUCUACAUCAAAUCAGUAUGCAGGAUGGAGUUUCAAAACUAUAUUAUAUAUAAAAAAAGAUUUUGAAAUAAAAUGAUCCAUUUAUAUAUAUAAAAACAAAAACCUCGAGGUCUCGGGUCCACCGGUGGAAGCAUGAAUGGCGGUCUUCUUCUGCAUUAUUAGCACAUGUGAAAAGAAAGAUUAUAUUUUCCUGUGCAUAUAAUAAUGUUAUACCAAUCAAACCCUCCUUUUCCUGUGCAUAUUUUCCUGUGCACAUAAGUGUGCUUGUAACGUUUUUUUAUUAAGAAAUGUAUUAAAAUAUUAUUUUUUUAUUUUUUAAAAAUUAUUUCCAUAUUAACAUAUGAAAAUACAUAAAAAAAAAUUAAUUUAAAAUAAAAUUUUUUAAUACAUUUCUUAAUAAAAUAAUAUUUUAAAAACUGAGUUCACAUUGCAGAAAGCCUUGGCAGUUGGCACAAGUGGAAGGCAACCUAGAAACAGGUUUAUUUCAACAAUCCAUGUACUGACAUCUGUGUUUGUGGAAACAAAGUUGAAAAGGGCUACAUUUUCCUGUGAUGUGAUAUUGAUUCAGAGAUUUGUAGAAUAAGACGUGGUGCAGAACUGUAGAAGAUAAGGUACAAGACUAUGAAAGUCCUCAGGAAAACUGUAGAAUUGCACAGUUUGAGUGAGAAGUAUUAGACACCGCACUAGCCGCUGCUGUUUUUGGUAUUGUAAUACAUUCCGUAAUCUGAAAAAAAUUAUUUUAUAAAAAAUAUUUUUAGUUGAAAUUUAUUUAAAAAAAAUAUAUAUUUAAUUAAAAUUAUGAUUAAAAUUAAAGUUGAAUGAAAAAUAGCUUAAUAUAUUUAGUUAAAUUUUUUUUUAAAUUAAAGUUAUAUAUAUAGUUUUAAAUUUAAAUAUUAUAGAUUUAAGUAUUGUUAUUACAUCAUGAAAUAAAUAAUAUUGAUAUCAAAUAUUUUUUAUUAUUUUAUUAAACUAUGUGCAAUUUCAUCACGUUCGAAAUCUAUCCGGCAAGGACUACAUUUUCCAUUGUUUAUUAAGCGCGCAACAACAUCAGGUAAAAAUAUUAUUAAGAACAAAAUUUGAAUUGCAAUCAAAUUCUGCAAAUAUUAUGUCAUCAAACGAUCUCCUUCUAAUUUUUUAAAUAAAACACAAAUAAAAAUAAAAAUAAAAACUGAAUUUUUUAAUCUGGGUCGGACCCGGCAAUAACAAAAUUGGAAUUGCGAUCAAAUUCUGCAAAUACUACGUCAUCAAGCAAUCUCCUUCUAAUUUUUUUAAUAAAACACAAUUAAAAAAUAAAAAUUAAAUAUUUUUUUAACCGAAUCCAACCCGGUUCAAUAUAUUUAGCUUUGGACCGAACCUGGUCGAUCCGAAACAAUAACAGUAAUAGUGGAGAGUGAACUCCAGUGGAGUUCACUCUCCACUGCGUAGAGAAGCAGCUUUUGAUCAACCUGCGGUGCAACCUUAAUAAAAUGAUGGGUCCUAUCAAAAGAAGUUGUGUUUUUUACUUAACCAAACAAGAAAAAUUGUGGUUGCAGGUGAACUUUACCUGCGACCACAAUACCAAACAACUAUAAAAAAAAAUUAUUUGAUAUUAUAGUUGAAAAUGUGUUUUGUUCCAACCACAAAAAAAAAAUAAUGGUUCGGUAACCAUUUGAAACGUAAAUUUUGAAGAUGGGUCUCACUAAAAAUUAAGUUUACACAACCGGUUUUGUGAAGCAGAAAAUUACUGCUUUUCAAUUUACUUUUGCCCGCUGCUGCCAAGGGAAAGGAAAAAGGGCCCACCCAAUUUCUUAUUUGCUUCUUUUCUUCUCAGCUCAAGUAAGAGUAUUUCUUUUACUAUCAUCAUUUGUGCACUGCCAAGUGGAUUUAUCCGGCACUGUUCACGUAAACAGUACCCCUACUAUGAACAGUGUUUAUUGAACUGCGUCCAACUCAAAAAAAUUUAAUUUUUUUAAAAUUAUAUUUAUUUAAAAAAUUAAUGUUUAAUAUUAUUUAAUAACACUAUAUAAAUUAGAAAGAGAUUCUAUAAUAAUAUAGCAUUUGUGAAAUUUGAUCGCAAUUCUAAUAUUAUAAUCUUAAUUUGAAAAGUAUCUUUAAUCAAACACAUUAAACUACUUUUUAUUCGAUCUUAAUUUCAACCACAGUUUUAACCAAACAUAUAUAAAUAUGAAACCAAUCUAAACAGUUAAAUAAAUACUAAAAGACAUAAAUUGAAGUUUUUAUAAUAUUCAUAGCAAUGUUCAUCAGCUCAUUUAUAAUUCAUAAUUUAUUUAUCAAUGAAUGAAAAGUAAUAAAAGAAAAAGGAGAGAAGAAAUAAAGUGAAGUCUUCUUCUGCAUUAUUAGCACAUCACGUGAAAAGAAAGAUUGGCAUUUAAUAAAAGUUAUUCCAAUCAAAUAAAGCAAGGACAAACCAAGUUACUCCAUUUUCCUCUCACUUUUUCAACCGAUGGGGUGUCUUGGCAAAUAAAGCAAGGACAGACCGAGUUGACGCGCUCCCUAACUCCAUUUUCCUGGCCCGCGCAAUUCACGCAUACACAAACACAUCCGAACAAUAUUCAUAAAAUUAAUUAACAUCCCGUAAAAAUAUACUUUAAUUUAGAAAAGAUUUUAAAAUGUUAUUUUUUUAAUUUAAUAAUAACAAAGUUUUAUAUUAAAUUGUUUCAACUAAGUUAACAGGUUAGAUUUAUAAUUCGGGUUAUGAAAUUAUAAUACCUAGUUCCCAAAUAAACAAAUAUGGUGAAGUUUUUCCAAUCAAACCCCCUUUUUUUUUAGAUGUAAUUUCUAGAAAAAUAAAUCAAAGAUAAACAGACUAAAAUUUCAAAAUAAAAGAGAAAGAUGGAAUAUCCCACCAAUAUUUAACCCACUUAAAUUGAGCAUAUAAAAGAGUGUUAAAUGAAAAGUUAAAAAUUAAAAAAUAUUAUUUUGACUCUUUCAACUUUAUUUUAUACACCUCAAAAAAAUAUUAAAUAAAAUGUCAAAAUAUCUUUUCUUUCUUAUAAAUACUAUUUCUACAUGUCUAUUAAAAAAACCAAUACUAAAAAAGUGGAGCCAUCAAAAAAAUAAAUCAAUUAAAUAUAAUCAUUAAAAAAAAUAACAUCAAACUCAUUAAAAAAAAUAAAACACUUAUUUCUCUCACUCCAAUACAAUUAGCUUUUCAAAUAGUUUUUUCCAUUAAAAUAUAUAUAAUAAAAAAAAUUAUAUUUAUAUUAUUCAAAAUACUAUUUUAUCAAUUUAGCUAUUCAAAACAUUGUUAUUAAACCCAGACCGGCCCGACAAAUCGACCGGGUGGCUAGACCGGUUCGGGUUUGUCAAAAGACCGGUCAGUGCAACAACCCGGCAAAACUCAGUUGACCCGAUGAGUUGACCCAUGACCUGGGCGAACCCGGACGAGACCAGUUUUUGUUUUUUAAAUGUGGUUUUUCUCCUAUACCCUUCUUUUUUCAUUUUUUUUUUAGUUGGUUAUUAACACUUUUUAAAGUUUACUAUAUAAAUAUUAUAAAAAUAUUUUAUUUUUUCAAUGUAGGAUUUGAAACCCUUUAGUAUAUAUACUAUAUUUUUUCAAGAAAAAAAUUAUUUUUUCAAUGUGAGAUUUGAAACCUUUUGUAGAUAUAUUUUAUGUUCACAAGAAAAAAAUUAUUUUUUUUCAAAGUGUGAUUUGAAACCUUUCAGUUUAUAUACUGUAUGUUUCAAAGAAAAAAAUUAUUUUUUCAAGAUGAGAUUUGAAAUCCUUUAGUAUAUAUACUAUGUGUUUUUAGAUUAUUUAGAUGUGCUGAUAUCAAAAAUAAUUCUUAAAAAAUAAAAAAAUAUUAUUCAACCAACUUGGGUUAACCCAUUAAGCAUUAUUCUCGUAUCAUGGUUCAGAAUAACCUAAUAGAAAAUAAAUAAAACAAAUCAUGAAGUGUGAACCCCGGUUGAAAAUUAGGCAGAAAAGUAAUCUAAAUGUUUAUACAAUAAAUUUAACAGAAGUACCAAAUAAGCAUUAGAACAAACCAAAUACAGACAAAAGAAAAUAUAUACGUAAAUAUGAAUAAAAUAUUGUUGGGAGUGAGUUACCUGGAAAUAAAAUUAUCAAUAUGUAACUAAAUAAAAUUCAAAUUCACCCAGGUAAAAUUUUUAUAUAGACAAAUGCCGGGAAUUAGGAAUUUUAUCCCGGGAACAUGAAAUUUAAUAUUUGGGAUAUAAAGGGAAUUUGGUAAAAUUUAAGAGUGCGUGUGCGCGCACUCUCGGGUAAAAAGAAAAAUGGAGAGAAAAAAAGGAGAGGGGAAACUACCAUUUACAUGUGAGAGAGAUAGAAUUGUAACAAAAACAUAAAAUCUUAAAGGAAGAUCUUGAGGGAACAUUACCCAAGCCUAGUGAGCAUUAAUUGGAAGGAAUAAAAAUCAAGUGAAGGUGAGUAUAAAAGGAGAGAGGAAGUUCAACCAAGAUUAAAGAAGAGGAGUUGAAAGCUUGAUUUAGGAAGUGUUUAGAGUUUAAUUACUUGCUUGGUAAUGCAUUCUAAGGACUUUUGAUCUGAAUUUUAAUGGCUUAAAGUUCUUAAUUGAUUGAAUUUUUAAAAUUAAAAAGUUAGGGUUCUUGAAUAAAUUAAAAGGAAAUAAAAAUUUAUUGUAAUUUGUCAUGGGGAAUAAUGUGAAAAUUAGAGUAAAGUGAUUAAAUUAUUGUAAUUGAAGUAAAGAUUUUGAUAAUUAAAUAGAGCUAGUGGCCAACCAAAUGACGAGAGAUUUUAUGGGAUUUAAUUGUUAAUAAAUGUUGUGAAUUGAUGAAUAAUGUAGUAAGUAGAACUGUUUUUUGAAUAUCUCUUUAUAACUUUUUAAAUUUCAUGGAACAUUUGUGUUGAUUAUUGAGAUGGUGUUAAAUAUUACUAUCAUGAAAAUCAAAAAAGGAAUUGAUGUCUAGAUGAGGAAUAUCAUUGAAUUGUUGGUUCUUAUUAGAUUUUGGUAUGUAAUGGAGUCAUGAGACGUUAAAAAUUCUUGAGAAAUGUUAAAUUAAUAGCUAAAAUUCAUAGAAUGGUAUAUUUUUUAGAAAUAUAGUUAACUAUGAAAUUUAUUUGAUAAAAGAAAAGCAGGAACUUAUGGUAUAUUUCCUUGACAGUGAGUACCCGAUUAAACAAUAUCUAUAUUCAAUUAAAACUUAUGGUAUAUUUCCUUGACAGCGAAACAAAGAAAAGUAGGAACCCUGUAAUAUCUAGGUAAUUUCUAUACCCUUUUAGGUUAUGUUUGUUUUUGAGAAUUCACUUUCUGGAAAAUCACUUUUCACAUUUUUCUGUAUUUAUUUGCCAUUAGAAAAGUUGGUUAACGGAAAACACUUUCCACUCAAAGAAAAAUUUGGCUUGGUUUUUAGAAAAGUGUUUUCCUAAAAAAUUUGGGCGGAAAACACUUUUCGGAAGUUGUGAAAAAUUAGAAAUGUCAUAUUAUUUGCUGUUUAUAUCAAAGUUGAUCCUCAAACUUUUAAUUGCUAUAUAUAUUUUGUUUUGGAUAUUUAUUUUUCAAUUUCAUCUCUUAAAAUUUAAUUUUUAUAUUAAUUUUGGUCCUCAUUUUUAUAAUUGUUAUUUGCUUUUCCCUUAUCAUUUUUUUAUUGAAUUUUUUUAUAUAUCAAAUUUGGUGCUCAUUCUUUUGAUUGUUACUUAUUUUAUUUGAAAUAAUUUAUGAAAUGUUAAUUAUUAUUAUUUUAAUUUCUUCAUCUUUUAUUUUUUUUAUUUUUUAGAUUUGAUCUCUAUUAUUUUGAUUAUUAUUUAUUUUAUUUGAGAUAAUUUAUGAAAUUAUAUUUUUUUUCAAUUUCAUUCUCAUUCAACUUUUUAAUUUGUAAGAUUUGUUCCUCAUUAUUUUAAUAAACUUGAGAAAAAUAAAAUAUUAAUAAGUUAUUUUUCAGUUCAUUUUCCAUGACAUAACCAAACACCGAAAAAUGUUUUCCAACUUAUUUUCCAUUACACUGUCAAAUAUAAAAAAAUAAUUCACUUUUCUGAAAUUUAUUUUUCUAAAAUUUAUAUUUUUUAAAAAAUUAUUUUUCAAUAAACAAACAGUUCUUAAUAACUACUACAAGCUGAGGCUGUAAUGAGCUCAUGACAGAGGGAGAUCUGAAAGCGUAAUUUCAGAAGACCAUGACACAAAUCAACGGCUGAAAUCCAAUCACUCAUGGGAUGGUGACAUGUCGCAUGAGUGGAGACAGCUGGACUUCAAUACGAAAAGAAACAUAGCGUUUUCAUUGUUUAAUUUGUUUUUUUGGAGUAUCUUUGUUCUCAUGAUAGUUCUUGUGGUGAUGGAGACUUAAAAAAGAUAGUUUAUAAAAAUUAUUUUCACUCGUGAUUUGUUUGUUUAAAUAAAUGUUUAACUAAAAUUAUGAUUAAAAAUGUUUAACUAAAAUUAUGAUUAAAAUGGAUGUUUUAACUUAAAUUACCACAAAAGAUACUGGUGAAGGUGGAGAGGAUGUGAGAGACGAUUGGGUAUCUUAAACAUCAACUGUUGUUGGUGGACUAAAAGCCAUCCGCUUGAUUAAUGGUAAACACUUCAGGCUCCUUUCCCGCCCUUUUCCUGGCUGGAUCCUUGAUAUCUUCAAGGGGUGCCAGCGCCUUGUUCGAGGAUUGAGCAUAAAAGACUAAAAAGAGUUAAAUAAAUACUAAAAGACAUAAAGUGAAGUUUUUUAUAAUAUUCAUAGCAAUGGUCAUCACCUCAUUUAUAAUUUAUCAAUUAAUGAAAAGUGAUAAAAGAAGAAGAGAGAAGAAAUAAAGUGAAGUCUUCUUCCGCAUUAUUAGCACAUCACGUGAAAAGAAAGAUUGGCAUAUGAUAAAAGUUAAUCCAAUCAAACCCACUUUUUCGACGAUGGGAUCUCUUGGCAAAUAAAGCAAAGGACAAACCGAGUAAAAUGUGGGACAUAACUCCAUUUUCCUGGCACACGCAACUCACGCGUACACUAACACUAAUUUGCGAUAUUUUUUUACUUGGGAGUUUACAGGCAAAUAAGGGCUUCUUCUGCAUCAUCACAUCAUUUAAUGAAGUUUUCCAGUCAAACCCACUUUUUUCAAAGAUGGAAUUUCUAGUAAAAUGGAGUCCAGAGCAUAACAAGUGCGGAGAGAGAGAAGGCUUUUGCGAGUUCUGUUUUCUGUAUAUUUCUCAAGGGGAUAAAAUAAUGUCUUGUUACAGAUUUGUUUUUGGUAGAAUUGUUAGAGAUCUUAGCCGAUGCAUCUGAAUUAUAAUUUUUAGCAAUUAUACUAUUUUAUAGCCCUAAUAUCUUAAAAAAAACUUAUUUUCUAGCUUUUUUUUAUGGUAUGAUCAAACAUUGCAUGCUUACUCUCUGGUCUAUAUGACCAUUAACAACAAUCACUCGAAACCCACAGUCAUUGCCAUACAUAUUUAACUUGAUGUUUGAGAAUGUGAUAAUGAUUGUUUUUUAAAGUGUUUUUUAUUUUAAAAUAUAUUAAAAUAAUAUUUUUUAUUUUUUAAAAAAUUAUUUUUGACAUCAACACAUUAAAAUAAUAUGAAAACAUCAAAAAUAUAUUAAUUUAAAAUGAAAAAAAUAAAAAAAAUUUAAAUUUUAGUCAAAAAUAUAUUAGUCAAUAUCUGAAUGCAUGAUUAAUUAUGCACUUUGUAACCAUAAAUCUUCCUUUAAUCAUUCCAAAUAAGAAAAAAAAUAGAAAAGAUUUUCUCUAAUCUGUAUGGUGAGUCCCAAUUAUCACUGGCUUCCAAUUUCCAUCCCGUGCUUUCUAGCUGGAUUGGGUGUUUUUUCUCUUCUUUUCUCUUUGUUGGAAUACAAUAAUGCAUCACAACGGUUAAUUCCUUAUCGGUUCGUGUUGCAGUAAUUAUGAACGAUGAGUCCAUUUGACCUUAAAAGUAAAAGUAUCUGCUGUUCAUAACGACUCACUUAAGUUUGCAAUUGAGCUAAUUGUUCUAUAAUUACUGUAGCUAUGAAAGGUGAAGCACAAUUUCAUCCAAAACAAAACUCGUUAUUUUCAAAAAGAAAAAUUACCCCAAUUUUUUUCUUAUAUUUUAGUAUUUCUUAUAUUUAAAGGCAGUAUAGUUGUAAUAUUUUCAAGUAAUCGAAACAACCACCUAUAUAUCAAUUAUAUGAUAUACUGACUUGACUUUCCAAGUGUUUUGACUUUUGAGUACUAGAAGAAGAAAAUAUACUUCUCUCUAAAAAAUAAGGAAAUUUCGGAUGUAUUUUCUUUUAACUGGCGAAAAAACAGGAAGACGAAGAAAGGAAUAUCAUAUUUCUUGUAGGAGUAUGGUUAGCACGAGCUAUAAGAGUUGUACACGAGAGAAAAGAAAAUGGAAGGCCUAUCGACUCUCUUUUUUUCUAUGUUCACAGGUAGUACGGAUCGCUUACCAUGAACAUCAAACCUAUCGUUCAUAAACUGUGCCUAGACUUCUUUAAUCAUUUACAUAUAUAAAUUUGGUUAAUCAAGCUGGAGAAGAUCGUGUCAAGAACCAUGCUGUAUUGUUUGAUAAUGCAGGGAAUAUAAUUUUACAAGAAUAUUUUUCAAUUAAUAAAAUAUUUCUUAAAGAAAUUUUCAAUAAUCUUGUUAAAUUCCAACAAUGAGUACCCGAUUAAAUAAUAUCUACAUUCAAUUAAAACUUAUGGUAUAAUUAUCUGACAGCGAAAUAAAGAAAAGUAGGAACCUUGCAUUUGAGAAAUUUCUAUUAGGCCUCCAAUCCAAGACUGUAACGAGCCCUGGAUCUACACAGAAGAAAUUUCGUGGGAAAUGGGUUGAUGUCAGAGGGAGACAAGGAAGCGUCUUUCAGAAGAACAUGACACAAAUCAACGGCUGAAAUCCAAUCACUUAAGGGAUGGUGACACGUUACCAUGAGUAAAGAUGGAGACACUCACGUUUGGGAACGCUGCUACGGCUGCGUUCUCAAAAAAUUUGAUUUUUUUUUUUUUACUAAAAUUUAAUAUGAUUUGUAUCGUUUUGAUGUGAUGAUAUCAAAAAUGAUUUUUAAAAAAUGAAAAAAUAUCAUUAACAUUCAUUUUGACACGAAAAGUAAUUUAAAAAACAUCCACAACUACACUGACAAACAUGACAAGGGAGACAGCUGGUCUCUGGUACGAAGAGAAACAGCAGCGUUUUCAUCGUUUAAAAUGGAGUGUUUGUUUUUCUGAGUGUCUUUGUCCUCGUGAUAGCUCGUGGUGGUGGAUGUUUAAAGAUGAUUGCGUAUCUUAAUAAUUGCAAAAACAAUUGAUUUUUUUUUUUUUUUUGAUGAUUGACACACAAAACCCUAUUUUCAUAGUUAUGUUAAUUGAAGGAUAAUAAAUGGUAGAAUGACAAAUUGCCAGGUGGAAAGUUAUACCUCAUCACAACAAAUACUUUCCAGCAAAUUGAUUAAUGGCUGUUACAACUAAUUACAACGAAUACUCUUCAUUUCUUCUCUAUAGUUAUGUUAAUGGUAAAAAAAAAGUUGGAAAUUAUAAUUUUGAAAAAUAAAUUAAAAGAUAAGUGAUGAUCAAAUUAGAACUUGAUAUUUGAUAUAAAAUAUAAUUUUUUUUAAUUAAAUCCUAACAACAAAUCACAAAUCAGUUUCAAAUUAGUGAAUGUUGCCGAAGAGAAUGGCAAAAAAGAAGAAAAUUAUAUUUUAAGAAAGUCAUGGAGCCGUAUAUUUUUAUUAUAAAAGAAUCAAUAGAGAAAAGAAAAAACAUUAGAAUUGAUUGUUAUAUUUCUUGAAACAAAUAAAAAGAAACAAAAAACAAAAUAUAAAUCAUGGAUGAAUUAAAUCCUCUUGAAGACCUGCUUCAAAGUAAGAAAGAGGUAAAUACUAUUGGAAUUUAAUUGAUAUACGUUUCUUGCAUGUUGUUUCAAGUUGCAUAAAUACAAGCAAAAUACAUUUAUACAUAUUAUAUUACAAUUGAUAUAUUUUUUUGGUGCAGAACUGAUAUUAUCUUUUGAAAUUAAAUCCGGUUCAAGGAUGGAGCAUAAAAAAAUUUGAAUUAUUGAGUCAUUUAAUUAAUCAGCAAGGAUUAGGGGAUGAUAAAAAAACCAAAACACCGAUUAAACUGAGAAAACUGGAAAAAAAAUAAUUCAAAAAACUAAACCUUAAAAAACCCCGAUUAGAAUAUUUAAAAAACUGGUCAGUUUGGUUUAGUUUUGGUUUUAUAAGCCUGAAACUGAAAAACAAAACCGAACCAAAAUUAAUAACCGAGCCAAACCCGAAAAACCAAGCUAAACAGAAAAAACGAGCCAAACAGCAAAAAAACCGAGCCAAUCGGUUAGGUUUUGGUUUUUGCUCUAAAAUAACCAAACUGAAUCGAAACCGGUCGGUUUGAACCGAUUUUGAUUUUUUUGUUUGUUUUGAUUUUUAAAUUUGGUUUGGUUAUUUUUUUAAAGAAAAACCAAACUGAAUAAAAAAUAAUCAUCUCUAGUAGGGAUCACCGAUGAAUUAUUUUAUUAAAAUAAUUUUUUUUGAAAAAUAUUUGAUAUUAUUUUAACUAAAUUUGUAUCAAGUUUUAUUAAAUAAAAUAAAUUAUUAAAAAACCAAUCGAGAUAAUAAAAUUUUAUCAUAUCAACAUUUUUUCUAAUUCAAUUUUAAAAUUGUCUAUGUCAAGAUCUGGAGGAUGUGCUUUCUACAUCAAAUCAGUAUGCAGGAUGGAGUUUCAAAACUAUAUUAUAUAUAAAAAAAGAUUUUGAAAUAAAAUGAUCCAUUUAUAUAUAUAAAAACAAAAACCUCGAGGUCUAGGGUCCACCGGUGGAGGCAUGAAUGGCGGUCUUCUUCUGCAUUAUUAGCACAUGUGAAAAGAAAGAUUAUAUUUUCCUGGGCAUAUAAUAAAGUUAUUCCAAUCAAACCCUCUUUUUCAACCGAUGGGGUCUCUUGGCAAAUAAAGCAAGGACAGACUGAGAAAGAUAUCCAGAACAAUAUUCAUAACAAUAUUUAUAAAAUAAUAUAUAUAAUCUUUCUCAACCGAUCGGCAACUCACGCAUACAUAAACAUAUCCAGAACAAUAUUCAUAAAAUUAAUUAAUAUCCCAUAAAAAUAUAAUUUAAUUAAAAAAAAAAAUUAAAAUGAUACUUUUAAUAUAAAAAUAACAAAGUAUUAGAUUAAAAUGACUUGUUAUCAAGUAAUCAAAUAUUAACAUGAUCAUAAGAUUGAGAUAACUUCAUAUAAAAUAAAAUAAAAAUAAAUUAUAAAGUUCAAUUUAUAAUUAAUUUAAUAUUAAAGGAUGAGAUUAAAAAAAUUAAUUUAAAAAAAACAUAAAAAUAAUCCAAGUCAAUCUGUUAAACCCAUAAUUCGUCAUGAAACAAAUAUAACCUCAUAGAAAAAAAUAAAAAAAUAACUUGAUUUAAUUCGCUAAAUCCGCAAUUCUGAUAACGAGAACGAGAAAAUCUCAUAAAGAGCAAGUCAAAAUAUAUUAUAAAGUUUAAUUCUCAGUCGAUCAAAUAUUGAAUGAUAAAGAUGGAAAAAAAUUCAAUUAUAAAAACACAAAAAAACAACCUGAAUUAACUCAGGUUAACCCAUUAAGUAUUAUUCUCAGGUCAUGUGGUCAGAAUAACCUAAUAGAAAAUAAACAAAAUAAAAUUUAUAACUUAAUUUUCAAUUAACCUAAUAUUAAAAGAUGAAAUUAUAAAAAAAAAAUUAAAAAAAUCAAGCCAACUAAAUUAACCUAUCAAAACUAUAAUAAUAAUUAUUAUAAAAGUGAGAUAACAUACAAAAGACAAAUUUAAUAAUAAAAAAAAACACAUUGAUUAAAAGAAAAGGCAAAGCACUUAUUCAAAUAACUGUAUAAAAUAUAGUAAUAUAAUGUAUAAUGUAUAAUUUAUUUUUUUAAUUUAUAACUGAAAGUGAGAAAAGGAAGAAGAGAAAAGAAAUAAAGUGAAGUCUUGUGCUGCAAGAUCACCUCACCUGAAAAGUUUGGCAUUUAGUGAAGUUUUUCCAAAUCAAACCCACUUUUUCAAAGAUGGAAUUUCCAAGUAAAUAAAUCGAAGACAAACCUAGUAAAAUGGAGUCUAGAGCAUAACAAGUAGUUACAAAGCCGAGAAAGAAAAAGCUUUUGCGAGUUCUUUACACAAACUCUUACUUCUUAUGUAACCUGAACAAAAAUCCCUCUUCUUCUUCUUCUUCUUCUUCUUCUUUGUUUACUCUUCCUUCGUUACUUUGCAAAGAGGAUAAACCAUGGCUGAGGCUUUAGUAGGAGGAGCUUUUCUUUCUGCUUUCCUUAAUGUUUUGCUUGACAGGAUGGCUUCUCGCCAGGUGGUGAACUUCUUCAGUGGCCAAAAAAUCAACAAUAGCCUGCUGGAGAGGUUGGAGACAGCAAUGAGAUCUGCCAGUCGGGUGCUUGACGAUGCCGAGGAGAAGCAGAUAACAAGUACAGAUGUGUGGGAUUGGCUGGCCGAGAUUAAAGACGCUGUCUAUAAAGCCGACGACUUCUUGGAUGCGAUUGCUUAUAAAGCUCUACGACAGGAGUUGAAAGCUGAAGAUCAAACCUUCACAUGUCAUAUGCAGAGAUUUCUUUCUUUCUUUAACCUAUGUAAAAAUGGGCUGGGAGAGAUCGAAGAAGAAUUAAAAGUCCUCUUGCAGGAUCUAGAUCGCUUAGUUGAUCGAACGGUUGCCCUUGGUUUGAUCACCCGCACUGGAAAAGAACCAUCAUCGCCUAAAACACCCGGAGAAACUUCUCUGGUGGAUGAACGUGGUGUUUAUGGUAGAGAUAAUGACGAGAAAGCAAUACUGAAGUUACUUCUAUCAGACGAUGCAAAUGGACAAAGCCUAGGUGUUGUUCGCAUAGUGGGCAUGGGCGGGGUUGGUAAAACCACGCUUGCUCAGAUUGUAUACAAUAACAGCGAAGUACAGAGGUGCUUCAAUCUCAAAGCUUGGGUUUGUGUUUCAGAAGAUUUCAGUGUUUCAAAGCUAACCAAGGUUAUCCUUGAGGAGGUCGGUUCAAAGCCUGAUUUUGAGAGUCUGAAUCUGCUCCAGAUUCAGUUGAAGGAGAGGUUGCUGGAAAAGAAAUUUUUGCUUGUUUUAGAUGAUGUAUGGGAAGAAAAUUAUGCUAAAUGGGUCAGUUUGCUUGAACCCUUGAAGUCUGGAGCACAAGGGAGUAAGAUUCUUGUUACAACACGCCAUGAAAGGGUAGCAUCAGUCAUGCCAACUGUUCCAACUCAUCAUCUAAAAGAAUUGACGGAAGACUUCUGUUGGUCCUUGUUUGCCAAACAUGCAUUCGGUGAUGAAAAUUCCAUUGCGGAUGAAGAGUUGCAAAAAAUUGGUAGAGCAAUAGCGAAAAAGUGUAAAGGCCUGCCUCUAGCUGCAAAAUCACUCGGAGGUCUGCUAUGCAACGAAAGAGAUGUCGAGGAGUGGCGGGAUAUUUUGGAAAGCAAUCUAUGGGAUUUACCCAAAGACAAUAUCCUCCCAGCUUUGAGAUUAAGUUAUCAUCAUCUCCCGUCGCAUCUGAAGCAAUGUUUUGCUUAUUGUGCCAUAUUUCCAAAAGACUAUUCAUUUGGAAAGGAUGAAUUAGUGCUCCUUUGGAUGGCAGAGGGCUUCUUGGUCCACUCUGCAGUAGAGAUGGAAAAAGCAGGAGCUAAGUGCUUUGAUGAUCUCUUGUCAAGGUCGUUUUUCCAGCAAUCAAGUGCCUCUCGCCCCUCAUUUCUGAUGCACGAUCUCAUGCAUGACUUGGCUACCCAUGUGUCCGGUCAAUUUUGCUUCAGCUCCAGGUUGGGGGAAAAUAAUUCUUCCAAGGCCACCAGAAGGACUCGACAUUUAUCACUCGUAGUAGAUACGGAAGACGGAGAUACUGAAGGUGUUUUUUCAAGCACAAAAUUAGAAAACAUCCGUAAAGCCCAACAUCUACGCACAUUCCGAACUUUUCCACACAAUCGGAUGUGUCCUCCUGAAUUUUAUAAGGAGAUCUUUCGGUCAACACAUUGUCGCCUACGAGUGCUAUUCAUGACUAAUUGUCAAGAUGCAUCUAUGUUGUCAUGUUCAACUAGCAAGUUGAAGCAUUUGCGGUAUUUGGAUCUUUCCGGGUCAGAUUUAGUAACGUUGCCUGAAGAAGUGAGUGCUCUUCUCAAUUUGCAAACGUUGAUCUUGGAAAGUUGCCACCUACUUGCUAGUCUACCUGAUCUUGGAAAUUUGAAGCAUUUACGACAUCUGAAUCUUCAACGUACAAGAAUCGAAAGGUUGCCUGCAUCUCUGGAAAGGUUAAUCAACUUGCGGUAUCUUAACAUCUCAGACCACACCUUUGAAGGAGAUGCCACCACAUAUAGGUCAACUGACAAAGCUCCAAACGUUAACUGCCUUUAUCGUUGGAAGACAGAGUGAGUCUAGCUUUAAAGAAUUGGGAAAGCUAAGACAUCUACGGGGAGAACUUCAUAUUCGGAACCUUCAAAAUGUGGUGGAUGCUCGGGAUGCUGUUGGAGCAAAUUUGAAAGGUAGAAAACACCUUGUAAGCUUGAGGUUUACAUGGGAUGGUGACACUCAUGACCCGCAACACGUAACAAGCACACUUGAGAAAUUAGAGCCAAAUAGAAAUGUGAAGGAUCUUCAGAUUGAUGGUUAUGGAGGUUUAAGGUUUCCGGAGUGGGUAGGAGAGUCCUCUUUCUCAAAUAUAGUGUCCUUGAAGCUCAGUAGAUGUAAAAACUGCACCUCCUUACCACCGCUCGGGCAAUUAACUUCUUUAAAGGAUCUCACAAUUGAAGCAUUCGAUAAAGUUGAGACUGUGGACUCUGAGUUCUAUGGGAAUUGUACUGCUAUGAAGAAGCCAUUUGAAUCCCUCAAAACAUUACGGUUUGAAGGGAUGCCAGAAUGGCGCGAGUGGAUUUCAGACGAAGGCAGCCGGGAAGCCUUCCCUCUUCUUGAGUUUCUUUCAAUCAAAGAAUGCCCCAACCUUACAAAGGCCCUACCUGGUCACAACCUUCCACGUGUAACAAGACUUAAAAUUAAAGGAUGUGAGCAGCUCGCGACUCCACUUCCUAGGAUUCCUAGGCUGCACUCUCUCUCUGUUUCUGGAUUCCACUCCCUAGCGUCCCUACCCGAGGAAAUUGAGCAAAUGGGUUGGUCACCCUCUGAUUUAGGAAAAAUUAAUAUCAAGGGCUGGGCUUCUCUCAAAUGCAUCUCACUGGACUUGUUCCCCAAGCUAACUACUCUUUCUAUCUCUGACUGUCCAGAUCUCGAAUCACUAUGUGCACAUGAAAGACCCCUCAAUGAUCUCACCUCUCUCCAUUCUUUGGAAAUCGAGCAGUGCCCUAAAUUAGUUUCAUUUCCCAAAGGAGGGUUACCUGCUCCAGUCUUAACAGAACUUACGUUACGACAUUGCAGAAAUUUGAAGCAGUUGCCUGAGAGGAUGCCUUCCCUCCUUCCAUCCCUUGACUUUUUGGGAAUAUUUGGUUGUUCAGAAGUUGAGUUGUGUCCAGAAGGCGGUUUUCCCUCCACAUUACACUUUCUUUGGAUUCGUAAUUGCAACAAACUCAUUGCAGGCCGCAUGCAAUGGGGCUUGCAAACGCUCACUUCUCUUUCAGUGUUUUUUAUUGGUGAAGACGAAAAUGUUGAAUCCUUCCCUGAAGAGAUGCUGCUGCCCUCAAGUCUUACAUAUCUUAACAUCUCUGACCUACAACACCUGAAAUCUCUUGACUACAAGGGGCUUCAACACCUCACCUCCCUUAAACAAUUGAAUAUACAUGACUGCCCUCUGCUUGAGUCAAUGCCAGAAGAAGGGUUGCCCUCCUCCCUUUCUGCUCUUUUUAUUGUAGAUUGUCCUAUGCUGGGUGAAAGUUGUGAAAGAAAAGGUAAAUAUUGGCCCAAGAUUUCUCACAUUCCUAUCCUAAGUAUUAACCGAGCAAAAAGUAGCUUUUCUUUCAAUCGUCCAACAUAUUUUUUGAGGUAUUGCUCCUAGAAAGCUGUAUGUUUUUAUUUGUUGUAUGUUGAAAUACAGAUAAUUUCUUCCAUAAUUAUUGUCUCUCAUUCAUCUCCAUAAAUAAUAAUCAUCAUUCUAUUUCAAUAAUAAUCAUCAAAUGCGGCAAAUAAACAUCACAUGCUUCAGAUUUUGAACUGCCAGCGCCGUCCUUAAAAAACAAGUGUCCAUCUUAAAAGAUUAAAAAAUAUUUAAGUAAUCUGCAACAGAUUUUUCAUUGUUGACGCGGCAAAAUCAAAAUUCAAAAUUUAAGUAAUCAAAAUUCAAAAAUCUCCGUUCUCUCCUUUUCUCCUUUUCCGCAUCUCCAAAAAUUCAAAAUCCAAAAACUUUUGAUUUAUCUAUUUUAUUAUUACUUAACUUUUCUUGAAGUUUACUUUCAUAAAAGAUCUUUUAUAGAUAUAAAAAGAAGAGAUAAUAUAAAAUUCAUCCGUAUUGGAAUCACAAUUCAGAAUCAAGUGAAAGUGGCCAAUGUCACUGAAGAGAAAGGAUUAAAGCACAGAAAGUCAUCAUCUUGAGAACUCACAGCAAAGAGUUCAUUGUUUUGCAGUAGAUACGUAGCUAUAUUAACAACAAUACUUCCAGCAUGCACAAAUGCGACUUCUUGAUGGUUACGCUGCUAAAGACAUUUACAAAUCCCCAUCAAUACUGGUGUUUAUUCCUCAUGAUGAUCCAGUGAGCUCACAAUAAAAGAAAACCUCGGCAUUACUAGUAAAUCGUCACUGCAAGCAUGGAAGAGAUUCAGGUAGGAAUUACCCUUGUCUUCAUUGAGAGGCUUUAACCUCCCUAGCUCCUUCAUCAGCAGGCCCAUUGUUUGAUGCAUCCUCUGAAGCGUCUAAGCAAGGAUUGCUUUUACACUGACUUACAGGCUGAGCAUUGGUCAAGAGACUAGAAAGUUGAGACCCCUUUUGCGAAAAGUUUGGUUUACCUUUCGGAGUCUCAGACAGGCUUCCCGUUGACAGCUUUACUAGGCCAUUGUCUUGUGCUCACACGGGAGCUUAAUUGAAAAAGGUGAUUCAGGUGUCUCAGGAUGCUUCCCAGGAAUAUCCAUCGGUCUAUGAAACAGCAAAUGAGCCACAGUCCGGUCUACGGGAUUUGUCUCUGUUUCCACCUCAGGCAUCUUAACCACCCUGCAGUAUACUCAUAAAAUCCAUGAGGAAAAUGACAGGCAAGUUUGAGAUUGCCAUACUCUAAACAAAUUGAUAAACAAAUUGAUAAACACUUGAUUAAUAAUUUUGUGCAUACAAAUUGAAUAAUUUGAAAUGGGAAGGACGAGAUGUAAAGGAACAAACCCAUUGGAACAAGGAACAAUCACAUUGUCGCUUACAACAAAAAAUCGAGUUUCAGAUCAAAAGAGCGUAUGGUUUUGGCUGGAAGUGUCCCAUUGAGACAUAGAUGAGCCGAUUAGAAGAUGAUUUGAGUUCUUAAAUUUUCUUGCUUAAAAUGUAAUGUAACAUGAAUCUGCAGAUGAUCAUUAUAUUAGAAGGGAAAUUUAAUUUUGCCCUAUUUAUCUAAAGUUGUGCAAGUUCUCUGCAUUGAUGAUUUCAGUGAAUCUGUACAGAUCUUGUUUUCCUUCUAUUUGUCCUUGAAUAAACUUAUUGCACUUGCUUAACAUUCUUUGUCUCUCUCUCUUAGUUAAAUCUAGCAAAAUUUAUCAGGUAUGUUGUGCCACUCAUUUAGACUUGGAUGUGCGUGUUUAGCUCUCCUUUUCGGAUUAAGGUGAUUAUGCACAAAUUCACUGGAAUCAACAUUGCAGAAAACUUGCAUAGAUUUUGUUAAUAUUGGAAAAAUUAAAUUUCCUUUUCUAAUUAAAUGAAAAUCUCUACUAAAUAUUAUGCUAUUUGAAUUGUCACCUCAUGACUACUUGCUGCACUGCACUCAUGAAUGCUGCACCAGGGUAAAGCUACAAAUGUCAGUUUUUAAUAUCUGCCUCUACCUAGCUCGGCCUACAAUACCAAAGUUUCUCUCCUACAAAUGCCAGUUUAAUAUCUGCCUCUACCAUAACAGAACCAGUGGAAGCGAACUACUACAUAUUUGAUCAACAAGGUCAAAUUCAGUCAAGUUUUUAAGGAAAUCCAGUGAAAGAGGAACCUAAAAUUUUCUGUUUAGAUUUUCUUCUACUUCUAAGAACAAGCGCGGCCUUAAUUGAAUUGUUUCAGUCACUAUUCCUCCAUUGUAAAUAGAGGAUACCGCUUUCAAUAUUUAUUUCUAGAAUUAGAAUGGAAAACAGAAAAUGGUGAUGGCAUUAAAAGAUCCUAAUCUAACAUUUCUAUAGAGCAAAAAUGUUUAAAAAAAGAGAGGAUAGAUUAAAUUUGAAAACAGAAGCAUGAGAAAUGCAUUGCCUUAACCAACCUUCUUUGACUGCUGGUUUCCUCUUUUGCAGCAACUUGUUCGUCCCUGCUACUAUUGUUUGUACUGCCAGUAUCACUAGCAUAAUGCCUUUGCAUUGCACUUUGAGCCAGCCGGAACAAGCUAUCCCGAAUACAAAGUCUAAUUCUGACAUCCAACUGUUGUAAAACAUUGGUUUGGAAUCGUAACCAAUUCUUGAAGCAUGUAGAGUACUGUGUCCUCCAUUGAAUAAUCAUUAACCGCCAGAGAGACUGUAUUGGAAUCGUCUUGCUCAAUAGGCGAGUUUGGGUCAAAUGAAGCAAGUGUACUUAGAUCCUCUACUUCAGGGCCAGCUCCUUCAACAUGCUGAAUUUGAUUUUCUUGGGAACACUUUUGAUGAACAAGCUGCUGCUGCUGUUUCUGAAUGGCAAGCAUUGCCUGCAUUUGUUGCCGCCUCCUUAAUUUUUCAAUCUUUUCCUGAGGUGUCAUUCUCUGGGGUUUCACUGGACAGUCAGCUAACUUGUUUAUAGGAUUUGCAUUGCCUGAAACUUCAUAACCAGAAAUUUUAGGUCGAUGAUUAAAUGACUAGAAAUUUUGUUGGAAAGUCAGAAAACUUUAACAGGAUUCGCAUUACCUGAAGAAACUUCAUAACCAGAAGCUAAAGGUUGAUGCUUAAAAUCCCCAGACUGAAUGUGGGACAACCCAGGCAUAGAAUAUGGAUUUGUAAUACUCGUAUGCAGAAGGGGCCACAAAUGGAUUGGAUAUCUGCUGGUACUGCAACUGCUCGGAACCCUGUAGCUGCUUCUGUUGGCUGAGAAUUGAAGGGGGAGAAGAUUGCUUAAUUUGGGGUGCUAAAUGAUCCUUAAGUUGACAGGCUGGGAUUCCAGAUGAAGUCCAUUUUCCAUAAAAAUCUUGGUAUGAUUUCAGUUCACCUUUUUCUUCCAGUUUUUCCCGACCUUUCAAGAUCUUCUUUUGCCUGUGAGUCUGAUCACAGAACUAUAAACAUAUGAAUAGACAAAUUACUUAGAAUAGAUCAACGUUUUAACCAUCUAGACCUGCAGGGGAGAGUGACUAAGGCACAGUUAGUAUUUUAAUUAAGUACAUGGUUUGUAAGGAUAAAUUCAAUGUUAUUUUUUUUUUUUAACUGUAACUUAUGAUCCAAAGGGCUUCUAUUGUUCAGAAUAUAUUGAGGUAUUAGCUAAACUAGGCAAAGCAAACAGAAUUUGCAUGUCCCUGGGAAGAGUGGAUGUCAUGCUAGAAAUAUAAAUAACUGAUGCCUCCUGAAUUUUCACAUGUUAUUCCUUUCUCCUUCCUACUCACAGAAAACCACACAAUGGCUUUACUUUAGGCAAUCGAUAUCAUGGUUAAGUCAUGGGAAGCUGAAAUGACAUCUCUGUCAGGCAUUUCAGCUUCCCAUGACUUAACCAUGAUAUCGAUUCCCAUCUUGAUAAUUAUAGAAGUGAUGACUAAAUCAUGUAAAUCCAUAUUCACCCAACAUCCAAGUUUAUUCUCAUUCCAAAAAAUAAAACUAAAAAUAAUAGCAAGAAAUAUGAAGAGACGAAGAGGAAUUUAAAUAAUAUAAUUUCUCUUUUCUGUCGCCAUUUUCCAUUCCAGAGAAGUACUCGGGAAGUCUUAAUAAGUUCAAGUGUAAGGUAACUUUUACCCUUCCCAGCUCUAAUUAGGUUUCGCUGUCCCUCCAAUCUAAUUUAAGAUCUAAUAUGAGGAAACCACACUGUAUUAGUGAAAGGAUCACAAUAUCAAGAUUUUCCAACUUCAAUUCACUGAUAUAACUUUUCUUGAAUCCUGGACAAAAGAACUUAGAACAUCAAAAGAUCAUAGCAGGAUUCUAAAAAACAAAGAUUGUAUUUGGUGCUUAUUGAGUCUAAAAGUUAUCCUGGAUGAAAAGGGUAAAAAUCAGUAACAUGUCUGGUUCAGUAUCAAGAUUUUGAAAAUAUCAAAAGGAAGAAAAAAAAAAGGUACCUUGUUUGCUAAUUCAUUUGGAAAAGCACCAUUUUCCUCUGUCAGUUGAGAGUUAGCCGCCGUGUUCUUUCCCACAACAGCCAAAUCUGUCUGCAAAAGCACAAUAAAUAAAUAAAAAUAAAUGCUAAGCUUCUCUCAGCUCCUGCACUUGAGCAUGGGGCAUUAAUAAGUGAACUCAUUACUGAAAAUUGAGUUGCUAUACCUGCUCCUUCAGUAUAGGCUUGUUUUUACCUUCAUCAUAUUCUACAUGAUCAAGGCUUGCCUGAGUAUUCUGCAGACCAUGAGAUGCAGGAUCGUUCAUUUUUCCAUAGCCAAGGGUAAACAGCCGGUCCUCUUCUUGUGCAUACUCUUCUCUCGAAGCCACAGAUAUUGGAAAGGGCUUUACCGGGCUUUUAGUUAUAUCUUUAGAAGAAGACUGUUAGAGGUCUAGGCGCGGGGCGCGCCAACGAAGGCACAUUGCCUAGAAUUCGGCAGCGAUGGACUGCGGCAGAAACGAAUUCGGCAGGCAGCGUGCAUGGUCUGUGCAAGUCUUUGAGCUGGCGACUUGGCAUGGACGUGGGGCUUAGACAAUGGACCUUCUAAGUCAGCAGCUGAUGCAGCAGAAAUUGGCAAUUGGGGGCUGCCAAGUAGACAGCCAGGAAAUGGGGGAAGUGGCAGCUUCAUGGGAAGCAAAACGUGGGAGCAUAAAAUGGGGUGUUCUCCAUGCCACUAAGUCCUGGAAACAUGGGAUCAUGGAUGAGAGGUAGUGCUCCACUAUAUCCUGAAAACAUGGGAUCAUGGGUUCGAGAAAGUGCUCCACUAGGUCCCGAAAAUAGGGGUUAAUGGGGGGGAGCUUGCUGCUCAUAUUUGUCUAUAAAUAGGCUGCCAAGCCUCUGUUGUGGAGCUUGCGAUUUGUGCAUAGCACACACCAUAUUGNNNNNNNNNNNNNNNNNNNNNNNNNNNNNNNNNNNNNNNNNNNNNNNNNNNNNNNNNNNNNNNNNNNNNNNNNNNNNNNNNNNNNNNNNNNNNNNNNNNNAAAGAACUGGUCACAAGAGGUUUACAUACCACUUUGAUUACUGACUCAGCAGUUUUUGCCAUGAUUUCCCGUGUGAACAUGGUAUGAGAGAGUUUAGUUUUUUUCUUUUCUUGUCUAUUUUUUUGGUAUUGGUCUGCUUACUAUUUUGAUCCAUCUUAAAUUUUUUAUGGAAAGGUUAUAGUUGGAGCUCAUGCUGUAAUGGCCAAUGGUGGUGUGAUAGUACCUGUUGGGCUGAAUAUGGUUGCACUUGCAGCUCAAAAGCAUGCUGUACCUUUUGUCGUGCUUGCAGGCAGUCACAAGGUAAUUUAGCACAAUAAUAUCCCUUAGAGUUUUGGUAGUGAGCAAGUAAACAAACUGCCAUAUUUGAAUUGCUUGUUCUGUUUUUGCUAUUGAAUGGCAUGCUGCUGUCAUACUGCUUUACUUGUGACGGAAAAUAAUGGCAACUAUAUAGCAAUAAAUGGAAUGUCUCUUCUGUGGCCCAGAAGAUGUUUGUCAUUUCCUUCUCUGCAUCUUUUUUCUGUUAGUGUUGGUGUUUGUUGCAGGGCCAUGUGCCAGCUCAUACUGACCUAAUGAAACCCAAAUAGGCUAUAAUUUGAUUGAACUACAAGCAUAAGAAUUGCAAGUUAUAAAAAAUAAGUCCCGCCUUUGGUGCUCCUAAAAUCUUAACAUUUUGUCUUUUUCUAACUUGUUGCGUUCUUCUGAACUCAGAUCAUUGUUUAUUAUAUUUAUUUCUAGAUUUUUUUUUCUAAUGUUUAAUUUAUAGAAAUCUAGUACACAUAACAGGGAUGAAAAUGCCCAGGGAGGACAGAAAUUUUUUAUGAAUCCAAACACGAAGACAAAUGAAGAAAAACAAAUAUGGAAUUUCUUUGUUUAAUUGUAACUGGAUGGUGUCAAUAGUUAAUCCUUGUGUGUUUUGUCUCUGAUUUUGUGGCCUUGCUAAUUAUACAGUCAGUAAAACGACUUGGAUAAUGUUAAUGACUUUUGUGAUGGUAGACUUUGAAUUUUAAAUACUGUUCUGAUUCUUGCUUUAAUCCUUCGUACACUUGGCUGUUUUUCUUGGAUGGAAGCUGUGUCCCUUGUACCCUCACAAUCCUGAGGUCUUACUAAAUGAAUUGAGAUCUCCAUCCGAGCUUCUGGAUUUUGGAGAAUUCUCAGAUUGCUUAGAUUUUGGGAGCGGUACGGGCUCUCCUCUUCUUCAUGUUGUCAAUCCAGCAUUUGAUUAUGUGCCACCAAAGCUUGUUAGUCUGUUUAUCACUGACACGUAAGUUCUAGUACUUUUGAGGACAUCUUUUAAUGUUAACCACUGAUGCAAAUCAUUGAUUAGAAUAAUACUUAUUCCACUAAACAGUGUUAGGUCUCUGGUGCCAAAUCAGAUGGAUUUGAUAUAAUUAUGUCAAGUUCCAACUUCCAAAUCUUAAAUUAUUUAUAUUUUCAUCUCAUGCAAUUCUAACCGCUGUUAAUUUCUAAUUACUUCACAGUGGAGGGCACAAUCCAUCAUACAUGUACCGACUCAUUGCAGAUUAUUACUCCGCCGAUGAUUUGGUGGUGCGAAGAAGGGUUGCUUUGGGAAAUUGAGCUCAAGUCACUUUUGUUUACAAUAUUAUCUGUAAGUUUCCUCAUUCAUGUUGCUUUGUUAAUGGAAGAAUAGAGUUUGCCAAGUACAUACAGAUUUUCACCAUGAAGAAAGUUUGCUAUCUGAAGCACAAAUCAUGCUAUCUUUCUUGUAGUCUUUCACUGAACAAAUGGAAAUGGAAUCUGUUAGUUGCUAGAAUGACAUUUCUCAUCAUCUCAAUUCCCUUUCAGUUAUUUCUUGUCUUUCUCUGUAUGAAUUUGCUGCCCCCUCCCCCCGCACUGUUGCUGAAGUUGUUUUCAUUUCUCUCAUCUACCGUGGCUGAUCUCAAUUCAGAUUGCUUUUCACAAAUUAUGCAUCGCAAAAGGAUAAAUGUUUGGGUAAUGCCUGCCCUUGUGUUGUAUAUACAUUGCGAUUCCAUUACGGAACAUAAGCUGUAUCCAUAGUGUCCACAUGAGGGUAUCUCAUGACCACUUAAAACUCAACUUCUUUGUUUCUCUUUUGUUGCAAUUAUGUUAAAUUAUGAUAACUUAUAAUGCUUAGUAAGUGGUUGCAAAUACCAAUAACUUCAACUUUCUUGGGACAUAAUAGGGCCAUUGCUUGUUGUCGCCGCUUUUCUGAUAUUUUCCUGUUUUCACCUUUCAGGUAGUUUAGGAGUUACCAUGGUAAGAAGUGAUGGAUGAGGAUAGAGUAGUUUUGUCUCAGUGUAUGGAAGCAUUUAACCAUUGUUUAUGCUGGAAGAGAAGCAAACUUGUUGAUAGGGGGCAAUGCGAGGGGUAGACUAGCCAGGAAAUGACCAUUUUUUUUUAUUAUUAUUGAAGCAAAGGGCUAAGAGCUAAGAGCUACACUGAGAAGGAACGAAUGCCAUGAUGGUUGUAGCAAGUUAUAAACUAUGUAUGCCGUGUCAAAACUGUGAAAAGGAAAGGAAAAAGGAGCAACAGGUUAUAUCGAGUUUAAUCGAAAACUUGAGAACAAUUUGCACGUGGAGAAUGCGAUGGUUAGUGGGCUGUGUCGUGUGAGCACAUUUGAAAGUACUAUGGUUUAUUAGUUUUUGUUAGGAGGAGUUUUCGGUUUCCAAUACCUGAAGUUUUUUUUUUUUAAAUCUUUGUAUUUAUAUUUACUUCUCCUUUUAUCUUUAAUUUCUCAUGAAUAUGAAUAAAAGUACCAGAUUAAUUUGAAAAACUUGAGCUUGAUUAGGGUUGGGUUUUAAGAGACUCUUUUCAAGUGUGUUUUUUAAAAUAUAUUUUUAUUUAGAAAUGUAUUAAAAUAUUUAUUUUAUUUUAUUUUUGAUAUUAAUAUAAUUAACAAAGUAAAUUUAAAAUUAAAAAAAUAUUUUUUUAAAAAAACAUGAUAUAAUUGUAAAAUUAAAAAAAAAAUAUUGAUAAAGUCAAAACCUAGUUGAUCAAUAGGGUUGAUUUAUGUUCUAGUUGCCAAAUAAACCCAGUUCAAACUUGUUGAAUCAAUAUUAAGGAAAUUGGAAAUUUGAAGUUCAAAUUUAUUUGAUCAACAUGAAGUACAUUUUUUUUAAAUGAAAGAUGUUUUAAAAAAGUAAUUAGCUUGAUACUAUGUGAGUUUAUCCAAUAACCUAAUAAUUUGGUUUUUUAGGAGCAGUUCCAAACCACUCUGAUAACAUCCAUGUUGAAUAAGGAGAGAGACUCUUGAUCACCUGUAAAUUCUUCGGAAUGUUCAAACUGACAAAAAAAGAGAGUAUAGAAGUUGAUUUGAUGAAAUAUUAAAAUAUAGGGACCAAACAUGAUUUUUAUCAAAAUAGUAGUCACUCACAUACACGUGCUUUCACCUAGCAAGCCGGCAACACAAUUCCCAGUCCAACUUCCAUCCUUGCCGGUGACGGAAUAUAGCCCCCACCAAUCACAUUCCUCCACCUCAUCCUUUCCCUUCUGUUCCUCUCCCAUCACUUGUCUCCUCUUCACCAUCACCGUUUCUUUCCCGUCAACCAUAAAAAACCCAACACCUUGAGAAAAAAAAAAAAAAAACCACCCCCUGCCCUCUCUCAUCAGAAUCAUCAAAAUCAGAUCUGAUUGUUAUUUCAUCGACUGCCGAUCAUGGAAGACGACGAUGAGAUACAGUCACACUCAAACACCACCGAAUAUUCCUCACCGUCACCACCACCACCGAACGGAAGAAUCACCGUAUCUGCUCCCGCCGCCGUGCAUCCACAGCCGGUACCACCGCCACCGCAACAGAACAACAAGAACCGCUUAGCACUUGUUUUGCCGACGAAGCCGAAAGUGAACGGAGGCGGAGGAGGAGGAGGAGGGAGAGAGGACUGCUGGAGCGAAGGAGCAACGGCGGUGUUGAUCGACGCCUGGGGAGAAAGGUACUUAGAGCUAAGCAGAGGGAAUUUGAAGCAGAAGCAUUGGAAGGAGGUAGCGGAAAUUGUAAGUAGUAGAGAGGAUUAUUCUAAGUCUUCGAAAAUUGAUAUUCAAUGUAAGAAUAGAAUUGAUACCGUGAAGAAAAAGUAUAAAUUGGAAAAAGCUAAAAUUGCUUCAGGUGGAGGGCCGAGUGGUUGGCCUUUCUUUGAUCCUUUGGAUAGAUUAAUUGGCUCCACAGCGAGGAUUCCUGUUGUUGGAAAUGGUAAUGUGGGUGGUAAAAUUCCUACUAGGGUUCGUAGUGGUAGUAGGAGGGGUGGUGUGAAUCAGUAUCAUUUUCGGAAUCAGAAUGUGAAAAUUCGGAUUCUGAAACAUGAGGAGGAUGAGGAUGAUGAGGAGGAGGGUGAGGAAGAGGAGGGGGGUGCGGAAUCGGAUGAUAGUUUUCCGCCGAUGAAGAAGAGGAGAGUGGUGGUGGAGAGGGAAGUGAGGGGGAAAGUGGGGAAGGAAAAAAGAGGAGGAGGGUGGGGGAAUUCGAUCAGGAUGUGACGCAAGCAAUGGUGAAGUUUGGGGAAGCCUAUGAGCAAGCUGAGAGUGCCAAGUUGCAGCAAGUGGUGGAGAUGGAGAAGACGAGGAUGGAGUUCGUGAAAGAGUUGGAGUUGCAAAGGAUGCAGUUUUUUAUGCAGACACAGAUGGGGAUUUCGCAGUUGAAGAACGCGAGAAGGGGAGGGAAUGCUACCAGUAAUCAUUAUCAUCAUCAAUACCAUCGUCAUCAUACUGGUAACAAUAUUAAUGCUAGCAAUAAUGUUAACAACAGUGAUAGUGAUAAUUAAGUGAAUGUAGAGUUGUUGGUUAGUGUUAAAAUUUUAGAAUCUUAGAUUUUAUUAGGUUUGUGUGUUUUGUAGUAGAAGAAUGCCCCAUUAAGGGUGGAGAUUUAUAAUGUUAGCUGUGUUGCUUAUGGUGUUUAAUUUGGAGUACAGUGAUGUGAUUUCAUACUUAUUUGUGUCAGCAUGCAUUUUGCAAAGGGCACUAGCUUGAUUAAUAGUUUUUUAGAGAGUCUGUUAACGUAGCAGAUGUGAAGUUUACAUUUCAAGGGACGAGUUCUAGUUCUACAGUUACUGCUUUAAUUUGUCAGCGGCAUCUUUACUCAAUUUCAGCAAGGGAUUGUCUGAUGUUCAUCUAUAAUAGCAGCAGAUAACUAAUUGUAGCUGAAGAAAAGCUAUUAUAAAGAAUGGUAUGCGAGAGCGAUUUCAGAGGGACACAUCAAACGGGAGAUAAUUUCUGUCUCUUUUCAGCACUGUCUCCUCUCCCCUCUCCCCUCUCUCUUCUUGCUUCCUCCCCAUGAACCCGCAUCCUCCUUCCCUUCUGUUCUUUCAAUCUAUUGGAGAAGAUGUUGUAUUGGUGGUGAAACUGCUUGCCUACAAUAUUUGUGUUCUGACCUUCAUUGGUGUUCUAUGGCUUUGUUGCCGCCUUCUAGCCUUUUGGUGUUGCACGGUGCUGCUGCUUUUUGGCUGUUUCCUCAUCUCCGGUGUUACAUAGGCAGCUGCUGGCUCCUCUUGUAUCUUUUGGGUUUUGGCAUCAUUUGGUUCCUGCCAUUUUCUAUUCUCCGGCCGUAGAAGCUGACAGCAAUCCUCCGACUCUGUUCUCAUGGUCAGAUGCUUCCUCUGUUUUCUCCUGGCAUUAAAAUCACAGCUCACCCUCAAAUCUUAUUGCCUUUGGUCAUUUUCUUGAAUGGUGCUUGGUGUUGUCUUCGAGUGUUUGCAGUGUCGUAAUUUGCUGGAGUUUUUGUAGUAUUUGAAUUGUGGUUGAUUGAGCUGCAGAAUUAGAGGGAAUUGAAUCCGUGCUAUGGGUUAUCAUGUGAUAUCAUCAUUCAUCAACAAUUAAUUGAAUGGGUUUCUACAUGAAAUAUUUUUAGUUUCUUAAUCAAUAAUUUGAAGUUUUUAAUUGGAAGUCAAAUUAUUCUUAGAGAAUAAUAUAAUUAAACUAAAUCUUGGUUAAUUGAUUGCUAGCAGAGGUGUAAAUUUACAUGGCUUCAAAAUGAAGCUUAUCUUGAAUAUCUUCCACUUAAUUUUAUCAAAUAAUAUAAUUUUGAAAUAAAUUAUUUGUAGAAUAAUUUUGAAUGAUAUAAAUCAAAUAAAUGUUAAAACAUUCAGUUUUGUUGUACCUCUCAUUUGAAACUAACGCUUUGUAUGUUUUUUAUAAAAUAAAAUAAAUCCUAAACUUCUUAUGGACUAAAAUGUUUUUAUAGAAAAUAUGAGGAUUAAAAAACAUUCAUGAACAUUUAAGAAAAGCUUUUUUUUAUCUCUGUGGGCUAGGUAUGAUGUAUGCAGGUAUGGAUAUGGGUCUUGGCUUAGAAUGAUAGAUAUGGGUCUAGUAGGAGCACAAUAUUUUUUAAUGGUAACGAAUGAGCUACGCCUACCAGGCUGGUUGCUCAGUCUUGUUUUUUUUUUUUUACUAGAAUUCAUUUCUUUAUAAAGCAUGAAUCUGUAACCAAAUUUGCUUAAUCUAUAGAAAAUAAAAGCGAUAAUCUUUUUUCAAAAAUUCCACCAUCUUCCUCGACCAAUUUUUUUGUUUUUGUUUCUAUACAUAUUAUAAUUAGUUACAAAUAUAAUACCCAAUUUAAUAAAAUCAUAAACAAAAUUCCAAGACUUUCCACACAUCAAUUUAUUUUCUCUUUAUAUUAUGAAUAAAAAAAAUCAAUAAGAGAUGAGGAAAAAAUCAAAGAGGAAAAAAAAUAAAAUUAAAAAUAUCUUAAAUGAAAAAAAAUUAAAGAAAAUGAAAUUAAUUAUCGGUAUAUUAGAGGCCUUUUGCUAUGUGCUCAUAGUGUCACUAUAAAAAAUGAUAAGUCUUAAAUAAUUAUCGUUUUUUUUUAUUCUAAUAAGUAAGAGACAAACAGAUAUGUCUUAAAUAAAAUGACUCUUCGUGAUAUACAAACUCACGGUUAGGCCUCCAAACUGAGGCUGUAACGAGCCGAGUUACAGCUUGGAUCUACAAACCCUGGAUCUACAAACACUGAAGAAAUUUCAUGGGAAAUGGGCUGAUGUCAGAUGGAGAAAUUUCUGUGCUGAUGCCAGCUAUGUUGUUGCCACUGGACAGAGAGACUUCUUCAACCACCAAUCAAAUUAUUCUUAUUGACUUUCUGUGCAGUUUGGCACGGUUUUGCUGUCAAAGUUCAGAAACCCUAGCUAUUAGAAUAGACAAGUGUUUGUCUUUGUAUUUUAAAUUAUUAUUUUUAAUUGACUCCACAAGAGAGAGAUGCCAUCCCCGCAAUACAAAACUCUCGAAAAAAUAAUGAUCGUGCCAUCACCGGUGGUUGUGCUGUUCUAUAAUAUCACAAGCCACACGAGUAGCUGAUUAGAAAGAUUUUGUAGGCAUGGCAUGAUUGACGAAUGAUGGGGGAAGGGGCAAUGGGAGCCACAUGAUCCAUUUCAUGGUUGUUCCUUGCUUGUAGAAAGAAGAUCAUGCCAUCAAGGAUCUUGCGGGAUUGCUAUCUUGCUCGGUGUUGAUUUACAAUAAUGGCUGCACAUGAACCCGUCCAGCAGAACAAAUCCCCACAAGUAAUUGUCUAUCACACUCAAAUUAAUUUGAGAUUUCUGUUUCACUGCCUCCAGAGAAGAAUAUAGUUAUUAAACCUCUCUCUUCUCCUUCAAUAUUACAGUAACGAUGUUAUUUUAAGAUUUUUUUUUUUAAAAAAUAAAACAAUUAUUAAGCUUUCCUUUGAGUUCAAACAAAUCAAGGUUGCUUAUUUGACCUGCCUGCGGGGCUUUGCUCAUAGAAUAAGACAUGUAAAUCUAGGAAAGAAAAAGUUUAAUAUAUAGUUUUAAUUUUUUAUUUGGUUUAAGACCCACCCAAAAAUUUAAUAACCACAAUGUAAUUUGAUGUUUGUGUUCCAUGGCUUCGUGUUAUGGAUGCGUGCUAUUGCAAAAAAAUAAACAAUGUAGCUUGCCAAAUAUAUAUAUAUAUAUAGCUGUGUCUUAAGUUGCUUAUAUAACUAAUUAUAACUUUUAAUCUCUAUAAGCCCAACUACAUCAUUAAAAAGAAGUUCAAUUGUCAUUUCUAAAAUUAAUUGAGUCCAAGUUAUUGAUAAAAGUAUUAGGAAAUCAAGUUUUUAUUUAUUUAUUUAUUUAUUUAUUGUGAUUUUUAAUAUAUUUAUAUAGUGAAUUUUUUAGAAUGUGCAUACAUGAAAAUGAAACAUCAAAUAUGUUAUUGAUGGUUCGGAAAUAAUCCCAAAGUAUACCAAAUAAUUCCUUCCAAUCAAUCCACCCCAUUCUUCUCUGGAUCGUGUUAAAAACCAUGCUGUAUAUGUUUGAUAAUGCAGUGAAUAUAAUUUUACAAAAAUAUUUUUCAAUUAAUAAAAUAUUUAUUAAAGAAAUUUUCAAUCAAUCCACCCCAUUCCCUCCUGCUGUGCUGAUGAUGGGGAAUGGGAGAUAGUUCAAAGGAUUUGCCUCACAUUCAAGUAUGCAACUGUUUAUGGUUAGCCUCACAUAUAAAUAAACAUACAAGGUUACAUAUAUAUACUAUGACAAGUCCUUAAAAUUCCUGUUGUGAUAACCUAAAAUUUUACUCUCUUUUUUACUAUAUAUAUUUUUUUCAAAUAAUAAUAAAAAAAUGAUGGAAAAAAAAAUAAUGAUAAAAAAAUGAAAUGAAUGAAGAAUAAAUUAAAUUUUGGUUUAAGACAACAUAAUUGACAGUUCAGGGACUUAAUUAAACUUUGGAUUAGUUUAAUUAACCAAAUAAAGGGCUUAAAUUGAAGAGUUGUUGACUUUUGAGACUUAAUUGAAAUUGAAAUUAGUUUAAUUAAUGAAAUAAAAGGGUUUAAUUGAAAAAAUAUCAAAGUUUGAGGCUGAUUUGGAUCAAAAUUGCAAGGAAUUAAAAUUCAAAGACCAAAUUGAAAAGGUGGGGGGUACCAUAGGGAGCUUAAUUGAUUUUUCUAGGGGUAAUUUUGAAAGAAUUAAAAGUUGAAGAGUCAAUGAAGGACUGAAUUGAGAAAUUUAGAAACCUAGGAUUGUUUCGUAAAAUACGCUGAGAUGCAGGGGUCUAAUUAAAGUUUAUCCAGGGUGCUUAAUUACAAAACUUCAAGGGCAAAAACGUAAAUGACCAUUGACAUCAAACAAUGCCAUUUCCAGACGUUGUUCAUCUUCUUCACUCGACCGAAAAACAACAGAUGCCCCUGCCAUCGCCAACCAUUACCAUUACUCCUGUAAUAACGGUCUUGAAUGUCUUCAUUGUCAAGGAAAACACAUGACAUUCUUUGCCUAUAAAAGCUAGAGAAGGAACCGAACACAAAAAAGAAGAGGGUGGGCUGACAAAAGAAGAACAAAAACAGAGGAGGAAAAAGGACGAAAACACGAAGAAACAGUGGAGAGAGAAGAGGGAUAGAAAAAAAAUAGAAGAACCCAAAGGAAACAACGAACAUAAAAACAAAAAGUAAGAGGGUGGGCUAACAGAAGAAGAGCAAAAACAGAGGAGGAAAAGGGGCGAAAACACGAAGAAACAAUAGAGAGAGAAGGGGGAUGGAAAAAAAGAGAAGAACCCAGAGGAAAAAUGAACAAAAAAAAAAGAAAAGAAAUGGGUGGGCUGACAGAAAAAGAACAAAAAAAAAGAGGGUGGACUGACAGAAAAAGAACAAAAACAAUGGAGGAAAAAGGGCAAAAACACGAAAAUACUUUUUUUUUUUCCUUUUAUGUUAUAUUUUUUUCACACGGUAAAGAAAAAAUAAAUUGAUAAGAGUUUUUUAUAUUAUAUAAAAGUUGAGUGAUCAUAAUUUUUUUUCAUUUGAGGUUGGGUUAAAUUUUCUUAUUAAAACAUGUUUGUUUUUGUAUUUUAAAAAUGUUUUAAGAAAAAUUGAAUGUUGUUUCUUUAAUUGAAAAUAAUAUUUUUUUAUGUGUAUAUUUUGACGCGAGAUACAAAAAUCCAUUUAAUUCUUUUCUCUAGUUUUAUCUCAUACGGUAAUAGAAAAUAAAUGAUGAGAGUUUCAAUACAUCGGCAACUAAUUUAUUUUUCUUUAUUUUUUUCUCUUUAAUUUUUUUGUUCUCUUAUUGAUUUUGUUUUCAUAUUGUAAAGAGAAAAUAAAUUAAUAAAAGCCAGACUCAAGAAGAUCUCCAUAGCCCUUUUCUUUUAAAGAUAUUUUUAAUUUUAUGUUCUUUUCCUCUUAUAUUUUCUUUUCUUUUCUCUUAUUGAAUUUUUUUCCAAACUGUAAAGAUGAUAUAAAUUGAUAUGACUUUUUUUAUAUUGUACAAAAGUUGAGUAAUGAUAUUUUUUUUUCAUUUCAGAUUGUGUUGAAUUUCCUGAUUAAACCACGUUUGUUUUUGCGUCUUAAAAAUUCUUUGAUUUAUUUUUGCUAAUUGUUAAUUUUUUUCUUUACUUCAAAUUCAUAUUUUUUUAUGUUUUUGUAUUAUUCUUUUAAAUAGUUUAUUAAAAAAUAUAUUGAGAUUGAGUCUGGUUGUAAAGCCAAACCCAAGAAAUUAGAAAAUUCUUAAUUUUUUUCUUUACUACAAAUUAAUAUAUAUUGAUGUGUUUGUAUUAUUUUUUUAAUAUAUUGAGAUUGGGUCUGGCUGCGUAGCUAGACACAAAGUUUUUGGGAUUGGCUCUGGCUAGGCAGCAGGACGCAGCGAGACCUAAUCUCAAUAUAUAUAUUUUUAAAAAAAAUAUAAAAAAAUAUUAAUUUGAAGUAAAUAAAUAAAAAAAAUCAAAUUUUUUCAAAGAAUUUUUGAAACACAUAAAUAAAUAUGUUUUUAAUAAAGAAAUUAAAUCCUACCUGAAAGGAAAAAAAAAGUAUUUUCACCUAAUUUUUAUACAAUAUAAAAAAAUUACAUUAAUUUAAUUUCCUUUUAUAUUAUGAAUAAAAAAUUUAAUAAGAGACAAGAAAAAAAUUCACAUAGAAAUUUCUAUGCUGAUGCCAGCGCUAGCUAUGUGUUGACACUGGACAGAGAGACUUCAACCACCAAUCAAAAUUUUCUUAUUGACUUUUUGUGCAGUUUGGCACGGUUUGCUGUCAAAGUUCAGAAACCUUAGCUAUUAGAAUAGUCUAAAGUGUUUAUUUCUGUAUUAAAUGUUUUUUUUUAAUUGACUCUACAAGAGAGAGAUGCCAUCCCCGCAAUACAAAACUCUCAAAAAAUAUAAUGAUCGUGCCGCCACCACCGCUGGUUGGGCUGUUACGUAAUUGUUUUUUUUUGUUUUUUUUUUUUUAUAGUUGUUAUUUUUGAAAAUAUUUUUUAUUUUUUAAAAUUAAUUCUUAAUUUUUAAUAUUAACAUAUUAAAAUGUUUUUAAAAUAUAAAAAAAUAUUAAUUUAAAAAAAUAAAAAAACAUUUAAUUUUUUUUAAAAUAUUUUUAAAAUACAAAAGAAUUCUAUAACCAAGCCACCACCAAUGAUUGUGCUGUUUUUUAAUAUCAUAUUUAGGACGUGAACGAAGUCUGUUAAUAUAACUCAUAUUCUUGCUCCCUCAGGUACGAAGAGCCCUAGAAUUUUCAUGGGAAAUGGGUUGAUGUCAGAGGAGACAGAGAAGCGUACUUUCAGAAGAUCAUGACCCAAAUCAACGGCUGAAAUCCAAUCCCUCGGUGACACAUUGCAUGAUUGGAGACUGCUGGUCUCUAGUACGAAGAGAAACAACAGCUGUGAUGAAGGAAUCUUAUUUUAUUAUUUUUUUAAAAUAUUUUUUAUAUUUUAAAAUUAAAAAUAAAUUUUUGAAAAUAAAAAAUUAUUUUUAUAUAUUUUUAAAUAAAAAAUAUUUAAAAAAAAAGCUAUGCCAGCACCAGACUCCUUAUAAGAAAGAGGGAAGGUGAUAUUCAUUAUAACUUUACUGCCCCGCCUCUCUCUCCUACCUGCAGCAGCCACUAGAUGUUCAUGGCGUCUUCUUCUUCUUUGCCUAGACCUGGUUGGGUUUACGAUGUAUUUGUAAGUUUUAGAGGUCAAGAUACUCGCAAAAAUUUGACGGACCAUCUUUACACUGCUUUACACCAUGCAAGAAUCCAUGCAUUUCGAGAUGACGAAAAACUUCGUAGAGGUGAAGAAAUCUCCUUACAACUCUCCAAAGCAAUACAAGAAUCCAAGAUUUCUAUAGUGGUUUUCUCCAAGGGCUAUGCUUCCUCCACUUGGUGUCUUGGUGAACUUCAAAAGAUUCUUGAAUGCAGACGACAACCAACCGGGCAGAUUGUUCUACCUGUUUUCUAUGAUAUCGAUCCUUCUGAUAUUAGAAAACAGACGGGGAGUUUUGCUGAAGCCUUUGAUAGACAUGAAGCACGUUUUAAGGAAGAAAUGGAGAAGGUCCAAAAGUGGAGAAAAGCUCUUGUGGAGGCUGCAAAUUUAUCUGGGUUGGAUCGUCGCAGUAUCGCAAAUGCGUACUUCUUUACUUUCCCUAUGUCGAUAGCAAACGCUUCUAACUUUUAACCUUAUUACAUUUUGUAUUUUAAAUUUGCAUUAAAUUCAAAAGAUUAUCUUCCAUCGAUGAGUGAUGAAUUUCUUUUUCUAUGCACAGGCAUGAAUCAAAAUUAAUUCAAAAGAUUGUCGAAGAAGUUUCAAGUAUAUUGAAUCGCAGAAACAUAAACGAAAGGCCGCUGAAGAUGUUGAAGACAACAAUGAUAUCUGGCGGUGGGCUGCAUGACGAUGCUGAGGAGAAGCAGAUAACAAAUACAGCUGUGCGGGAUUGGCUGGACGAGUAUAAAGACGCUGUCUAUGAAGCCGAGGACUUCUUGGAUGAGAUUGCUUAUGAAACUCUACGGCAGGAGUUGGAAGCUGAAACUCAAACCUUCAUUAACCCACUUGAAUUAAAGAGGUUGAGAGAGAUAGAAGAAAAAUCAAGAGGCCUCCAGGAGAGACUAGAUGACUUAGUAAAACAAAAGGAUGUCCUUGGUUUGAUCAACCGCACCGGAAAAGAACCAUCAUCGCCUAAAAGUCGAACAACUUCUCUGGUGGAUGAACGUGGUGUUUAUGGUAGAGAUGAUGACAGGGAAGCAGUACUGAUGUUGCUUGUAUCAGAGGAUGCAAAUGGAGAAAACCCAGAUGUCGUUCCCGUAGUUGGAAUGGGCGGGGUUGGUAAAACCACACUUGCUCAGCUUGUAUACAAUCACAGAAGAGUACAGAAGCGGUUCGAUCUCAAAGCUUGGGUUUGUGUUUCAGAAGAUUUCAGUGUUUUGAAGUUAACCAAGGUUAUCCUUGAGGGAUUCGGUUCAAAGCCUGCUUCUGAUAAUCUGUUGAAGGAGAGAUUGCACGGAAAGAAAUUCUUGCUUGUUUUAGAUGACGUUUGGAAUGAGGAUUAUGCUGAGUGGGAAAAGUUGCUUACCCCCCUGAAGUGUGGAGCACAAGGGAGUAAGAUUCUUGUUACAACUCGCAAUGAAAGUGUAGCAUCAGUCAUGAGAACUGUUCCAACUCAUCAUCUAAAAGAAUUGACGGAAGACAGCUGCUGGUCCUUGUUUGCCAAACAUGCAUUUCGUGGUGAAAAUCCCACUGCUCAUGAAGAGUUACUAGAAAUUGGUAGAGCAAUAGCGAGAAAGUGUAAAGGCCUUCCUCUAGCAGCAGUAACACUCGGAGGUCUGCUACGCACCAAAAGAGAUGUCGAGGAGUGGGAGAAGAUAUUGGAAAGCAAUCUAUGGGAUUUACCCAAAGACAAUAUCCUCCCAGCUUUGAGAUUAAGUUAUCUUUAUCUCCUGCCACAACUGAAGCAAUGUUUUGCUUAUUGUGCCAUAUUUCCAAAAGACUAUUUAUUUGGAAAGGAUGAAUUAGUGCUCCUGUGGAUUGCAGAGGGCUUCUUAGUCCGGCCCUUAGAUGGUGAGAUGGAAAGAGUAGGUGGUGAGUGCUUUGAUGAUCUCUUGGCAAGGUCUUUUUUCCAGCUAUCAAGUGCCUCUCCCUCAUCAUUUGUGAUGCACGAUCUCAUACAUGACUUGGUGUGUCCGGUCAAUUCAGCUUCAGGUUGGGGGAAAAUAAUUCUUCCAUGGCCUCUAGAAGGACUCGACAUCUAUCGCUCGCAGUAAAGACGCGCGCAAGUUACGGACGGUGGUUUUUUCAGCCCAGAAUUAGAAAACAUCCGUGAAGCCCAACUUCUACGCACAUUCCAAACUUUUCCACGCUAUUUGAAGUCUCUUCCCGAAGUUUAUACUGAGAUCUUUCAUAUAUAUGUUGUCAACACUUGGGCGCCUACGAGUGCUAUCCUUGUCUCGCUGUGCCAGUGCAGCUAAGAUGCUUUGUUCAACUAGCAAGUUGAAGCAUUUGCGGUAUUUGGAUCUCUCUCGGUCAGAUUUAGUAACGUUGCCUGAAGAAGUGAGUUCUCUUCUCAAUUUGCAAACGCUGAUCUUGGUAAAUUGCCACGAACUUUUUAGUCUCCCUGAUCUUGGAAAUUUGAAGCACUUACGACAUCUGAAUCUUGAAGGAACAAGAAUCAAAAGGUUGCCUGAAUCUCUGGAUAGGUUAAUCAACUUGCGGUAUCUUAACAUCAAGUACACGCCUUUGAAAGAGAUGCCACCACAUAUAGGUCAACUGGCAAAGCUCCAAACGUUGACUGCCUUUCUCGUGGGAAGACAGGAGCCUACCAUUAAAGAAUUGGGAAAGCUACGACAUCUACGGGGAGAACUUCAUAUUGGGAACCUUCAAAAUGUGGUGGAUGCUUGGGAUGCUGUCAAAGCAAAUUUAAAAGGUAAAAGGCACCUUGAUGAGCUGAGGUUUACAUGGGGUGGUGACACUCAUGACCCGCAACACGUAACAAGCACACUUGAGAAAUUAGAGCCAAAUAGAAAUGUGAAGGAUCUUCAGAUUGAUGGUUAUGGAGGUGUAAGGUUUCCGGAGUGGGUAGGAAAGUCCUCUUUCUCAAACAUAGUGUCCUUGAAGCUCAGUAGAUGUACAAACUGCACCUCCUUACCACCGCUCGGGCAAUUAGCUUCUUUGAAGCGUCUCUCAAUUGAAGCAUUCGAUAGAGUUGAGACUGUGAGCUCUGAGUUCUAUGGGAAUUGUACAGCUAUGAAGAAGCCAUUUGAAUCCCUCCAAACAUUAUCUUUUAGAAGGAUGCCAGAGUGGCGUGAGUGGAUUUCAGACGAAGGCAGCCGGGAAGCCUUCCCUCUUCUAGAGGUGCUUUUAAUCAAAGAAUGCCCCAAGCUUGCAAUGGCCCUACCUAGUCACCACCUUCCACGUGUAACAAGACUUACAAUUAGUGGAUGUGAGCAGCUCGCGACUCCACUUCCUAGGUUUCCUAGGUUGCACUCUCUCUCUGUUUCUGGAUUCCACUCCCUAGAGUCCCUACCCGAGGAAAUUGAGCAAAUGGGUUGGUCACUCUCUGAUUUAGGGGAAAUUACAAUCAAGGGCUGGGCUGCUCUCAAAUGCAUCCCACUGGACUUGUUCCCCAACUUAAAUACUCUUUCUGUCUCUAACUGUCCAGAUCUCUAAUCACUAUGUGCACAUGAAAGACCUCUCAUUGAUCUCAACUCUCUCCAUUCUUUGAUAAUCUGGGGGUGCCCUAAAUUAGUUUCAUUUCCCAAAGGAGGGUUACCUGCUCCAGUCUUGACACGAUUUGACUUAGCAGAUUGCAGAAAUUUGAAGCAGUUGCCUGAGAGUAUGCAUUCCCUCCUCCCAUCCCUUAACCAUUUGGAAAUAAGAGGUUGUUUAGAAGUUGAGUUGUGUCCAGAAGGGGGUUUUCCCUCCACAUUACAUUCACUUGAGAUUUGUAGAUGCAACAAACUCAUUGCAGGCCGCAUGCAAUGGGGCUUGCAAACGCUCCCUUCUCUUUCACGCUUUGCAAUUGGUUUCGACGAAAAUGUUGAAUCCUUCCCUGAAGAGAUGCUGCUGCCCUCAAGUCUUACAUCUCUAAAAAUCUAUUCCCUAGAACACCUGAAAUCUCUUGACUACAAGGGGCUUCAACACCUCACCUCUCUUAGAGAAUUGACUAUAAGUAACUGCCCUCUGAUUGAGUCAAUGCCAGAAGAAGGGUUGCCCUCCUCCCUUUCUUCUCUUGAAAUUUUCUUUUGUCCUAUGCUGGGUGAAAGUUGUGAAAGGGAGAAAGGUAAAGAUUGGCCCAAGAUUUCUCACAUUCCUCACAUAAGUAUUAGGGGAGCAAAAAAGUAGUAGCUAAAAGGAGCUUUUCUUUCAAUCGUUCAACAUAUUGAGGUAUUGCUACUAAAUAGUUUAUUUUCUUUUCAGCAAUCAAAGUCAGUUUCAGUUAAAAUUUGGAUGAAUGAAAUACAGAUAUUGUCUCUGUUGUAUGUUUUUAUUUGUUGUAUGUUGAAAUACAAAUCUCUCAUUCAUCUUCACAAAUAAUCAUCAUUCUAUUUCAAUAUAUUUUUUUUCUAUAAUUAAUUUUUUAAGUUGAAUUGAUUAGUAUUUUACUUUUCUUAUUCUAACAUUUGUGGUUAGAACAAAGUAACUUUCACUGGGAUGAGAUGAUUUUGGUUCAAUGGGAGCGGUGAAACCUUUGGCUUCUUUCCUUUGAAUCCAAAUUCAAAUCCUACUAUUGUUCCUCUAUCCUGUUCUGCUGCAAAUAAACAUCACAACAUCCUUGUUUUCGAUCUUGGAAUUGCUGGUUCUACUAUCUUGUUCUGCUGCUGGAGGAUCAUCACAUACUUCAGAUUUGAAUUUAGUAAUAGAAAAUCCAUUGCUAAAAAGGAUUAAAAAAAUAUUGAAUUAUUUAAGUAAUCUGCAACGGAUUUUUCAUUGUUGACGCGGCAAAAUCAAAUCUGCUACUGAUUCAAAAAAUAAAUUAAACCCUUAAUUAUAUAAAAUCUCCCUUAGUUCUCUCCUUUUCUCCUUUUCUGCAUCUUCAAAAAUUCAAUUUUUUUUCUCCAUCUCUUUCUCUAGUCUAUUCCCCUUCUCCAAAUCCAAAAACUUUUGAUUUAUCCUUCUCUUUUAUUAUUUAAUUUUGAAUAAAUUUUUUUUAUUCCUUAUAAAGCUGAAGUUAAAAAACAAUUUUGGAGUGCAGGUAAUGCCCUUCCCAGCAAAAUUUAUGGUGUUUGGGAACUAACAAGUAACAUCUUAUUAGUUGUUCUUCAAACAUACUUUGAUAAAAAAAAAUUGAUACUAAAAGAAGAGAUAAUAGAUAAUUCAGGAUCUAUAAAAAAAUAUAAGAAUAUCUUUAUUUAUAAUUUUUUUUCUAGUUAUUAUAUCUUUUUAUUUUUUAAAUAAAAUUUAUAUAAAUAACUAAUAAGAUUAAACUAAUUAUCCAUGAACACCAUAAUUAUAUCUUCCCAAAGAUGUAAGCCUUAUAUCACGGAGGAAUGUACGAGGGAUUAAAAAAACUCUUUCCUUUGUCUUUUUAAUUCUUUUUUUUUUCAUUAGUUUAUUUAUUAAGGCGCUUAUUAGCUUGAAAGUUUUCCUCGCCUUGUCCAAUCUUCGCUAGAAGGGCUUGUUCUCAGAACGAGGAAUUUAAAAGAAGAAGUGGAUGACCGAAGAGGGGAAUUUAAAUAAGAGCUUUGGCUUUCCAUAUCUUAUACUAUUUCGUUUGAUUCCAGUUUUGCUUCAACUCUCAACAACACUCCCUUCUUUCGUUGCUCGACAUCAUUUAAAUGAACAUGGCUUAAUUACCUUUUUCAAGCAAUGAUGGAGUAGUAGUGCAGUUAAAGAACACACCCUAGCUGUUUGACAAAAUGCCGUUGAAGAUGAUAGUCAUUUUAGUGCUGCUGCUAGUAACAACCCCGGUAAGAAAACUAACGACCUCUUGAUGUGUUUUUUUAGGAAAUACAUUAAAUGUUUUUAUUUGUUCAUGUGUUUUCUUCAGGAGGUGGUGCUAACCAGAGAAAGCUAAAGCAGAGGAGGAUGGCCAAGAGGUUGCAAAGGGAAAGGAUGAAGCCUUUUGUUAGAGGUCUAGGUGCUGGUGCACUAACAAAAGCACAUUGCCUUGACGAAGCCGAAAAUAUUGGCUGCUCAAUACAAACAAGGGCCGAAAUCGGUAGGCAACGUGCGAGGACUUUCCCUGGCAUUGGGUGUAUCCUGGCAUGAAUGGUGGAUGGAUGAUGAAAUGCCCAGGACAUUGGGCUGUCCAAGCCGAGGCAGAAACACAGCAACAUUGGAUGCAUAGGUGCUUGUAGCUGGCCAGUUGGUUUGUGGGGGCUGACCCAAGUACAAGCAAAUCUUAGGGUGGACUGCCCAACGAGUGCGGGUUGCUUAAGAAAAGCAUGAGGGAUGAACUGCCUAAGAGAUGCAUGGGGUAGAGUGCCAAUGUGCUGCUGGAAUAUGUAACCUUGUAUAAAUAGGCUUGCUAAAGUCAGCUGUGUAGUAUGCAAGACAUAUUUUGCAUAACACACACAGAGAUGGUGUAUUCCUUUCUUAUAGAAUUAAUAAAAGGUCGGGAUACAUACAGAGAGAUCAUUUUGGUAAAAUUAUUAAGCAAAGCAAAUUCUCUCAUCAGAUAUGGGAUUUCGAAGGAAAAAUAGGGAUUCAAAUCUUUACGGACCAUUCGUAAACCAUUGAUCUGAGAGAGGGAUAUUUGGAUUUCGUGCUUGUUUCAUAAAUAAAUAAAUUAAAUUUUUUCUUGAGGAUAUGUAAUAAAUUAUGUUCGUUUGGAUCUACGAAGGAAAGAGGAAGAAGAAGUGGAAUGGCUAAUGGCUAAGUUCUUAAAUUGGAUGACCGGCUUAACAAUUAAAGGGUUACUGGCUACUAAAAAAAAUGAUAUGAAUUAUUAACAACAAAAAAUUAAAUAAAAAAGAAGCUGAUAACUGAAAAAUCAGCAACGAAAAUCCAAUGUUCUUUGGAUUUACUUGGAAUUGCUUCAACUGACGUGAGAAACCUACAACCCAAGCCUUCAGAAGCAAGUGAACAAAACCAUAGUUCAUAACAAGGAAGCAUCCGCGUUUUGGAAUCAAAAUUCAGAAGCAAGUGAAAGUGGCCGAUGUCACUCAAGAGAGCAGGCACUUAAUGAUUUUGCCCUGUUUAUCUAAAGUUGUGCAAGUUCUCUGCAUUGAUGAUUCCUGUGAAUUUGUACAGAUCUUGUUUUCUUUCUAUUUGUCCUUGAAUAAACUUAUUGCACUUGUUGAACAAUCUUUGUCUCUCUCUCUUAGUUAAAUCUAGCAAAAAUUUUCAGGUAUGUUGUGACACUCAUUUAUUCUUGGAUGUGUGUAUUUAGCUCUCCUUUUCGGAUUUUACCUUUUCAAUUUCUUUUGUGCUUUUGUAUUCAAGAGUCGAAGUUCAAGCAGGCAAUUUACAUAAAUCAAUGUAAAGUUGAUCAGGAAAUAGUUUACGGCAAAUUUCAGAAAGAUGGAAAGCUAUGUAAGGUUGCGGCGGCCUUCAUAUCCCUGGGUGAGAGUAUAGGAAACAGUACAGGUGUGAUGCCAGUAUUACUGGGUUUCUUUUUUUUGUUUUGCUGAGAAAACUACAAAUCCUAAAUGCAAAGAGGAAUAAUACAUAAACUUGCAAUGUAGUUAAGUUUAACAAGGAGGUAGCAUAAAUAAGCAGCGCAACAUACGAAAUUUUGCUAGAUUUAGCCACUAGAAAGAGAGAUGUCUCAACAAGUGUGGAAGACAAAUGUAAAGGAAAACAAGAUUUGCACCCAAAGAAGGUGAUUAUGCACAAAUUCACUGGAGUCAACAAUGAAGAAAACUUGCAUGGCCAGGGUAAAGCUACAAAUGCCAACGCUGAUGAAGAGUUACAAGAAAUUGGUAGAGCAAUAGUGAGGAUUGUCUGAUGUUCAUCUAUAAUAGCAGAGCAGAUAAAUAAUUGUAGCUGAAGAAAAGAAUGGUGUGCGAGAGCAAUUUCAUAGAAAUGAAACUGCUUGCCUACAAUAUUUGUGUUUUGAUCUUCUAGCCUUUUGGUGUUCUAUGGCUUUGUUGCUGCCUUUUAGUCUUUUGGUGUUCCACGGUGCUGCUGCUUUUUGGCUCUUGAUUUAAUAGAAAUGCUGUCCCCCCAUCCCUUGUAUCUUUUGGGUUUUGGCAUCGUUGGUUCCUGCCGUUGUCCGUUCUCCGGUAGUCGAAGCUGACAGCAAUCCUCCGACUCUGUUCUCAUAGUCAGAUGCUUCCUCUGUUUUAUCCUUUGGUCAUUAAAAUUACAGCCUACCCUCAAAUAUACUAAGUUGAUUUUGCAAAUUUUGUUCCAAGAGAGUAGAAAUUUAAAGAAAAAUGUACAUUCUCAUUCGUCACCUCCCUUGCAAAUUCAAUAAGUACCUCAUAAUUGGUUUAUAUAUGGAAUAUUUUUAGUUAUUCAAUAAGUGAAUCUUCGAUCAGAAGAGAAAUUAUUUUUAGUGAAUAAUGUAAAGAAGAAACUAAAUUUUGGUUAAUUUACAAUAAGUUUAUAUAGCUUGAAAGUGAAGCUCAUCUUCUAUUUAGUUUUCUUAAAUAUAUAAUUUUAAAUUAAAUUACUUUUAAAAUAAUUUUGAGUAUAUCUUACAUGUUUAAACAUUAACUUUGUUGGAUGAAUUCCAAACCACAUAAUUUGAAACUCAUAUAGGUAUCUUAAAUAGUGCAGCCUGAGCUUUACGGUUACGUUUUCUUUGACGAUGAUUAUUGUUAAAUUAUUUUUUAUUUUAAAAUAUAUUAAAAUAAUUUUAUAUUUUUAAUAAUUUUUAACAUUAACACAUUAAAAUUAUUAAAAUAUUAAAAAAAAAAAUUUAAUAUAUUUUUAAAUAAAAUAUAUUAAAAAAAAGCAUACAUUACUACUAUUCUCUCAAACAUACAAUCCUAUUCAUCUUAAGACCUGAGCUAUUAUUAAAAUGGUUAACUCAUUAAAUUUACACUUGGUUAUGGAGUUGGAUAACUCAUUAAAAACAUAAAUCUUAUAUUAAAAUAAACAAAUUUUAAAAAUAUUGAUUAGAAGAACAACAAAACACUUAUUCAAGUAGUUGUAUAAAAUAUAAUAAUAUAAUGUAUAAUUUAUAAUUCAUAAUUUAUUUAUUUACUUUAUCAAUCUUCUGCUGCGUGAUCACAUCACGUGAAAAGCUUGGCAUUUAGUGAUGUUUUUCCAAUCAAGCCCCCUUUUUUCAAAGAUGGAAUCUCGAGGUAAAUAAAUCAAAGACAAAACCGAGUAAAAUGGAGUCCACUCAGUCCAGAGCAUAACAAGGACCGAGAGAGAGAAGGCUUUAGCGAGUUGUGUGUUCUCUUGGCAAAUAAAGCGAGGACAAACCGAGUAAAAUGUGGGACCCAACUCAAUUUUUCCUGGCACACGCAACUCACGCAUACACUAACACUAAUUUGAGAUAUUUUUUUUACUUGGGAGUUUACAGGCAAAUAAAGUGAUGGAAGAAGGUCUUCUUCUGCAUCAUCACAUCACGUGAAAAGCUUGGCAUUUAAUGAAGUUUUUCCAAUUAAAACUUAUGGUAUAAUUUCUUGACAGCGAAAUAAAGAAAAGUAGGAACCCUGUUAUAUCUAGGAAAUUUCUCUGCUCUUUAAAUUAGGUGUACAAACUGAGGCUGUAACGAGCCCUGAAUCUACACAGAAGAAAUUUUGUUGGAAAUGGGUUGAUGUUAGAGGCAGACAGGGAAACGUAAUCUCAGAAGGCCAGGACUCAAAUUAGCGGCUGAAAUCCAAUCACUCAAGGGAUGGUGACACGUUGCCAUGGGUGGGAGACAGCUGGUCUCCAGUUCGAAGAGAAACAACAGCGUUUUUUUUUUUAUUAAAAGUGAGUGUACGAGCUACAUCCAUAUAUUUUAAUUAAUUUUAUUAAUUUAAAAAUUAAAAAUUAUAUAAAUUUUUAAUGAUUCUAAAAAGAUUUAAAUUCAUAAAAAAAUUUGAAUUCAUAAAUAUUAAAAUACAAAUAUAAAAUUAGAUGACCCACAACAGUGUUUUCAUUGUUUAAAAUGGAGUGUUUGUUUUCCUGAGUUUCUUUGUUCUCGUGACAGCUCAUGAUGGUGGGGGCUUUAAAAAAAAUAAAAAAAUUAUUUUUACUUGUGAUUUAUUUGAUUUAAAUAAGUAUUUAAUUAAAAAUAUUGUUUAAUAAAAAAAUAUUUAAUUAAAAUUAUAAUUAAAGAUAUAUUGUAACUAAAAUUAUUAUAAAAAAAAGAUCCGGUGGAGAGGAUGAAAAUAAUGAUUGGAUAUCUUAAUAAUUGUAAAAAAGAAAGUAUCUUUUUAUGGUGAAGUUAUCGGUAGAUGAGAAAAUACUGAGUUUUGUAGCUCAGAAAAAAAACGCCAUUCAACUAAUAAAAUGAUCCAUCUACAUUAAAAAAAAAAAAAACGUCAUGCCCACGUGUGGAAGAUAAAAUUAAUCAACCUAAUCUUUCUGGAUUGCAUUUUAUUAUUCAUGUCAAACAAUCAGUAUCCUUAAUACUGAUUAAGGAUAUUUUUGUUUUUGUAAUUCAACUAUACUUUUUAAUAUAAUAAUUUUUUAAUUUAAUUUUUUAAUUAUUUUAAUAUCAUUUUGUUAUUUCUAAUUGUUUGUGUUUACGAGGUUAGUCAUAAAUUCAUGAUUAGAAUCAUCGAUUCUAAAAAUUAAUGUAAAUUAAUUUUUAUUUUUUAAAAUUAAUUUAUUUAAAUUUUAUCAUUUAAUUUUUUUUUCAUGAUUUCUUUUUAAGAGACUAACCCUUCAUCGACAAACACUAAUGUACUCUGAAAAACAUAAUCCUACUGCAUUUGAUGCUUUAAAUUUCAACAAGGAGUACCUACACAGUGAAAUAAAGAAAAGUAUGAACCUUGCAUCUGGGAAAUUUUUAUUAGGCCUCCAAUCCGAGGCUGUAACGAGCCCUGGAUCUACACACAAGAAAUUUCGUGGGAAAUAGGUUGAUGUCAGAGGGAGACAAGGAAGCGUACUUUCAGAAGACCAUGACACAAAUCAACGGCUGAAAUCCGAUCACUCAAGGGAUGGUGACAUGUUGCCAUGAGUGAGAGACAGCUGGUCUCCAUCUAAAUGUUUAAAGAUGAUUGGGUAUCUUAGUAAUUGUAUAACAAUUGAUUUUUUUUUUUUGAUGAAGGUGUCGGUGUGGAUGAGAAAAUACUGAGUUUGUAGCUCAGUAAAAACAUGUUGAUGUUACUUUUUAUUAGCUCAUGGUUGGCUCGUAAAUUGUAAUGGGUCCCACAGUCACAAAACUAUGAUUCUUCACAUGUAAUUUAUGUUUUAUAACUUUUUUAUUUUUAAUUAUUAUUUUUUUAUUUUUAUGUUAAAAAUUUAAAAAUAUUAUUUUAAUAUAUUUUUAAAUAAAAAAUAAUAAUAUCAAACAGCGUGAAUGUUUUAUAAAUUCUUUACAAUCGCUUUUACAUUUCUUUAGAUCACAUUUAAGAAUACGGUACACCACAAUAAAGUCUGUUGUUGCUACAUGAUUAAAGGUAAUUGUCUUGCAUUUACCUUUAAAACUGCUAUCAAGAAUUAAUUAAUUGCGUCAAUUCAAUUCUUUCUAUUGACAUUGAUACCAAACAUGUUAAUUCAUGAUAUAAUUAAGCAAUUCAAUACAAAUUUACUAAUAUAAUUUAUUUCGGCUUAAACCUUUGAAUAUAGCCAAAUGCAGAGGCUAUGCAAGUGAAAUACCUUAAUAAUUUUUAGGCUUUACAACCCUAGGAGCCACUCAAAAUAUAAUGUGUUUAUACCUAUUUAUUUGUUAGAAAAUAAUUUUUUUAUUAAAAAAUGGUUUUUUUAAAAAUAAAUUGGUAAAUAUUUUUUAAUAUUUAAUUAUAUUACAGAAAACAAGUAGAAAAAUAACUUUUUACUUUUUUAAUUUUUUUCUCAGGUUUAUUAAAAGACAUAUAACAAUAUUGAAGGAGGAUAAAAUUAAAAAAAAUUAUAAAUUAUUUCAAAAUGAAAUAAAUAAUAAUUAAAAGAAUCAAGAUCAAAUGUAACAGAUAAAAAUAUUAAUAAAAAAAUAAAACAAAAAUAAAUAAUAAUAAUAAAAAAAUUAAUAUUAAAAUAAUAUUAAACCAAGAAUUAAAUUAAAAAAAAGAAAGCAAAACAAAAUGUAUAAAAUAUAAUAAUAUAAUUUAUGAUUUAUUUAUUUAAUUUAUCAAUGAAAAGUGAUAGAAUAAAGAAGAGAAAAGAAAUAAAGUGAAGUAUGCUGCUGCAUUAUCAUAUCACGUGAAAAGCUUCGCAUUUUGUGAAGUUUUUCCAAUCAAACCCUGUUUUUUAAAAGAUGUAAUUUCUAGGAAAAUAAAUCAAAGACAAACCGAGUAAAAUUCCAAAAGAAGAGAAAGAUGGAGUAGCGUUUCAGUUCCGGCUUGUAUCCGUGUUUUAAAAAUAUAUAUAUAUUUUUAAUUUUAAAUUAAUAUAUUUUUAAUGUUUUUAAAUAUUUUAAUUUAUUAAUAUUAAAAAUAAUUUAUAAAAAAUAAAAUAAUUUAUUUUAAUAUAUUUUUAAAUAAAAAACAAUAGACACCCGUGACCACUUAAAUGGACUCCUAAGCAUAACAAGUUAAGAGUUAAAGAGCCGAGAGAGAAAAAGCUUUUGCCAGUUCUUUACACAAAUUCUUUCCCCUUCUGUCACCUGAACAAAAUCCCCACUUCUUCUUCUUGCUUGUUUACUCUUCCUUCGUUACUUUGCGAAGAGGAGAAACCAUGGCCGGGGCUUUAGUAGGAGGAGCUUUUCUUUCUUCUUUCCUUAAUGUUUUGUUCGACAGGAUGGCCUCUCCCCAGGUGGUUGCCUUCUUGAGAGGCCAAAAAGUCAAUGAUAGGCUGCUAACGAGGUUGGAGACAGCAAUGACAUCUCUCAGGGUGGUGCUUGACGAUGCCGAGGAGAAGCAGAUAACAAACCGAGCUGUGCGGGAUUGGCUGGACCUGCUUAAAGACGCUGUCUAUAAAGCCGACGACUUCUUGGAUGAGAUUGCUUAUGAAGCUCUACGGCAGGAGUUGGAAGCUGAAGAUCAAACCUUCACAGGUCAGACGCAGAGGCUUCUUUCUUUCAUUAACCCACUUGAAAUAUUGGGCUCGAGAGAGAUCGAAGAAAAAUUAGACUUCCUCUUGCAGGAUCUAGAUCCCUUAGUUGAACGAAUGGAUGCCCUUGGUUUGAUCAACCGCAAUGUAGAAAGACCAUCAUCGCCUAAAAGACCAACAACUUCUCUGGUGGAUGAAUCUAGUAUUUAUGGUAGAGAUGAUGACAGGGAAGCAAUACUGAAGUUGCUUCAACCAGACGAUGCCAGUGGAGAAAACCCAGGUGUGGUUCCCAUAUGGGGAAUGGGCGGGGUUGGUAAAACCACGCUUGCUCAGCUUGUAUACAAUAGCAGCGAAGUACAAGAGUGGUUCGGUCUCAAAGCCUGGGUUUGUGUUUCAGAAGAUUUCAGUGUUUUGAGGUUAACCAAGGUGAUCCUUGAGGAGGUCGGUUCAAAGUCUGAUUCUGAUAGUCUGAAUAAUCUCCAGCUUCAGUUGAAGAAGAGAUUGCAGGGAAAGAGAUUUUUGGUUGUUUUAGAUGACGUUUGGAAUGAAGAUUAUGAUGAAUGGGAUAGGUUUCUUACCCCCCUGAAGGACGGAUCACAAGGGAGUAAGAUUCUUGUCACAACACGCAAUGAAAGUGUAGCAUCAGUCAUGAGAACUGUUCGAACUCAUCAUCUAGAAGAAUUGACGGAAGAAAGCUGCUGGUCCGUGUUUGCCAAACAUGCAUUUCGUGGUAAAAAUCCCAAUGCUUAUGAAGAGUUGCAAGAAAUUGGAAGAGAAAUAGUGAGAAAAUGUAAAGGCCUUCCUCUAGCUGCAAAAACACUCGGAGGUCUGCUGCGCACCAAAAGAGAUGUCGAGGAGUGGGAGAAGAUAUUGGAAAGCAAUCUAUGGGAUUUACCCAAAGGCAAUAUCCUCCCAGCCUUGAGAUUAAGUUAUCAUUAUCUCCUGCCACAUCUGAAGCAGUGUUUUGCUUAUUGUGCUAUAUUUCCAAAAGACUAUUCAUUUCGAAAGGAUGAAUUAGUGCUCCUGUGGAUGGCAGAGGGCUUCUUAGUCGGCUCCGUAGAUGAUGAGAUGGAAAAAGCAGGUGCUGAGUGCUUUGAUGAUCUCUUGUCAAGGUCGUUUUUCCAGCAAUCAAGCUCAUCAUUUGUGAUGCACGAUCUCAUGCAUGACCUGGCUACCCAUGUGUCCGGUCAAUUUUGCUUCAGCUCCAGGUUGGGGGAAAAUAAUUCUUCCACGGCCACCAGAAGGACUCGACAUUUAUCACUCGUAGUAGAUACGGGAGGCGGUUUUUCAAGCAUAAAAUUAGAAAACAUCCGUGAAGCCCAACAUCUACGCACAUUCAGAACUUCUCCGCACAAUUGGAUGUGUCCUCCCGAAUUUUAUAAGGAGAUCUUUCAGUCAACUCAUUGUCGCCUACGAGUGCUAUUCAUGACUAAUUGUAGAGAUGCAUCUGUGUUGUCAUGUUCAACUAGCAAGUUGAAGCAUUUGCGGUAUUUGCAUCUUUCCUGGUCAGAUUUAGUAACGUUGCCUGAAGAAGCGAGUACUCUUCUCAAUUUGCAAACUUUGAUCUUGAGAAAGUGCCGACAACUUGCUAGUCUACCUGAUCUUGGAAAUUUGAAGCAUUUACGACAUCUGAAUCUUGAAGGAACAGGAAUCGAAAGAUUGCCUGCAUCUCUGGAAAGGUUAAUCAACUUGCGGUAUCUUAACAUCAAAUACACGCCUUUGAAAGAGAUGCCACCACAUAUAGGUCAACUAACAAAGCUCCAAACGUUGACUGCCUUUCUCGUCGGAAGACAGAGUGAGACUAGCAUUAAAGAAUUGGGAAAACUACGACAUCUACGGGGAGAACUUCAUAUUAGGAACCUUCAAAAUGUGGUGGAUGCUCGGGAUGCUGGUGAGGCAAAUUUGAAAGGUAAAAAGCACCUUGAUAAGCUGAGGUUUACAUGGGAUGGUGACACUCAUGACCCGCAACACGUAACAAGCACUCUUGAGAAAUUAGAGCCAA
rnacentral:lncRNA from 1 species